AAUCAACACAACUAAGAACGUAGCCCUCAAACAAAGGUGACGACACUGUCUUCUUCUUUUUCUUCUCUCUUUCUGCAUUUUGGUUUCAGUCCUAAAUGCGUUUGCUUUAUUUGUUUUUAUAAUGUCGUGGUAAAUAUCAUCUAAAUAUAUAUAGGAAUAUAUUAUAUAUAUUUAGAAAGAGAAGAAAUUAAAAUGCUGUAACAUUUUUUUUCUGGAACAGAAAAAAUAAUUUCUAUUAAUGUAAUUGACAAUUAAAUAAAAAAUUUUGUUAAGAAAAAAUAAGACGCAGCAGAACAACAUUUAGACUCUUUUGCAAAAUUUUUAUAAUUUAUAAUAUUUGCGUCCUCUUUCUCGUUUGUGACGGUCAGGAUGAAGAACAAUUGAGCCCUUCUCAUCAUGCAUUUAUACACCUCUGCAUUGUUAUAGAAACAAAUCAAACAAGCUAAAGAACCAAUGCUGCAAGACCUUAUUGUUAGGAAAUAUAUCUUAUUUUUCAAUAAAAAAAUUACUAUAAUAUUUACUUCUUUAGUAAGAUUCUUAUUCAAGGAAAAAAUAAUUUUUCCUUUGGAAUUUGACUUAUUAAAGGAGGAAUACAACUAGUAUAAGAAGUGGAACACAUCACCUACAAGCUAAAGAACCACAUUUAGACUCUUUUGCAAAAGUUUUAUAAUUUAUAAUAUUUGCGUCCUCUUUCUCGUUUGUGACGGUCAGGACUUAAUGAAUGCUUCUAAAAGUUUUUAUAAAAUAAGCACUUUUAAAAAAAAUUAAAAUAAAAUAGAAUGUAAAUAUAUAUACAUAUACCAAAUCUUUCUCUAGUGCGGGUGUGAUCUGCAUUUUUUUAAAUGUGGAUUUGAGAUUUUAUAAUAUUGUAAAAUGAUUUUCAACCGUUUUCAACAUACAAAACCCAAAUUCACAGUUUAAAAAGUACGAAUGUCCACACUUGAGAAUGAUAUUAUAUAUAUAGAGUUUUUUUUGUAUAAAAGUAAUUAUUCUCAUAUGCGGGUGCCUGUAUCUUUUAAAAUACAGAUUCGUUGUAUAUACCAUAUGAUUUAUUAGUUAAUUGAACAAAAAUAAUAAGGACAUUAAUAUACCAUAUGAUGUAUAUAAUAAAUUCGCAUUUUACUAGGUAUAGACAUCCGUACUAGAGAAUAACUAUAUAUACGAGAAACUAUCUUUUAUUUUAAAGGAAUCAAGUUAAAGGAUUAUUGCCAUUGCAUAUGAAGUGUGGACCCUCAAUUUUUUUCAUAUAUAAUUUGUAAGCAUCAUUUGACGUUGUAAAUUCUUGUAAUAAAACCCUAGAUUUUUUCUAUUUUAUAAGUAAAUUAAAAGAGAGAGAGAGAGAUGGGGGGGGUUUCCACAAUAUAAUUAAUGGGAUUACAUUACAAUACCUCCCUAAAUAAUACUGGAGGCUCAUUAUAUCAAGAGCCACAUUAUUCAUGGUUCAGUACAACAUCUAAUUAAAUCAUUUCACAAAUCGGUGUCACAAAUAUCUACUACAGAGAGGCUAUUUUGCAAAUCAACGCCACUAAGAACAUAGCGCCCAAACCAAGGCCAUGGCACUGCCUUCUUCUAUUUCUACUCUCUUUCUGUGUUCUGGUUACAGUCCCAAACGCAUUUGCUUCAUUUAUUUUUAUAAUGUCAUGGUAAAUAUCAUCUGUGUGUGUGUGUGUGUGUGUGUGUGUGUGUGUGUUUGAAUAUUUAGAAGGACAAAAAAUUAAAAGGAUGUAACAAUUUUUUUUUUUUGGGAACUAAGCCCAUAAUUUUUAUUAAUUUAAUUGACAAUUAAAUAAAAAAUCCUGUUAGAAAAAAUAAGAUGCAACAGAAAAACAUUUAGACUCAUUUGCAAAGGAUUUUUAAUUUAUAAUGUUUGCGCCUUCUUUCUUGCUUGUGGCGGUAAAGCCAAUAUUGGUUUAUCUACCAAAGCUUAACAAGUAAUUUACAGUAAGAUGCAACCCUUUUGACUUCUUGUCAAGCUGAAGAACAAUUGAGCCCUUCUUAGUUGUUACAAUGCAUUUAUACGCCUCUGCAUUCUUAUAGUAACAAAUCAAACAAGCUGAGGAACAUAUGCCACAGGACCUUGUCAACCUGCAAAAAUGAUUUUCAUUACUUGAUCUUUUGCUCUUAAUCAAUCCUCAAUUUAAAAAAUUAAAAGGUCUGUAAUCAACCUUGAGCCAUGGAUAAAAUGUUACAUUUAAAGCAAAACAAAAUCUGGUGUUAUCCAUUGUAUCAAAAUGUCCUAAUAAAGGUUUCUGUAUUACAUCAAUCUUCUAGUCUCUUGUCUCUCUUAAAGUUGUAUCACUUGUAAAUCUACAUUAAUAUACAGUUAAUGCAUUGAACAAAGCUAGUAGAAUUAUGUCCAGCUUGAGCCUGGUCAGUGCCAUCAUUUGGAUCGAAAAUAGGAACCGGAGGUCGAAAAAGAGGGGAAUCAAUGAUGAUAUCAUCCUCUGGGUUAUCAGAACUCCACAGUCUCCACUUGAGCUCAAAGCUCAACCCUGGUUCGUUAUCACUUUCAUCUGGUUCCAUCCUUGUCUCUGGAAUCUCCAGCACUAUCUCCGAAAUCUCCUGAAUUGGCCCCUUGCCAGGUCUGUGUAAAAUGUCCUGGAGAGGAUCCUUGCUUAGCAUUGAGCUUGAAGUUUCUCCAGCUUCGACUUUCCGUUGAGGCCCUAACUUAAGCUUCUCAUUUCUUUCAAGCAAAAUCUGCUUAUCCAUGCACAUUUCGUAAGUUCUCUUUAAGCAGGAUUCUAGUUCCUCCUGUGACAACAUAGAUACCAAAGCUUUUCAAACGAUUCUGUUGCAUUAUACUUUGACUUGCCCAUAACUGAAACGAGAGGACAAUAUCAAACAAUUCACUCAUGCAACGCAAUCAAUAAAUGUGGGUUCAAUUUGUUACCUCUUUGAUAUGUUUGGUAGCCAAAAUAUCCCUUUCACAUUGGUUGUAUUCAUUGGGGUACAAAAGUCUGCAAGCUGUGAGAAGAGAUGAUGCUGCCAUCACUGAAGGCUUAUAUUGUGUAAAAUUGAUGUCUAUCAUCAAAACAACGUAAACAUUGAUCAAUUUCAUGAAGCUUAAAACAAGGCCCAUUAAGAGUAUCACUUAUGUGAUUAGAACAACAGAAACGGCAGAAUUUGAGAUUAUUAUCUCUUCUGUAAGCUAACUUACCGCCUUGUGCUUGGAUUAUAAUCUCGUUGAGGGUUCUACGCAUAAUGCCUUUUCCCACUGGGAUUUUUCCAACAAAGAACUCCUUAAAGUACAUGGCUGUUACAGCACGCAAUCGCCAAUUAAUUCCUUUGAGAAUCUGAAGUUCCAUGCUCAGUAUGUGCCUUUUGUAGUCCUCAUUCAGAUUGUUAUCUCUCUUUUGACACACAAGUAAACCAGACUAAUUAGUGACAAAAAUUCAUUCCCCUUUUCAAGAAAAAUUUGUAUAUACCCACUUACCUCAAAAUAGAUGAAUCUGAAAGCUUGGUUUCUGACCUUCCAAGCAAGUGUAAGACAACAAAUGGCAGCAAGAACAAUAUCAUCUCUCACACGGCCAAGCACAUUCUGAUUAAAGAAGUUGGGAAGUAAAUAUAAGCACAAAUCUGUGGAAAUACAACAUGUAUGUUUCAAAAAAUUUCGGGUUUUGAUAUUUGUAAUACCGGGAGUUGGUUCCUGGAAAUGAAAAGAUCAAAGUAAUUCAUUGCAAGAUAUGGUAUGAAUGCAUCAAAAUUGAAGCAUUUCGAGUUCUGCGUGCAACACAUGAAAUGCCAACCAGUAAGUUUCAGAAAUUGAUCACAGAUUAGAAGUCUGAUUCAGAAAUCAAACAAUCAAUGCAUAAAUUUGUAAAAGAUAUUUUGUGUGUGACUGAACUUGUUUUCUAAUAGGUCUUUUAAAUUAAUCAAUUGGGUCAUAAGCAUGUAAGAAACCGUUGCAUUAGAUUUAAGGCAAAGAAAAGGAAACAAAACAGAGGAAUCAGCAUAUUUUUCUUUACAUUUUCUUAGUUGCCAAACAUGUUCAAUCCAUGAAAAAGCACACAAAACCAUAAGCUUUCCUUCAUUUCUUUCCUUUCUUUUUCUCCAUUUUCCCAGCAAACAAACAGAAUCUAUCAUUUUCGAUUAACAAAUUAAAGCAACCGAGGCGCUGACAGAAAUUCCCAAGAACCACAAAAAUCAAAGUUUGAAAGUUCCUUUCUUUUCUAAUCUUUUUCACUAAGCAACCCAUCCGAAACACAAGAGCCAAAUUACUUCCCACAUAAAAUCCUCAGUGUGCCAUUCAUUAAAUUUCUUUUCCUUUCAUUUUCGUAGGAACCAAACAAGAAAUCAGAAGCACUUACUUUGAGGAUCACAUUCAGAGCGACUUUUCUCAGAGUCGCUUCUUUGCUCACUGCAUAGCCCUCAGCGGCCAUUGACUCCCUUUCCUCAUUAAAGAACUUCUCUAGAGCUUGUUGCUCGAAUGAGUGUAGUGGGUUACCGGAAUCGAAAUCCAUUUUCAAUAUUAAAAAGAUUUUGAAUGCUUGUUUCUUAUUAGAGAUAGAAAAAAUGCAAAGAAAUAAGACAAGAAGUGAAAGAAGAUGAAUUAAAAGAUUGAGUCGAUUUUUCUCCCUCAGAAAACUACUUUCCCUAUCUCUCUCUAGGCAGUUAAUAUCGUUUGUUCGUUAAAGACCGUUAUGCUAUGAAAUUUUGGCGGUUCAAUGAUGAUUUGUUGUUUACGGUUGUUUCUCUGCAGUUGGUCCGGUGACUAAUGGUAUUUUGCCACACUUAUUGGAGGUGUAAAAUUGGGCCCAAUGGAUUAUGGAGUGACUGCGUAUGAGGGCAAAAAUGGGCCCAUGUAGCAUUUUGCCAUACGACCUAGUUCAGUUAACACGGUGUCGUUUUUUGUUUGUUGUAGUUGCUAGUUGCUACAUGCCUACACCCAGGUAUCGGGCUACCGCCUACAUGAAGAAGAUUAAUAAAAUAAUAUAAUAAUGGAAAUGAAGAUCAUUCCCAGCUAAUCAAACAUAAAUUAGUAAAUUAAUGACCUCAAUAAUACGUAGCAACCCAAAGUUCCUUUUAAUUUUAUGUACUCUUUUCGAGUAUAUUAACUGGACCAGCUACUAGAAAAUUGACUAAUAAUAUCAUAACCAUAGGGUAGUAUCGAUAGAAAUUAUUACACAAUUACUUACAAACUAAAAAAAUAAAAAAUAAAACAAGAGAAUUUAAUAGAAAUUUUCUAGGUAGUAACUUGCUUUUGCAAAUUAUGUGAAGCGGUCUCCCAUGAUCACUUUAUAUAAUGAGUCGAAGGAGGGCCUGUUCAUUUCAAUUGACGUCGAAAAUAAUCGUAUGACAAAUUUCGUAGCUACCUCUGAUAAUCGACAAAAGUGAGAGGAUAUCCCACAUGAUUCAACGGUUCUUAUAUCGAAUUAAUUAAAUAUAUGUACAAUUUUUCUUUUCCUCGAGUCCGAUACAUACAUAUACUUGUUGUAUGCUAAAUUUAUAUAAUCCAUAAUUAAUUUUUAUUUUGAUAUAUAGCUGUAGUAUUUGACAAUGACUCACUUUUCUUAAUCUCUAGGAUUAGAGUGUCAUCGCCUUGACCUUGACAUAUAAAAAGAGCCUCUACCCGUUAUUCUAUGAGCGUCCAUUAGUGUACUUGGUUAUCAUACACAAUUACCCGCUUUCUCGACAUAUACAUUAUCAUAAGUUAAUCUAUGCAAACCCUAGCUAGUGCCCUUUGUUAAGUACCUUGACCCCUAAGAAACCCGAACAGUCGUGUCUCACAUUUUCUUGAAACCAACCAUUCCACCAAUUUAAGCACGUCUCAGUUGCAUUAUCUAGAGUUCCCCAACUCUAAAUUUCAUUAGCGCAUCACCGCAUUGUCAAGUUGCUUAUGCGUUAAGUAACAUAUUGAGCGCUAUAAAAAAUGAGGAAUGAAAGUGUUAAUUAUUCUCUCACGCACCAAAUAAAUAAAGAUUUAUUAAAACAAAUAGUAAUAUAUUUGUCUCUAGUAAUAAAAGGAAAAUUCAAAUGUCAUGAGGACAAUUACAUUUAAAUUUCUUUAUGUAAAUAAGAAGGUCACAACUAUGAGAAAUUUGGGUUUCAUUUUGUCUAUGUAUUAUUAUUCACCCAUUCCCAAAAAUAAAAAGAGUAGUGCUAAAUGUCGGGAAGGCUAAGAGAAACGGCAGCUUGUGUUGCCGUUUCGCGCGUGUUCUCUUGGCUCCACCCCCCACGUUACUUUCUCUUUUCUUUUUAACUUAACGUUUGCUGCAGUCAACUCAUCCUCCAACACCAGAAACUCUCGUAUCUUCUCCCUCCCCUCAAUUUCAUCAGCAUCAUCGGCACUCUCUCUCGUCAACGGCAUCAUUACCGACAGCCACCUCUUUCUCUUCAGCUCGUCACGAUAGACACCACCAAUCUGGUUCGUCACUUCAUCCGGAUCUCUCCAUUAUUCCAAGUGUGUUUCCCCUUUUUUUUUUGUUCUGAAAAACCCAAAAAAAUAAACAACAACACCUAUAUUGAUUUUGAUUUUUUUUAUUCCAAGUCAAAGGGGUGCUUGGCUUUUAAUUAUAUAAGAUAGAAGAUGAAACCAAAUUUUGAUGUUGAUCAAGAAGAAGAAACAAAAUUGACAGAAGGAAGAAGAAGAUAAUUGUGAUGAUGAUGUUGUUGAUGAAGAAGAUGAAAUUGACGAUGGAUAGAAGCAACGAAUAAAUUGCAUAAGAGAGAGAAAGAAAAAAGAGAAGAAGAAGAAGAUAAAAGAAGAAAAAAAACAGAAAAGAGCUAAAAUAAUAUAAAAAAACAAAAGAGGAAAUGCUUAAAAUAAAGAAGAGGUGGGGCCAAGAGAACACGCGUGAAACGACAGUACAAACUAUCAUUUCUCUCAGGGUUCUCUCAACCUUCCCGACGUUAAGCAUUUUCCAAAUAAAAAUAGGGACAAACUUUCGACUUGUUCAACACGCCUCUGCCGCAAAAAGACAGAUUGCCCAGGCACAUUCUGUUCUUUAUCUACUGAUGGCUCGUUAUCUUCCAUAAAGAAACACCGAGUCAAAUAAAUUCUUUUUAUCCCAAGCAGAUUUCUGAUAAAAAGAAUAAAGCCUCAAGACUCAAAUUUGAAUGGCUAGCCAAAUAAAGCCUUGGGAAUAAAAAAAUUAAUUUGUUAUUAGCGAGAAUCAGCAGAAUGACAAUAUCACAUAGAUUUCUGAUAAGUUUUUAAUAUCACAACAAUUAACACUAUUAAAUGUUAAAUGUGAUAUUUUAAAAAUAAAUUUUCUAGUUUCAAUUUGUAGAGGCUUUGAUUAAUGAUCAAUUUCUAUAUGGAAUGCAUUUCUAUUUAUUUAUUUAUUGUCACUAUCACUAAAAAAAAUUUCAUAAUCCCAAAGUGGUAAAAAUAAAUUCGAAGAGUAACCAAAAUGUCAUUCCUCCAAUGUAUUAUUUACGAUUCUAAUUCUUUGUACCAGUAUGUAUGUAUGUGGCGGCUUAACUUUCAUUUAAAGGGCGACAUUAAUAUCAUCACAACUGCUCAGUCCAGCCUUGAACUCGUUCAUAAGGAUUAGGACUCUGUGUUCCAUAGCCUUCACACGCCCUUGAACUGUUCUGCCUUUUUCACGAGCAAUUCCGCCUUCACCGAUUUGGAAAUUCUUGGUACAGGUACAUAACCGUGGUCUUGGCCUUGGGCCUGUGGACUUAGGUAACUCUCAAAGCUUAAGCUAACCGUAGCCCACUAACUUCGUUGAAGCCCAGUCGUAAAAGAUGAAAAAUAAUAAAAGGAUUGGGACUAUUGCCACCCCUCUUAUAAAAUUCCUUCUUUCUGAAAAAUACCUACUUAAAAAAAUUAAAAUAACACAACUACUAAUAAUACCCACACGUUAAAUCCAUAAAUGAUCUUAUAUACUUUCUUCUCGAUGAAGAUAUGCAAUAGUUUGUAGAUGGAAAACAUAUGAAGACUUUUAAAGUCCCUAGUUAAGGAACCUUUGUGAAGAUAUUUUUUGUAAUGGAAGAUAAGUUAAACCUUUCUUUUUUUCUUGAAUACUGAUACGUCUAAUACAAUUACAAGUCUAUUACAAAUACCUUAUAUACCAAGUCUAACUUAUAUGGCGAAUUAGGGUCUUCUUCUAUUUUUUUUUUCUCCUAUUCUCUCCGCAACUUUUAAAUCUGGUGAAAAAAGCUAAUAUAAUUAUAAAUAAAGUGAAAACACUUAAUUUUAUUGACAACAUUAAAAUUUAAGAUUUAAUCUCGAUCACUUAUUUCACUAAAAAAGAGAAAACACAAAGAGAGAAUUCUUAAAUAUAUGUAAUACCGUCCAAAUUUAUAGCAUUACAUAUAUUAGAGGAAUAUUUAUUCAACUAAAAAAGAUACUUACCUCUACCUAAUUUUGUAAGAGUGAGAGAAAUUUUAAGUCUUGGACUCGAAUCCUAUUGAGGGUGGGGGGCUUGCUAUUCGGCCACAGCCAUUUGCUUUCCCAUCACCUGAGAUGAAUUAAAGCUUUAUGAAUAAUUAUCGGACGUCUUCGAAGAGACAGCUUAUGAAAAUUAAAGGUUAAGAGAAACAUAUUGCAUAUUCAAAAAGCAUUUUGCUUUUCGGCAGAUUGAAUAAACUCUCCCUAAAGAGGUCCCCAUCAGCCUUCAAUGUGGCCAACGGUUGGCCAAAACGUGUCCGAUCAAAUCCAUUUACUUGAUUGAUGAAACAAACACAUCGUCCUAUUAGCAUGUGAAACGGUAACAUCAAAGAUCUAGAUUCAAGAGGUCAAAGGGAAAACUGUUCUGCCCACGCAAGCCUUUAUGAGCCGCCGAAAAAUUGUCCUGAAGGAUGCUUGAAUCCUUGGGAGAUUGAACUUACGGGAUCCCGUAUCUUACGUGUGUAUGUAAAAUAUAUUCAUUUCACAUGAAUAAUCUAAAUUUAUAGAUGAUAUAUAACUCUGUUCCUUAUAAAAAAAGAAUACUAUAUUUUAUGGCUUUUAGCUUUAUAAAAGGUUUGAAUCUACUUUGCAAUGAAAUUAUUUCAAUAAAAAUAUUUUUUAUUUUAUAUUAAAUAAAGAUUAUAUUGAAUUUCAACUAAUCUAGAUUUGAGUUAGGUAGAAUAGAACCAUUAGAACUGUAAAAUUCUCCUAAUUAAUAUCGAUUAAUUCAGAUUUGAGUCAGGUAGGACCAUUAGGGCGGCAAAACCCUCCUAUAACUGCAUUCUCAAGACUCGAACCGAGAAUCUUUGUUAAAUUAGAACAACUUCAUACCAGUUGAUCUUCGCGCUUAUUGGUAAAACAUUUUUUCUUUUUUUUAACAAUUAGAUGGAGUUUCUCAUUUUCUAUUAAAUGUGAGUUAUAAUGUUAAAGUCUUAAAGAACAUAUUUUCAUUUUUCAUAUCCUAGACAAUUGGUCAAGUCAAGGCUUUAUUUAGUCAUGUGAAUAAUGAUUGCGAGGAACCUGAAGAAGAUGCGCACUAAACUCCUAUAAUGGAAUUAUAGAAUUUUGACUGGACUCAUAUAAUUAUCCUACAAUUAGCCAUAUGUAAUCUUUAAUCUUUUGUCUUAUAUUUAUUUUAAUACUGGAAAAUUUAGUGAUUAUAUACAUGUACAUAUACAUAUAAUUAGGAAUAACUUAUGUUUGUUACAAAGUCCCCUGACCCAUCAAAUUAAACCGAAAUUAAUAUUUUAGUGCUUAGCAUAUAUAAGUGUCAACAAAAUAUUUGUCUAUGGAUUAUUUGAUUAUAAAAAAAUUUAGGGAAAUUUACAACUGUCCACCUGUUUGUUUUGCCUUUUUCAAAAAUACACAAACACUUUUUUUUUUCAACGCGCCACCUGAAGUUUGCUUUUUGUUGCAUUCGUCCACGUGCGUCUAAUUUCCGUUAGCGAAUUUAACGAAAUGACCUUUUUACCCCUCAAAAUUACAAUUUAACCCAAAAUAAAUAGAAAUUGGAGAUGGAUUUAAUUUUUUUCAAAGGUGGAUGCUAGAAAUUGAAAAAAUAAAUUCAAAUUUUCUAAAUUUAGCAAGCAACAAACACUAUUUUCCUCCAAAAAAAUAAGUACAAAUUUUCUAAAUUUAGUAACAAACAUUAUUUAAUUUAUUUUUUCAAUUUCUAGCAUCCACCUUUGAAAAAAAUUAAAUCCAUCCAAUUUAUCUCCAAUUCCCAUUUAUUUUGGGUUAAAUUGUAAUUUUGAGGGGUAAAAAGGUCAUUUCGUUAACAUUCCGUUAAAUCCACUAACGGGAAUUAGACGGAAGUGGACGAAUGCAACAAAAAGCAAACUUCAGGUGGCGCACUGAAAAAAAAAAGUGUUUGUAUAUUUUUGAAAAAGGCAAAACAAACAGGUGGACAAUUGUAAAUUUUCCAAAAAUUUAAUUUGAAAAAGGCAAAACAAACGUGGACGAUUGUAAAUUUCUCAAAAAUUUAAUUAACUCAUAAAAGAGUAAUUCAUGUAGAUUACAUUACAACUUCAGUAAGAUUGAAUCUCAAAUUAAUAUUGCCAAAAAAAAUUAUUGUGACAUAUUGUAUUUUAUUAUACAAGUCCAAUCGCAUCCAAGCUAUCAAACAACAAAUUGCUGCAGUAACUGUCCCUCUCAUCUUCAGUGCACCCAUUGACGUAGUUUGUGGACGAUGAAUUCAAUGGAGUCGAGCUAGAUGAAGGCGUUGCUAGAACUGAUCCAAAUCUCAUGUUCGCGAUACUGCCACCAUGCAUAUUGUUGUUAAAAUAUGCUUGGUUUUGGUUUAAUGAUGGUUCAACAAUCCUCGAUUGAUUUUCAGUUUCUGGGCCUCCGUAGUUUGACGCUGGAUUAGAUCCUUUUGACAUGCUUUGAGGCUCUACAUUUUCUUGACACAAGUUUGUUAGAAUAUAUUGCCAGCUAAAGUUUGUGGGAUUGGAAGAAAGUUGCUCCAAAAUGGCUUGUGGAGUCUGUGUUUCAUUUACGUAUGGAGGAUUUGAAUCAACAGGUGUCUUUAAGCAAGCUUGAUUAAUUGGGUAUUGGAGAGCUUGAUGAUUUUGUUGUUGAAAGUUUUGAGGAGUAAAUUGUGGAGUUGUGUUUUGGCAAGAUAAGAGAGUGGUGGCUAAAUUCAAUAGAUCAGGAUUCAAUAACCCGAGACUCAAUAGAUUUGAAGCAUUAAGUUGAGUGGAGUUGCAAAGAGAUGAGCUAAGAAUGGAUGAGAGUUCAAGAAGAUCAAGGCGAGGGCUAUGAGUCACAGGAUCUAUCCCCAUUCUUAAUAGUUUCUUCUUGAUGUGUGUGUUCCAAUAGUUCUUGAUUUCGUUAUCAGUUCUUCCCGGCAAGCGAGAAGCAAUUGCUGACCACCUGUAGUAGAACGAUGUAAAUGAUGAUGAGAAAAUUAGACAAUAAAUAUAAAAAAAAAAUAAAAAAAAUGACUUGCAUAUGCAUAAGCCUAGCUAGAUAUGAGAGUUAAAAAACUCUAACUACAAGUCUAAGAAGUAGGUAAUAUAUUUAUUGAAAAGUCUACUAACUUAACUCAUACUCAAAAGUUAGCUUAUGAACUAAGAGGCACCAAAUUUAUAUAUUUAUUUCAAGAUUUAUUCUUAUAUGAUGUAAGAUUACUUCCUUCACAAUAUUUACUAGAAUAUUAAGUAAUUUUAGAGCAAAGAUUCUUUAAAAAGGACCAAAAUUAGUUCUAAGAUGGAAGUGUACUCACUUGUUUCCCAAAACUUUGUGUAAUUGAAUUAUGGCCUCUUCUUCUUCAAGAGAGAACUUUCCUCUCUUGAUGUCAGGUCUCAAGUAGUUUGUCCAGCGAAGCCUGCAACUCUUUCCACACCUCUUUAGCCCUGCAUAAAAUAGCCAUUAAUUAAUAUGACCAAUAUAAAAUAGCCCUGCAUAAAAGCUAACUUGGUACCUCUUAAUUAACAAGCACCGCUUAACAAAAAUGACAUUAAUAUAUUUAUCCAUGCAAACCUGCAUUCUUGGGAAGGGUUCUCCAUCUUCCAUGACCAUGUUUCUGAAUAUAAUCAACAAGCUUCUGAUCUUCCUCAGCAGUCCAUGGACCUUUCUUCAGUCCAUUUUUGUCGGAGCUUGGUGGCCUUCCCAUUUCAAUUACUCGACAAGCUUAAUUUCUUAGAAAUUCUUUUUUUUUUUUUUGGGUGUAAUUUCUUUGAAAUUCUAAUAACACAAGAAAGUGUUUUGUGUGUUUAAUUUGAGUUAGAGAACUGAAGAAACAAAAUUGAAGUCUUUGGAGCAGAGAGCGAAAUGUUGGGCGAGCUUAAACAUAUAUAUAGAAAAACAAGCAAUAAGCUAAGAAAAUUGCUGAAGUCAAUGGGAUUCGGUACCGCCCAUUAAUAUACGUGUCUUCUUUUGAAGGAAAACGCGCUCUCAUACACACAAAACGACACUCUCUUUCAACCUUGUGGAUGUAAAAGUAAGACUUCCUUUUCUGAAUUCUCUAUUGAACUUGAUCACGUAAGCAUGCAACAUGCAAAUUUUAAUUACUUACGUUAUGGGAAAUUUAAACCCGGUUAAAAAUAAUAAUAAUAAAAAAGAGUAAAAAAUGGGUAUUAUGGUGAUUCAGCUUGCUUUUAUGCUUUCUCUUCAUUGUUGAUUAGAUAAAGAGUUAUGGAGCCGAUGACGUGCCAAAGAGAGAUAGGUAGCCACCAUACAAGUGCUGAUGGCUUUAUCUUUUUUUUUUUCUUUUUUUUUUUUAAUAGUUUUUGGUGUGUUGUCUCAAAUCGUAAAACAGGCUGACACGUACAAAUCGUUUUCCCGUUCGCAGAACAUUCUUACUUUUCAAAAACGUAUUAGCUGUCACCAAUUGAUUGCCGCCAGGUAAACCGACGAUUUGGGUCGGAAGGGACCCACCUAAUUGCAUGGCUCGAUCCGGGGGACAGAAGUCACAGAACAAAGCCGAUGGGCUUAUUUAAGCUCCAUGUCCAUAUGCAGUCGGCUGCAGAUCGGCUAGCCAAAUAUUAAGUUAAGCUUUGUUUAUAAUUAGAUUAAUUAAUAAAUAAGCAAUUCAACUUUGACUCUGAAUUUCGCAAUGAAUGAACUUUGAAAUGAUAAUUUUAUCCACGCAGAAAUAGAGCAAAGGUUUGUGAAUUGAUUUAAAGUGGCUUUAAUAGAAAAAGCUCUUUCGAUACCUAAUUAUUGUACAUUUGAGAUUCCAAAUACCAAUUUUACUUGUAUCAUUGCUAGGAACCUAAAAUUUGACUUUUAACUAAUAAUUUAUUAGUUUAUUUGUAAUUGAUAAAUUACAAAAUCUUGAAAUUGAGAAUCAAAUAUUAAGAUUUCUAACAUGACUCGUAAUUAUAACUAAUGAUGAGCGACAUUAUAAGCUCACAUGCCCCAAUGGUUUAGCACCGAGUGAGUUUCAAAGAGUUUUAUUUGAAAAACCACCCGUAUUCGAACCCUAAGAAAAAUAGGAAUUAAAAAUUCAAUUUAGGCUUUGGUUUUUUUAACUUUUUAAAAAACAAAAAUAAAAAUAUAUGUAUUAUAAGCUCAUAGGUGUACUACUUUAAAUUUUAAACACGUGAUCGAUUAUGGGAUUUUUUUCAUUCAACUCAACAGCUAGACAUAGCAGUGACAUAUUGCAAAGAAAAACUGUCUCCCCUACGUGUAGUUUGUAACAGUGAAUUGCUAUAGUCUUCCCAAGGUUGAGUCCAAUCUCUUGAUCAAAUCACAAUUUAAUUCUUGAAAGGGAAAUAUUACAGGUGCUUGAAUACUAAAGUUAGGAAGCUUUCAUUUUCUUUCUUAAUUUAUUUGGAAUUGGCACCAAUUUGAGAUAGAGGAUCUCUUUGUGGGAUGGAAAAUUUUGUAUGAAUGGACAUGAAAUCUAUAUGAAAGCAGUGGUCAAACUAAUGAAUGCGAACAUAUUAAUUAAAACAAUAUUUCUUCAACCUUUGCCUAGCUAGCUUGCUGUUAAAAUUAUUAGAAAUUAUAUCAAUAGUAACAUUAAUAUCAGAAAGGGUCGAACUAUAUUUAUUGUCCUACAACAUUGAACGAAAAAAUAAAUAAUAGCGGGCCACUUGGUACACUUGAUGGUAAGCUAGUCUAUUCCUAGACUCAUUCUAGGAGAUAUAUAUAAAAAUCAAAGGUUUGGUUUACAUUUAAAUCUAUCGUAUCAAUUUUUGUUUAAAAAAAAAUGUUACUAAAAUUUUGAAAAUAAAAUAAAACGGACAGCUACAUAUGAAAAACAAAUUAAACUAGAAUAAUCAUUUGGACUUGUUCCAUACAAUCUGACUUGCAUGAUUGCAUUUCCAGUAAAAUCAUAUCAUUUGGAAAGAAAAAUGUUAGAAAUCAUCAUAUAUAUCAUUUCAGUAAUCUAAAGUACAAAGCGAAUAGCCUAAAUUAGCCAACUUAUCAGCAUAUACUGUAUAGUUUCUUAUCUGAAUACUUGUGUAACUUGCAUGAUUCUAAAAUCCAUAAGAGUCAAUAUAAUGUAUAGUUUCUUGCCCGAACACUUCUGCAGCUUGCACGAUUAUAAAAUCCAUAAGAGUCACACAAUUAUUACAACGAGUAAGAAAUUUUUAUUUUAUCGAUAUAAUGCUGAAAACAUUAGAUGAGAAAUUAUCAUUGUUAACCAACAAGCGCGUAGAUCAAUUGACAUAGGGUUGUUCUACCAUAACCAAAGUCUUCGGUUCGAGACUUGAGAAUACAGCUGCGUUAAAUACUAGUUGGGAGAGUUUUACCACUCUAGUGGUCCUAUCCGGCUCGAAUAUGAAUUAUUCGGGGUCCAAUAUUAAUUUUUGGAUACCAGAUAGUUUAAUAUACCCAAAAAAAAAGAAAUUAUCAUUGUUAUUACUAUUUUUUUAUCAGAGAUGAGAAAUUAAUUAACUUGUCAAUUGAUAGUAAUCAAUUUAAAGUCUAUUUCAUAUGCAGAUAUAGAAUCUAAACUCUAAAAAUUGGAAGCAUAUGGGAGUGUUGCUAGUUCAGUGAAUGCAGACUAGCUUAGACCAAGACUUUCCUCUCGUUAAUUUAAUGUCCACUUCUGCCCCACUGUUUCAUGGUCAAAAGAAGUAUAACGUUUGUUCUUUUUCCUAACUUUAUUCAUUUGUUGAUUAUAAGCUGUCAUGAUGCUCUAAACAAUCUGUGUGGAUAGGGAUCAACGUGCUUUAUUUUAUAUAAUCAAUGGGGCUUUUUUUUUCUUUUUUUUCUUUUUUUUAGGGGAGAGGGGAAAAACAAAACUCUGUAAUCGAGAGUAGCUAGAGGCCCUCAAACCAUUCAAGUUUUCCUAUCGAAUAAAAAUAACUAUACAAUUUCAUGCAUUUGAUUUCAAAAAUAAUUUACCAGAGAAAUAAGUAACAUGUCAAUCACCAGCUGAAAUGACUUGGUUCAUCAGGCUAUGAGUUACAUCAAACGCGACUCAACAAGAGUCUUGUUUUCAACUCGAAGAUUGAAGAAGGUUUGUUUCAUUUGAACAUAUCUUGUGAACACCAUCACUUCAAUCUCAUGUAUGAAGCACGAACCGAUACAUUGUUUUGUUAGCUCGUGCUUGGCCCCCCCACCCACUUUCUCUUGGAUAUCAAAUGCUGCGCAGGAAAUAUUUUCACUGUUCGUGACUUGGCUUGUCAACAAAAGUUUGGGAAAAUUUUGAAACAUGGCAUUCUAAUAACGCUCAGUGAUUGAAUGACUCAGCACCACAGCUCAUCAGCCAAUUAAUCAUGUUAAAAUCAUAUGGUGCCAAUUAAUUCUUAUUCAAACUAGGAACAUGCGCCAUCCAUUUUGAAAUUCUAUUCCUCUUAAUUUGCUCCUUAAGAUUUGCAAAUCUCAUCAAAUGGAUUCAGCAGUUCAUAGAUCUAAUAAUUUCAAGAUCCAACUUACAUGAUUUGCUCAUUCUAGUUAAUUCAGCAGGAAAGUUAAAUUUACUCAUCAAGUCAUCGUUGGGAAUCCAAUCAAUUAGUUGUUACAUAUAAUUCGUAUUGUGUAAAGGCCCUCGGUCUUGUUUGAUUUUAAUCUUGGUCAGCAAUUUCAUCAAAUGAGCACGUGAAACGAAACAUGUGGUACGUACAUAUAAUGGCACCAAGGCAUGAUGAUACCUUGGAAAUGAUUUCAACUGCUAUAUAAUGGAAAUGAUCAAAUAUAUUUAGGACAAGUUUGGUAAUGUUAUAUCCUUUAAAUAAUUAUCAUUAGUUGUGCUGUAAAAAUAAUUAAAUAUGAAGAGAAUUAAUAAAAUAUUUGGUAAAUUUUAAUUUAAAUUAUUUUUAAAAAUAUUGUGAAUUUUAAAAACACUUUCAUGUGUUUGGUAAAUCUCACUUUUAAAAUGUCUAGGAAUGCAAAUGAUUGAAAUAGACAUAAAAUUGAGUAAAAUUAAUAUGUAUAUAUAUGUAUAUGUAAAUGUACAUAUGUACAUAUAAUAUUUUUAUGCUUAUAUAAAACACUUGAUAAUUAACAUGAAUAUCUUUAUUUUAUCAAUUGUAUUUUUUUAUUUUGUUACCUCAAUAUAAUAGGUAAUAAUAAUAAUCUCUUUAAAUUCAAUGAUUUUAUCUCUUAAUUAAAUAAAAAUAAUUAUAAUUUUUUUAUAAUAUAUAUUAGGACAUAUAUGAAAUUGUAUUAAGUAUAUACUUAUUCUCAAAAUCGGAUUUUAAAAGCUACUACUUUCCUACUUUUUGGAAUUUGCUAUAGAAUGAGAUGAUUUUAUCAAAAAUAAUUUUUAAAAAAAGUUCAAAUACUAAAAUUAACUUUUCACUUUUCAAAAUUACUUUUAAAUCUCUUAAAAGCAAUUUCAAACUUCCAUUAGGUGUAUACCAUUAUCACCGGCAGAUUAAGCUGCUUUUAGUUGAUAAAAUUUGGGUUGCAUAUAAAAAAUAAAAUUUCAGAUACAUAAUCUUAUGUUGACUAAGAAUAAUUUUUAGACUAAAUAUAUGAGUUUGGACAAUUUUCCACUUAUGAGCUAGUAUUUGAAGUUAAGAUGAGGUGAUUAUUAUCCAACACUGGUAUCAAAAUGCUUUGGCUUUCACUAAUAUUUUCAGUUUUUCACCCCAAAUGUAACAUCCUAAUAGGAGAAAGAGGUUAUCUUUCCUCAAGUUCCCAAACGUAUUUUUUCUUUUUUUCUUUUUCUAAUGAUGAGUUAUUAUUUUAGAGUUAGGCCAUGUUUAGUAUUGAGGUGACGUAAUUUUUAAGUUACAACUACUGUGAAAAAAAUUAUAAUUAUAAAACAAAAUUAAUAAUAUGUAGUAAAUCUAAAUUUUAAAUAAUAAUUUUAACAAAAUUAUUAAAGAUAUAAUAAAUUUUCUAUUAUACAAGUGAAAAAUCAUAUCAACAUAUUUUUUAAGAUAUAAUAAAUAAUAUUUAUCAAACACUUUAAUGCUAUUUUUUUAAACUACUACUGCCCAAAUUCAAUUCCAAAUGCACCCUUAAUGUAACCAGUUUCCACAAAGGAUUAUUAAAAAAAAAAAAAAGUCCUUGAGUUGUAUGUUGGCCGGUACAUUGUUGGCUAAUCGGCUUGAGUCUGGAUACGUAUUAUAUAUGUUAUCUAAAUAAUAAUUGUCAAUAUUCACUUAGUUUAACAAUAAUUAAAAAGAAAAUCCCUAUCAGAUAAAGCCUGUAUUAAAUAAUUACCAUAAAUGGUCAAACAUUUAUUUAAUUCAUCAACUAAGAUAUGCACUACCCCUGCGUUUUUCUUUGAUUGAUAGUGAUUUUAACAACCGCAUGAAGUUUUCCCAAGAAAUUAAGAAGCACACCCCACCUAUGCAAUGACAAUUCCGGCCCUGUAAAAUUAUCUUAAUUCUCAACUCUCGACCUCAUUGGUGAAAAGUUUCAACAUUCUAUAUCAGAAAUCCUAAAUUAUUUGUGGCCCUAUUAAUUAUAUUGAUACAAUUUUGUCAUGGAGAUUAAGAAGGUUGAAAUUUUGGACCAAUAGAAGAUUGAGACUUGACAAUCAAUACAAUUAUGUAUACAGUAAAAUCAUUUGAUUGAAUUUUGGAGGUAGCCCUUUUAUUAUACCACUAAUAUAUUAUAUGAUUUAGAGAUACUAUUAUUUUAAUACUUAAUUUUUUUUAUCAAUCAUUUUAUCAUAAAAGUUUUUUGACAAUUAUUUUCUCCCACUUAAUGUUUCAGUUUUUAUCAUUUUACCACCAAAUCGUUUACUCUAUUAAUCAAUUGUUGAUAUCAAAAGGGUGUUUUAGAAAUUUUAGUAUAUUCAAUAUUUUAAGAAUUUCAUAAGCUAUCAUAUUUAAGAUAUUAUCAAUUAAUUGUUUUAUAUAUAUAAUAAAGGAAAUUAUCCACCGUCCACAUAUUUGUUUUGCCUUUUUAAAAAAUACACAAAUAUUUUUUUCUUUUUCAGCGUGCCACCUGAAGUUUGCCUUUUAUUGCACUCGUUCACUUUCGUCUGAUCUCCGUUGGUGGAUUUAACAAAAUAUUAAUGAAAUGACCUUUUUACCCCUCAAAGGAAAAUUACAAUUUAACCCAAAAUAAAUGGAAAUUGGAGAUAAGUUGGUUGGAUUUAAGUUUUUUCAAGCAAUAGAGUUAAAAGCAAAGGUGAAUGCUAGAAAUUGGAGGAAAAUAGUGUUUGUUACUUGCUAGAUUUAGAAAUUUUGUAUUUAUUUAAACAACAUCAAUUUUCUUUUUUCUUUUUUUCAAAUCAUGUUAAAUGAAGUCGUUUUACUCUUUUUUUAAAAAAAUUAGCAUAAUACAACAUAAUUUUAAGUAUUCAAAUAAAAUGCCCAUUUUACUCCUCUGACAUCAGCAACGUUCUAACUGCGGUUAGACGGAAGUGGACAAGUGUAAUAAAAUGCAAACUUCAGGUGGCACGCUGAAAAAGAAAAAAUUGUUUGUGUAUUUUUGAAAAAGGCAAAACAAAUAGGUAGACGGUGGAUAAUUUCUCAUAAAUAAUCAAUUGAUGAAAGUAUUAUUUCUUGGUAUAUAAUUAACUUUGUUUUUUUUUUUUUUCGAUUUAGAGGGUCAAAUUACACAUACAUAGUUUAGGGCUAAAAUAGAUUUUUACUAUAAUUUUGAUUAAAAAUUCUGUUAGCUUUAAAGGUUUAGUGAUAAAAUUAUAAAGACUAAAACAAUAAAUGGAAAAAAGUAAUUAUUAGAAAAAUUUAGUGGUAAAGUAAUAUAUCAGAAAAUACUUGAUGGUAAAAUGAUAAUAUACAAUUCAUUCCAAGACCUUGUUUUAUUAAGUCAUAUAAUAAUAUAACUUACAUCCACUAAGAGUUGUUCUGAUCAAUAACCUAAGAGAAGUUGUUAGAAUGUUCAUGAUAAACGUGCAACUCGCCAUCAUGAAUAUGUCAUGUAAGGUAAUUGUGUUGCAUGGAGAAUAUUUUACAGGGAAUACUUGUUAUAGUUUUAUUACAUUCUUUUAAAGCAUUGGCCAAUUAUAUAUUAUACUCGUUAUAUUUAUAUAGAGCAUGUAAUUUAAUUAAUAAUUGAACGUUAGUUCAUAAUUAACCCAGGUCAAUAGCCACAUCAUUGCCUGCUGGAUCAUCAUCUCGCUCUAUUUCAAGAUUACAUUGCGGCGACUAGAAUUUCCAAGUUUCUAGACCAUCUAUAUAAAAUUAUCAUGAGAAAGACUUUAUGUUAUAAAUUUCAAUUACCCAUUUAGCUUUAAUACAUAUCACAACGAAUUUUAAUAAACUACUGGAGUCAUAACCUCAGCAUUGAUCUUAUCUGUUUUUGGUUGCGCAGAAUUUAUCAUGUCCUUUAAAUCUUUGAAGGCUCAGUAUUAAUCAUAUACUCAUUAUAGUAUACGAUGGUCGUUGAUAACCAUAUAUAAAUUAAACUAUAGAUAUAUCAUGGUAGCUAGACUACUAAAAUUCAUAUAUAAUCAGACUGUUAUGACGUGUCUUAAAUAAAGUUUCUAAUUAAUUAGGUGAAUAAUUACACUAUCUUUGGGUUUACGCAAUAUGUGAUUCAUUAAAUACGUUCGCGCAUGUGUGGUUAAUAUUGUUUGGGGCUGACCAUGAAAUAUAUUUCACCUUACUUUUGCUGUGUAUAAAUGCAACACGUAAUCGUCUUUAAUUUUCUUUUGCACGUAACCAUAUAUGAUAGUCAAAUUUGUUAAGGGAUGAUGGGGUAUCAUAUAUAUAAUCUAUGGUUACAUUGCAUGCGUCGGAUACUAUAAUGAGAAAAUGAUACCAUCUUUGGAAAAUGUAAGAUGAUAAAUCUCUAUAAUUAAUGAACCAAAACAGUCCAUGAGUCAUCAAAUGCUUCACAGUUUAAUUAUAUACUUGUAUUGUGCUAACUGGUAGUGGUUGCUAAUUAUGGAAAUUUAAAUUAUUCGAUGUUUCAUGUCAGGAUGCUAUUUGUGUUUUGAAAAUUUAGAGCUUGAUUGAUUAAAAUUGUUGCACAUAGCAUCGAUCCUUGUAAGCUUAAAUCAAAAGUAUGAGUUGAUUUUUAUUUUUAUUUUGGUGUAUGAAUAGAUUAGGUAGACUAAAAUUACCUAAACAUUAAAAUCAAAUAUUCUGCUAGAUAUGAUUUGUGCAGUAGCUUCAACAAAACUUAACUAAUUUAGUUAACUAUAUGUUAAGCAUGCGUUAAGUAAUUAAGUAAGUGUAACGUGUGCAUAAAAUUUAGGGUUUUAUAAUAAGAUAUGGAUUUGUAAAUAUUAUUCAUCGGCCAAUAUGUAAAUACUAUUCUAGAAAAAAGAUAUUAUGAAUUAACUAAUAAUUAAUUUCUUGUUUUUCCCUAAUGGGGUACGAAUAAUUUUCAUAUAUACACCUAAUCAUAUAGAAAUAUUACGAGGGCAAUGUCGAAUUAAAUGAAUUUCAUAAAAUAAAAUUAAUAAAUAUUUGAAUUGACUUCUAAUACUAAUUAGAUAAAGUGCUUGAUGGAGAACCAGUUAAAGUAUUUGUUUGAAAACUUUUUAUUUGUGUGCUAUUUAAUUGAUGAGAAAAAUAGUUUUUUUUUUUUUUUUAAGAAGCAGAGCAAAAAGGAUGGUUGAAUAGCUCCACUCCAAUUGAGAAGAUACAGUUUGAUGGGCCUCCAUGAGUCAAGUUAUCAAAGCCCACCGUUCAUUGCAAUGGAUUUCUAACUGAAGGAGUUCUAUUUAGUAUUUACUCUGUUCUUCUUAAUCCACCCCUUUUAACAAAGUCUGGAAAAAACAGAUCUGGGCUCACUUUCAAGCAAAUCGGUACUUCAUCAUCAUCAAACAAUCAUGCAUCGUAUUCGUGGGAUUGAACACUAAUGAUCAUUUUGAUUUAUGAGCAGACAGUGAGUAUAUUUUUUUUCCCUUUUAAAAAACACAAUAAAUAAAUAAAUUUGGGGACAAAGAAAAAGAUAAUUUAAGGUGCCGAAUAUUUGGUGAUAAGCAUCGAAUUGCACUAUUUAUUUCUUCGAAUAUUAUUGCGAUAAUUCUAAACAAAUGGUAAGAAAGAAUAUUGUACAAAAUAAAAAUAGAAAAGUCAAAGAAAAAAAGGUCAUAAGAGACUCAAAUACGCCAUUUCUAAGAGAAAUGUUGCGCUUCUCAGUCUCAAAUAAGAGAUAGUGUGAUAUAAUUAUAAAUAAUUUCAUAAUUUAUAAAUUGAUUAUUGAAUACAUAAGUUUCGGUGUGUAUAAAAGAUAGGAAUAUUAUAAACUUAUUUAGAAACUCUAAUAUGGGUUUAUCAUGGGACAAAAAUUCGGUACUGAUCGUAAUCCUCGAUCAUAAUAUUCAUUACGUUAUACCUUACAAUUUAGAUACCAUUAGAUGGUUAGAAAGUUAAUAAAAAUUAAUAAAACCCUUAGCUAUGUGAGGAGGCCUAAGAUGUGGAAUACAAGCACCGUAGUCCAUGGAUACAAAUUUCAUUAUUACUGAUUUAUUAAACAAUAAUUGAGGGUCAAAGCCCUCCAAUUGUGAAAUGUGAUCACAUGAGAAUUUGCCAUUCUCACUUUGUAAAGCAGCCUGCUCUUAACUUCCUCCAACCGUCGACUGAACAUAUGCCGCUCGCAUCACUAAAUUCAAAAUACGAUUGUGACGCGUCACGCUAUCAUUGGUCCUUUCCCAUUUAUUCCCGCGAUCUGCUUUAACGCUCAUGAGCCCACAAAUUCCCCCUUUUACAUCUGGAAUCAAAUUAUUAAUAAUAAACUAUACUGGAAAUUUAUCACUCAUUCCCCUUGAAAUUUAUGAUAUUCUCACAGAGAUAGCAUAUUUCAUUUAAUAGUCGCUUAGCUCCCAUUGAACAAAAUUGAGGACACUUCAAUAACUUACAAUGUGCUCAAGAUAAACACGCUUCUGACAUCCAAAGUUAGCUUCUUUUUUUUUUUUUUUGAAAAAUCAAAAGAUUACGAACAAGAAAUUGAAUUCUACACUUUUAUAAUUUUCUUUGGUCUCAAUUUAUAAUAGAAAAAGAUUUAUGAGUGCAGGAUUGAUGUUUUUUUUUAUCAAUCCAAUCCAUACAAUCAGAUGCCUAUUGAUAUUUACAUAUGAUAUUUAUUGAAACCACUUAGAUUACUUUUAUUAUGAGAUAAUUCAAAUUUAUAUCUCAUAUACUUUGAAUGUUUUAUUUCACUUAUAUUUUUUAUUAGAAGAGGAAACAGUCUCUUACUGGACUCAAACUGCUACUCUCACAAUUAAUCCCACUCGGACACUUGACAAUUCGACAUGCAUGAGAAGAAAAAAAAAAUUAUUUUGAUAAUUAAUUAAAAAAAGGAAGUGAAUAAAUCCCGGCCAUAGAAGUUUAAAUCUGACACGUCUCAUGAAAAAGAUUAGAAAACAUUCUUCCUCGCUGGUUUAUUUUAAUACAGAUCUAGGGGAGCAAAUAAUAAACAGACCAGAGUAGUUGAUUUAAGACGAAACAAUAAGAAUAAGAGCAAACGUCACGAUAACAUGAUUCAUGAAAAACAACAACAAAAGAAGCUUCGCAGGUCCCGUUUGCUUCUUCCUGUCAUCAUUCCUUCCUUUUUCAUUAUUGUUGGUGGUUGUCUCUGCUUUUACAUUAUAAUAUAUUCAUGAAACCGCGUUCUGAUUUAUUCCCAAGAAGAUAAUUGUAUCUAGAAACUCAACUCUUGUUCAUUUUCUUAAUUUGGCGGCCCUUCAGGUAAGCGCCAUCAACUCGGUUACGUUAUAUAUAUUUAGUAAACCGUGUCGAUGAAAUCUCCAUUCCCUCUUCUUUUUCUUUUUCUUUUGUUGAUCUUUCUAUGAUUGUUUCCUUGCAAAACCCAACAAACAAAUUGAAAUAAAAAAGAAAAAAGAAAAAGAAAAAUUGGGAUUCUUGAACAGCGUCAUGUUACCUGCAGGUAACCAAACAGAGAUGAGAGACAAAAAGGGAUUCUUUAAUAGCGUUGCCUCUGGUUCUGGGACUAUCUUGCGUCCCUUGCAUGAUCUCCUACACAGAAGGUGGACAAUUAAAUGAAUUAUGAGCUUAUUUAUUUCGAUUUUUGCUUGUUAUUUUUUUUAUUAUUUUUUUAACUUUGUGGGUGUUCUCGAUGUGCUGAUUCAUGUGAGAUUCUACUCGAGAAUCAUGAUUGAAGUAAAUGGGAACCUGGGAGUCUGAUAAAAUUGUUGUUCCUGAAUUAAGUGCUAUUAUUGAUGUGAAUUGAAUUGGGUUUGUGAAUUACAUGAUCUGAAGGAAACAAAAUGGCUUAAUAUUAAGUUUCUGUAUUUGAUGGCCUCUUUUGAUGCAAUGUGCAGUUCAGAGGAAGCGGCGGCUACUCCCAAAUCGAAGAUUUUAAACAACUAUUACAUUCCAAAUUACAUUCUUGUAUCUGGAUCGGAGGUUCAAAGAUCUAGCCUCAUACCAUCUUGUCCGGUGCUAGUGUUCAUCAACUCAAAAAGUGGCGGCCAGUUGGGCGGGAAGCUUCUGCUCACUUACCGUUCCCUUCUUAAUGAAAACCAGGUAAUUCCAUAAUUACAUUGUCUGCAAACUUAAGGCUUCUAGUUGUGAAUGCGGGUAAACUGUUUUUUGUGGAAUUGAUGCUAGGGUGACCAAAUUUUCAGGUUAUUGACUUGGGAGAAAAGGCACCUGAUAAAGUGUUACAUCAGCUUUAUGUCACUUUAGAGAAGUUCAAGGCUGCAGGAGAUGUUUUUGCUUCUGAAAUUGAGAAGAGGUUGAGAUUAAUUGUGAGUUGGCUUGUUCAUGUAUAUGCAUAUCUAUAUUACCGUUCGUAUUUUUAUGUUCCGUAAGUCCCUAAUUUCUGUUUCUAACAUGUGCUGUAAAAUCAGGUUGCAGGCGGAGAUGGUACGGCUAGCUGGCUCCUUGGAGUUGUUAGUGAUCUAAAACUACCUCAUUCACCUCCAGUUGCGACAGUGCCACUAGGAACAGGAAACAACAUCCCGUUCUCAUUUGGCUGGGUACGUUAAUUGUUUACUUGUCUUGUGAUGCUGAAUUUAGAGAAUGUCAAUCUUCUGAUUGUUUUGUGUUGAUUUCAUCCAUGGGUAAAGAUAUUAGUCAUUUUUGAAACCACUGGUAUGACUCAUAACUAGAAUUUUAUGCUUCUAUUUUGUUUUCAGGGAAAGAAAAAUCCAAACACAGAUCAACAAGCAGUGCUAUCGUUCUUGGAACAAGUAAAGAAUGCAAAGGAAAUGCAAAUUGACAGGUAAGGCAUUCAUAAGGGGUCAUACUAUCGACUUCUGAAGUUUACUUGUUCAUGCCAUCUCCACUUAUAGUGGCACUUAACUGCAGGGUUUGAGACUUGCAUAAAAUCUGAUAGUAACCUCAGUGAAUUUAAUGUUGGAGGUAAAUGUUUGAGUCAAACAUGUAUCGAAUUGCUAGUAUUUUUUUUAAGGAGGAAGUAUGUCAUUAUAAGAGUUAACGUGUUGCAGUACUUUUUAUAGUCAAUGAUGGUUGUCCUCAGAAAUCCCUGCUAAACCAUGUUAGAUUUGCUACAGAAAUCUAAUUUUGCUAUCAUCAUAUUCAAUGCCAUGGUUGUCUUGUCCACAGAAAUCUAAAAUGCUUCUCUGCUCAAUCUUUUAUUUUUAUUUUCUGUUUACCAACUAUAUGUUCUUGAUUGCAUUUCAGCUGGCAUAUUCUCAUGAGAAUGAAGGCUCCUAAAGAAGGAUCUUUUGAUCCCAUUGCACCUCUUGAACUACCUCAUUCUUUGCACGCAUUUCAUCGUGUCUCUCAAAAAGAUAAACUGAAUGUGGUAAGUCUUCAUUUCCAUUAUUUGUGCUUGCUAAAUGCUCCCUUUCAUUUUUCAUAUACCCUAUUUGCUUCAUCUACUUCAAUCAAUGAUGUAAUAUGUGGUAACAAGUGAUUCGAGAUGCUGUCACUCUUAGACCUCUUCUGCUAUUCCAGUUCUCUAGAAAGUUCAGAUACUCUUAGAGAGAAGAAAGGAUAGAGUGGUAGGCAUCCAUGCACAUUAAAUCAAAAUAGACUCUUUACUCAUUUUUAUCCCGAACAAUAAUGGUGAAUUACUUAAUGGAAAACCAUGACAUCUGAGAGCAACGUCAGACUCUUCAAAAGACCUAAAUGUUCUCAACUUGAUAACUGUAAAAAUUUAGGCAUGAUCCUUAUCCAAAAUUGAGCAUUUAAGAUUGACAUAACCUUAGUUUUUUGAACUGAUUAAAUUCAAUGCUCAAAAUAGCACAACUUUUUUCAUCACCAGUCUGUGCCACUCUGCUCAUGCACUUGACCAUUUAAAUACCUCACUUCCCUAAUUUGGAAUUGUGCAUGGAGCGAAUUAUUUUUGCACUUUUCAAUAAGGUCAUCAUAAAAACCCAUAGAAUAUUAAGAUCACAACCAUGGAUCACAAGUCAGACACAAAAUGAGUAUUUGAAUCUGAGAACUGUCAUUACUUUGCUGUGGUUUAAUUUAAUUUCUGAUGUUUAUUUGCUUCAUAUACAUGUGGUACUACUUUGCUUGCUUAAUGGGAAAUGUUUUUACGAUGUUCUCAGGAGGGCCAUCACACAUUUCGUGGGGGAUUUUGGAACUACUUCAGCAUGGGUAAGAAAUCUAACAUUUGUUUGCUAGUAGCCUCCACUCCUCCAACAUCAGAAUAAUUACUGAGUUUAUUUAACAAACGUUUAUGUGUUUUGUGCAGGAAUGGAUGCUCAAGUAUCAUACGCAUUUCACUCUGAGAGGAAGUUACACCCAGAAAAAUUCCAAAAUCAAUUAGUUAAUCAGGUAGGAAUAUAUAUAUAUCUUCACUGUUAUUGAAACAUAUUUCACUUGUCUUCUCCUUAAUGUGAAUCCUUAUAAUAUUUCGGCUGCUGUUGACAUUCUUUCUUUCGAUAUUGCAGAGUACUUAUUUGAAGCUUGCUGGUACUCAAGGAUGGUUUUUGGCUCCUCUAUUGCAUCCUUCUUCAAGGUGAGUCUUUGAAUUGAUGAUUGAUAUAAUAUAUUCUGUAAAAUAUGUCAAUUACUUCACCUUUAUGUCUAUCAAUUCAGGUCAUUUUGAAAUUAACAUUUCAAUAUAAGCCUGAUGUUGCAAUCUCAGCUGUCUCGGCAUGGCCCCAAUAAUUUUAGUUAUGCUGGUCAGGACUGUUUGAUGAAAUUAAAAUUUCCAUAUAGUGUGUAGUCUUAUGAUGUUGAGAGGCUCUGUCUUCUGAAAAUGUUAAAUGUAAACUAAAACUAUCAAGUGUUUUGUUGUUUAUCCAUGCGACUCUGUCAGCCUGUCAGUAGUCCAUUCAACAUAGCUGCUGUCUUCAAAGAAUACUUGGCCAUGGAUGUCAGAGACUAACUUUGUCUUUUUGAAAUCUCUCUUGAUGCCUUUACUUGAUAAUUAUCAAUUUUUCGCUGUUGCACUACUGCACUAAAAUCAUAUUGAACUACUUAGUCACUAGGCUGUCUCCCCCAUGGUUUGAGUACUUCAAUUUUUGAAUGAAUUAUUGUUACCUUAAUUGAGUAUACGAUAAUGAUAUAAGAUCAUUAUCAUAUACAUAUAUUUCUUUUUUUUGUUCAAUCCGUAAUUUUCUUUAGACUUAUGGUUUGGUUUACUCUUCUAGUUAAUCUUUGUGUUGAUAAUGUUUGUUGAUUUACAUGAUUUUAUUACAGAAACAUCGCACAGAUGGCAAAAGUUAAAAUUAUGAAAAAGCAAGGCCAAUGGGAGGAACUCCACAUACCUCGCUAGUAAGAUGAUAUAUUCUAUCCCUAGUUUCGAUUCAUUAAUUCAUUUGAUUCCUCGUUUCACUCCGAUUUUCCUUCCCAUUUCACUAAUACUUCAUCUUUAACAUACAGCAUUAGGUCUAUUGUCUGCCUUAACUUGCCCAGUUUUUCUGGUGGACUUGAUCCUUGGGGGAAACCAUUCAGGAAGAAACUACGUGAGGUUAGUUCUAAUUUAUUUGUUAGCCUAUUAUUUCAUGAGUUAUCAAGUAAAAACAUAUUUAUCAACAAUUAGUCUCCCCAGCACAAAUCAGAUACUAAUCCGUGAUGGUUUUAAUUUUUAGAGAGGCUUGACUCCUCCAUAUGUUGAUGAUGGCCUGCUUGAGAUUGUUGGUUUUAGAGAUGCAUGGCAUGGGCUUGUAUUGCUUGCCCCUAAUGGACAUGGAACUCGUCUUGCUCAGGUAUGAAGAUAAUUGUAACUUUUAUGAUGACAUUGCUGCUUGCCAAAAGUGUGUGCUGGUAUCGUCUGGAAGCCAUUCCGCUGCUGUCCCUUCUGCUUAUUUUUCACUUUUUCAUUUCUAUUUUCUCAUACAGGCAAACAGAGUCCGUUUUGAGUUUGAGAAGGGUGCUGCCGAUCAUACAUUCAUGAGGAUUGAUGGAGAGCCAUGGAAACAACCUCUCCCCGUUGAUGAGGACACAGUUGUCGUAGAAAUUUCCCACCUCCGCCAAGUGAACAUGCUUGCCACCCCAUGUUGCCGCUCGAGAAGCAUAAACGAUGCCCCUUCUCCUGCAAGUAUUAUUGAUGAAGAUUGCGAAAGUAUCGAAGAUGAAUCUUCUGAAGAUUGGGAAGAGAGGAGAAAAUUCGGUGCAGCUGACACAUUUAAAAUCCCAGAGGAGGUUGAUAUAACUCAGCUUAGCUGAAAAUACCAACAGCUAAGCCUGGGUACAUAUGUACAUAAUACAGCGUGUCGAUCAAUCUUCUUUUUCUUUAUUUCAUUAGUAAUUAGCAUUUAGAUUAAUUUUGAUUAUGGUUUUAACUGAUUGAUGUUGUUUCUUCUUCCCUGUAAAGUUCUGUUUGUAAUAUACGGUACGGUUGGAAUUGAUGAGUCGCUCUCUUUAAUUAAUGUUUCAUUGGUCUCAUAUUAGAAAGCUAAUUAGCUAAGUUUUUUUUUUUUUUUUCCUAAAUUAGAUUAUGCCAAGGUUAAGGUUCAUUUAAUUGUGAAAAAUAACCAAAACCAUCAGACAACAGUGUGGUUUAAAUUUAUUUAUUUAAUAAAAUCCGUUGAUCUCGAAUUCAUUGGCGCCCCUGAUCAGAAUUUAAAAAAAAAAGAAAAAGAAUAAUCAUCAAUAUAUUCUUUUGAGUGGGAAUAUACGCGAAUUAACGAAACAAAAACGUUGACGACCAAAGAAAAGCAAAGCGAAUGGUUUCAUUUUCAUGAAAAAUUGUUUACUGUUUGGAAUGUAUUGUACGGUUGAGUCGUCGUCUUUAAUUCAUCUUUUAUUUCAGAAUCUCUGUAAUAAGUUAAUUCAAACCGCUAACUAAUUUAGCAGAGAAAACUUAUGUAUGUGAGUCGUCGAAGAAGUAAUCCCACAUUGCUUAAUUGAUAAACAUUUCUUGGUUUAUAAAUAAAACCCAAGAGAACCCGGGGCCGAGGGCCACAAAGAGGAUAAAAAGAAAAAACAACAAACCCGUCCCCGUUGAGGCCCUUUUUGGUAAUUUUGUUUUAAGUUUAUGGGCUUAAGGGAACUGGGCUCAACCUUUUAUAUUUGUUCAUUUCAAAUUACGGCCCUUUUAAAUAGAAUACUCAAUGUCUGGGUUCAUUUUGAUCCAUUGUCAGUCAACACAUUCGAGCAAAAUUUUAUGCGAAGUAAAUGGUUUCAGAUUCAUGUAAAAUUGUACGUGCUUCUUACACGUGCUGUAAUUAUAUGAGUAUUUCAUAAUUUUUUAUAUAAACUUUGAAAAAUAAAAAAUUAUAAUCAUAAAAAUUCCCUAAAUUUAAUAAAAAAUAAAUCUCAAAAUUAGAAGUUUUAUUUUUAAUAAAAAUUAUGAAAAUUUGAGAUUUAAUAAAAAUCCCCUAAAUUAUUAAAAUUUUAGGAUUUUCUCUUUUAAGAAAUAAAUUUAGUUAUUUUAAUAAAAUUUUACAAAAUUAUAAUUUUUAAUAAAUAAAUUCAGUUAUUUUUAUUAAAAUUUUGCAAAAUUAUAAUUUUUUAAUAAAAAUGAUUAAUAAAAUUUUGUAAAAUCUAAAUUUAGUAAAAAUUAGUUGAGCACCUCUAUUUGGGAUGUAUUUUUUUUAUUAAACUUAUGGAUAUUUUUAUGAUUAUAAUUUUUAUUUUUCAAAGUUUAUAUAAGAUAAAAUAGUUUUUUAAUUUAUUUUAGGGUAAAUUUGUCAUUUUUAAAUUAUUUAACGAUGUCAGUGUAAAAGUGGUUAGUUGAUAUUGAUGUGAAAAAAAAGUUAGUGCAGAAAAUAUGUUAUAAUUUUGUGAUGGUUGGAUGAAUAAAAAAAAAGUGGUUCAAUGAUAAUUUCCCAAAAUUUAAUAAUGUCUACUACAAUAAUAAAAAAAGAAGAGAACAAUUCAAUUAUUUUAAUAAAUGCUCUCUACUUCUGUCUUGUAUUUUUCUUCAUUGAAUUUUCUUUUUGUUGUUUAAACCGUUAAGUUUUGAGUGCACUUUUUAUACUAAUUGUUGUUGAAUCUUGAAGAUCAUAUCGAAAAAUCUUCCUUUGAGGCGUGAAAAUUUGUCUUAAGGACAUGCCUUGACAAAUAUAUAAUUAAUGUGUAUUGGGUAGGAUAAGUAGUACCAAUGAAUAGUAAUGUAAACAUUACCAACAGUAAUUAUUCAUAAAAUUUUAUUCUCCAUGUUCUAUAUUUGUCUCAGUCUAUUAUUAAUCAAUGUUUAUUGAUUAAUGUUGUUGUUUUAGUUGGGUUAGGAGUUUAAAGAAACAAUAUUGCCUUAUAAAUAUAAGUACUCGUCUUUAUUCAUCUCUAAUCGAUCCUCAAAUUCAAAAAGUUAAUUUUUAUUUGACUAAUCACGUUACCCGUGUAAAUAUAUUGAAGUUGGCUUAUAUAAGUGGAUUAGCCAAGUUUUUUUUUUUCUAAAUUAGAUUAUGCCAAGGUUAAGGUUCGUUUAAUUGUGAAAAAUAAACCAAAACCAUCACACAACAGUGUGGUUUAAUUUUAUUUAUUUAAUAAAAUCCGUUGAUCUCAAAUUCAUUGGCACCCCUAAUCAGAAAUAAAACAAACAAAUAGAAUAAUCAUCAAUAUAUUCUUAUGAGUGGGAAUAUUUUCUCCACAAUUUGUGUAAACCACCUCAUUUUAGAAAAAUAAUAUCCGAAGACUCAUAAUAUCAUUUUUAAAUAAUUCAAAAUAAAUAAAAAUUUAAGAAAAUUAAUCAAUUAAAUCUUUCAUUUUGUGCUUUAAAUUUCUCACCAAAAAAAAAAAAAUUGCUAUAACAUAAGUUUCAAUUGACUAUUUUUUUUCUUUAUCAUCUCCACAUGUUAUGAUAUAAAUUUUAUAGUUUGAUAAAUUUUAUGAGAUAUUUGUGAAAUUUUAUGAGAUAUUUGUGACAAAGAUUUUUUUUAAAUUUUUAAUUGAGGAUUAAAAAUUAUACUAAUAAAGUAGUAUCGAUAAAUAAUUUAGAUAACAGAAUUCUAUGUAGAAUAAAAUUCUAAAAAAAAAUGUUGAAGUUAAAACGAGUUUUUGAUAUUUUGAUACUACACCUAUUAAGGGUAAAAUAAUCAAACUAAACUUAUGUUAAAAACUUAAAUCGUAAAGAAAUAAAUCAUGAACGGAUUAAAUUCAUUAAUUGCACAAAAUUCAUGCUUUAAUUAAUAAUGUAAAAUUCUUUAUAUUCAAUUUUUUUCAAGACUGGGGCGAAAUUAAAGUUACACCAAUGGUCCCAUUCUUAUGACACAUUAAAGUGAAAAGCUAAAAAUUAAUCAAAACGUGAACAUGUAAGCAAAGUCUCACGACUUUGAACAAAUUACGCAAAUUAAUGAACCAAAAACGUUGACGACCAAAUCAAAGCGAGUGGUUUCAUUUUUCAUUAAAAACUGCCGACCGUUUGAAAUGUAUUGUACGGUUGAGUCGUCGUCUUUGAUUUCCUGGUUUAUUCAAACCACUAACUAAUUUAGCAGAUCAAAGUUAUGUUUGUGAGUCUUCGAAGAAGUAAGUAAUCCCACAUUGCUUAAUUCAAUAAAAUUUAUUGGUUUAUAACUAAAAUCAACUUUAUUGAUACGGCCAGGGGGUCUAAAGGGAGAACAUGUAUCUCUUCCGAGGCUCGCUGAUUUUGUUUUAAGUAUUGGGCCAAGCGGAACUGGGCUCAACCGUUUAAAUUUGUUCAUUUAAAUCACGGCCCUUUUAAAUAGAUUAGGCAAGGUCUGGGUUCAUUUUGAUCCAUUGUCAGUCAAUACAUUCGAGCAAAUUUUUAAGCAACGUAAAUGGUUUCAUGUUCAUGUAAAAUUGUACGGACUGAUUAAGUUGACCACACUUUUACAGUUUAAUGAUUGCAACUGUUUGUAAUUCGUCCAUCCAUGUGAAGUCAUAUACCGUUUGUAAUAUAUUAUGCGUGUUGUAAUUAUAUGAGAAUUUCAAAAUAUUGAUAUCCCACAAUAAAGUAAAGUGAGAGCAAUUUUUUUUUUUUUGUGUUUAAUUUAAAAUUAGUCAUGUACAAACUAGAGUUGAAUAAAUGAAAUUUACAUGUGAUUUGAAUUAUUCGAGUUGAAUUAAAUUGUGAUACUCAUGGAUAACAAAUUCAAAUUGAAUAAGAAAAGUGAAUGAUUAAUUCAAAUUGAAUGAGAAAAAGGUCUAUAUAAGAGAGACCUAUAAAAUCUUUAGUAAUAUCUAUUACGACAAUAAAAAGAGAAGAGAACAAUUCGAUUAUUUUAAUAAAUGCUCUAUGCUUUUGUCUUGUAUUUUCCUUCAUCGAUUUUUCUUUUUGUUGUUUAAACCGUCAAAUUUGGAGUGCACUUUUUAUAGUAAUCGUCGUUGAAUCUUGAAGACCAGAUCGAAAAAUCUUCCUUUGAGGCGUGAAAAUUUAUCUUAAGGAUACGACUUGACAAAUAUAUAGUUAAUGUGUAUUGGGUAGGAUAAGCAAUAACAAUGAACAGUGAUGUAAACAUUACCAACACUAACUAUCCAUGAAAUUUUAUUCGCCACGUUCUAUGUUUGUCUCGGUCUAUUAUUAAUCAAUGUUUAUUGAUUAAUGUUGUUGUUUUGGUUGGUUUAGGAGUUUAAAGAAACAAUAUUGCCUUAUAAAUAUGAGUCCUCGUCUUUAUUCAUCUUUCAUCGAUCCUCAUAUUCAGAAAGUUAAUUUUUAUUUGACAAAUCACGGAAUCCGUGUAAAUAUAUUGAAGUUGGCUUAUGCAAGUGGAUUUUAGUGGAGGCUCAACUCGAUUCACCAAGGACCCUAAAGAGAGCAAAACCAAGCCCAGCGAGAGCUGGACACUAGAGCAGACAUGAGGGCCCUUUUGUAAUUUUGUCUCAAAGUUUUUUAUUGGGCUAGACCGAUUCGGCCCAAACUUUUGAUUUUUCUUUUUAAACUAUUUCGGCCCUGCUCGCAUAUUCUUUGACGCGUAAAAGAGAAAAAAUAACACAUGGACCACUGCUUGCCAACACAAGGAAGCAAAAAGCCUCACGAUUUUCAACAAAUUAAGUAAAUCAGAAGAAACAAAAACAAGCAAAGCAAAUGGUUUCAUGUUGAAAAAACCAUGGGUUCUGUUCCCUGACCCACCGGUUGAAUUUUUUAGAAGGAUGAAAAAACCCCCAGCGCCGCUGGUUUUACUGGCUUUUAAUUCUUUUAUUUCUCACACUAUAAAUAGCCGACGACUCCGUCAAUCAGAGAGCAUCGAGUUGUUUAAAUCCCCAUAGAAAAACUCAGAGCCACCCCACUUCUUCCAAUAUACACAUAUUCAAAAUCCCAUAUCUCUGUAUAUUCGAAGUUGCAGAAUUCAAAAAAAAAAAAAAAAAAAGAUUGAAACAUGAGUGCAGCAGCAAGAAAGGCUUGGUUUGUGGCAGCGAGUAUUGGGGCUGUUGAGGCAUUGAAAGAUCAAGUGGGAAUCUGCAGGUGGAAUUUUAUUAUAAGGUCCGUGCAUCAACAUGCAAAGAACAAUUUGAGGUCAUCGCUCAAUCAAGCCAACAAGGCCAUCUCUUCAUCUCCAGCUUCCAGGGAGAUUUUUAAUAGUAAUAAUUUUUAUAACAAGGCGAAGAAGCCCGAGGAAAAGGUCAAAAGGGUCAUGGAUUUGAGCUGCUGGGGUCCUAGUACUGUUAGGUUUUGAUGACUUUGAUCUUGAUAAUCACCAUCAUCGUCUCAUGAAUGUACAUGAUCCGAUGUCUUCUUAUUUAGAGAUAAUUAUUUAUCUAGUUAUGUCUUUAUUUUUUUUUUCAAUUUUUAAAUGUAAUAUCAAAUUCUACCUCUUUAUCUUUGAUAUAUAUGAUAUGAGUGGAAUUUGAUGAAUUCAUUCAUAAUCCUUCUAAUCAUUUGAAGAGAUUUUGUAUCAGGUGGUUGGAUACUUAAGGAGUAUUCACCAAAUUAAUUAAUCAGUAGCGAUUUAUACUUAGUUUUUGAUUCACCAAUGCUAAGAGACAAAACUAAAAAUUUAUUAUAAAUUAAUUAAUUGUCAAUUUAUCAUCAUCGUUAUUAUCAUUGUUGACUUUCCUUGAAUUUUCCGUCUGGGUAUAAACUAUAGUGUCACAGCAAAUUGACAAUAACAAACAAUUUUUUUUUUUUUUUGAAAUUACAGCAAAAAGAUAAAUAAUUUAGAUUCAAAUACUUUGGAUUGUUUCCUGUUGGCUUGAAUAACCAAGAACUGCUUGUUGUCUUUUCUACUAGCCAAUUCUAUAAAAGAAAGGGGUCUUAGCAGAAUCAGGAGAACAGAAAAAUUCUCUUGAUUUUGAGCAGCUGCCAAAAUCACUAUUUAAAUUGUAAGAAACAAUUAAAAUGAGUACGUCGGCAGGAAAAGCUUGGAUUGUGGCAUUGAGUGUUGGUGCCCUGGAAGCUUUUAGAGAUCAGGCAGGAAUUUGCAGAUGGAAUAACAGUUUAAGUUCUUUUGCUCAGGUCAAUUUAAUUUAUGCUCCAGCUUCUGAUUUCAGGGAUAUGAUCAAUUUUUCAAGCGUUUUCAGAAACAAGAACUCCAUGGAAAAAAUCAUGCUUUUGGGCUGUUGGGGUCCUAAUACUGUUAGAUUUUAGUUCUCAAAAUUGGAAUUUUUUUCUUUUUCUUUGGGCCAACAUAAAGAUUGUAGUCAUGGACUUCUGGGUGCCAGCAUUUUAUAAUAAACAUAUGCUUAGCCAAAUUUCAUAAUUCUAUUGUCUUUUUCUUAGUUAAUUUUGCAAUGUUUGUACUGGAGAGAAGAUUUUGUUAGAAAUUAAACAUUUGAGAAAGUUCGAUUAAUUAAAAUGAUUUUAGAAGAAUUAAUUAAUGCAACCAUUUCUUUUUUUUUUUCCGUUGGAACUUUGUUAUAUCAAUACGCUAUAAGCAUAUAUCGUUAUACUUUUUUGUCAAGGCCAUCUCUAUGUUACCCUACAGUCUAUGUACUAUCAAACGAUUUGAUUUUUUUAAUUUUUCCGACUUGUUAAUACUGUCGAAACUAUACCACUGAAAACCAUUGUUGAACUCUGUUAUUAUUAAAUUUUAAGAACCUAAUUCACCAAAUUCUCAAAUUCCUUAAAUAUUACGAUUACAAUAAUUAAUAUAACUUCUUCCGGCUUCAAAAAGUGGUACUUGGCAAUUUUCAAUCAUUAAGCCACGAUAUGAAAUUGGUUAAUAAACGUAGAAGAAAAAGUAUUAUGUCAAAGCAACGAUUUUAGGUUCGAUUGUGUAUGCGCUCAAGAACGAUAUGGUAAUCGAUUUUAUUCUAUACACAGAUGGAGAGCAGUGAAUAUUAAGGAUGGCAAAAUUCAGAUAGGAUCUGAAUAUAGGUGUAUCUAGAUUUAGAUCACACAUUGAUAUUUUGAGAUUUGGAUCCGCAUCUGGAUCGGCAAAAAGAAUAUGUGGAUCGGAUGGAGUUACAAUCUCGCGGAUUGCGAGCAAAUUUUGUCAUACUUAAUUCAAUAAUUUACCUAAUAAAAUCAAAUAAAAUCUAAUUGACACUUAGAAUGACAUUCAAUAACACUAUAAAUCUACAAAUAAAAUUACCACAACAUAAAUUAAACAUUAAGAGUAAUAUAAAUCUAAGUCUAACUCAACCAUAAAUCCAAAAAUAAAAACACCAUAAGUCCACAUAAAUUUCUUUUAAAACCAUCACAAAUAAGAACAUCACCACAAAUCUACAUAGAUUUGAUUUUUUUUUUAUUUAACUUACACAUCUUUUAAUUUUAUUUUAUUUUAAUAAAUCAUUUAAUGAAAAAAUAAUGUAGAUCCAAAUAUCUGAUUUUUCAAAUGCACUUACAUUCGAAUCUACAAGAAUUUUAAUUUUUGGCAUCCAAAACCACAUUUUUUAAUGCCCAAAUCUGAAUUUUUUGGAUCUUUCAAAUAUUUAUAGAUCCAGACCGAAUUUGGAUUUUUUUUUUGUCAUCCCCAAUCAAUAUGGUAGUUUCAACAAUUUUCAACCUUUACACAUCUUCCUAACUGCUUGGCUUUUAGUAAAGAUGGCAAUGGUUCGGGAUUUGACAAUCUCGGUCCCAUCCCGAAUAGUAAAACGAGAUUUUAAUGCGGACCGAAUCCCGUCCCGAAUAGUUAAACGAGAGAAAAAUAAUGAACUAAUCCUAGACAGCUCAAAAUCCCGUCCUGGACCAAAUGGCCCAACGUCCCAAAUGUCCCAUUUAAUAAAUACUAUAAAUUUCAUUAAAAUAUUAAAAAAAUAUUUAAUCCAGUGAUUCUAUAAAAUUGUUAACAUCUCAAUAGACAUUAUAAUCAUGGGAUGUGCAAUUAAACCAAAAAUAACAUCCAAAAGUAAAUUAACUAAUUGUAAAGCAUCCAAAAAUAAACCAACAUAUAAUAACCAACAAAAGCAUCCAACUUCUAAAAAAAAAAAAAAAAACAAAAACAAAAGCAUCCAAGAUUUUUGUCUACAUUCUUCAACUCCAAGUUCAUACUUUUGGAUCAACCUAUAAAAAUUAGAAUAUGUAAAGAAUAAAUUAGAAAAACAAAUAAUAUUAUACAUUGAUAAUUACAUGAUAUGCAUUUAAUAACGUUUAAAAACAUUAUUAGUUACGGAAAUGCUAGAUGAGGUGGUUGAAGUUAAGCAAAAAAUGGGGAUGAGCAACAUGCAGUUGUGUUUUAGUUUUAGAUUAAAAUACUUUUAGGUUUCCAUUUUAAUAUUUUUGUUUUAGAUUUAUUUAAUUAAACUAAAAAUAAUACAACAAACGGGCUUGUGAUUGGUACUUGGGCUUAGGAUAUAUUGUUUUAAUGCUAUUUGAAUCACGAUUUCUUAACUAUUAGUUUAAUUUUACUUAUUUUUAAUUUUAUUAAUAUAAUAUUUCUUUCAAAAAUUAAAUGGGACAAACGGGAUCCCGCGGGAUCCCGACUUAGAUCCCAAUCCUUUUCCACAAAGAAAAUUGAGAUUUUUUUUUUCAAUAUUAAAUCCCGCCCGCUUUUAAAAUUUGAUUCUAAAAUAUGGAUCAAUACAGUCCCAAUAGUUCGGGAUCCCAAAUUCCGAAUGUGAUUUGCGAUUUUUUGUCAUCCCUUGGAGUAGGUAUCUAGUUCAUUGCUUUAGGUAUUAGCAAUAGCACUAUGCUGUUCUUGUGCAUAAAUUACGGAUUGGUUGUAUUUAACAGUAAUUUAACGUUAAAUUGUGCAGACUGAGUGAUAUUUGGACAGCAACGUUAACAGUAAGUUAACGUUAAUUUCAAUAUUUGGAUCCUCUGCGAUUCUUUUCUAUUAUUUUGAGUGAUAUUUGGACAAUACUGAUUGCAGAAUCAUAAAUUUCGAAUUACAAUAAAGGAGGUAAAAUUGCGAUAAUACAAUAUUUAUUUCAUAAUUUAAUCUGCCCUCUCUUUCACUCUGGAAAGUUCCAGCUUCAGUUACAUCUCAUAUUCCGAAAGCCGACAGCGGAUCAAAAACGUCAAUAGAAAAGUUAUCCGUGUUAGUAUAUAACCAUGUGCAUAUUAAAAGUACUUGCCCACAAAGUCAGCAAAACCGUAUAGUCAUCACUCCACUCAGCAGCCAUUUGUCAUUCGUCAUUUGUCACCACCCAUUGAAUUAUUUUUUGAAACCAAAAAAAAAAAAAAAACCAGCAUCUCUCUGUCCAUAGGCCUGGGAUCCAAACCCACGAAUGGUUUCACUUUCCCGAAAAACAAACAGAACCCCGGUUUUUUUUUUUUUUUUAAGUAAUUCGACCUUUUUAACAGCUCUCUAUUAUUUUCCUAUAUAAGUACCCAAAUCCAACGAACAAACUGUCACUUAAAAGUCCAAGAACUCAACAACCUCUCUACUCUCUAUAAGUUGCCCAUCAAAUUUUCUUCCGGAACCCAACUUAAUAUUUUAUCGUUUAUAAUCAUUAAAAGAAGUAUUUGGGGGUGAGGAGAGUAUAGUAAGAGACAUGAGCAGCAACGGUGGCAGAGUUUGCAAGUUUGAUUCAGCAUUCAUCAAGUAUGUGCUGCAAGAAUCUUGUGGCUAUAAUAAGGGCAACAAUAAUUCUAUUGCAAGGAGUCUUGCUGGUGGCGUUAGUAAUAAUAAUAACAGUCAGGGUAUCAAGAGGUUUAAUGGAGAUGAGAUCAAGAAAAAAAGGAGGCAACAAGAGAAGGCUGAGAUGCUCUUCCACCUAAUUUGCUGGGGACCCAAUUAAUUUAUUAUUUGUAUUUCUUCUUUUUCUUCAUUAUUUAAAAAAAAAAAUCAUAUGGGAGAGAAAGAGAUGUAUUGGUUUAUCUUUAUUGUAGGAAUCUUGGUGCUUAUGGAAAUAAAUCAUAUGCUUUCAAUUUAUUGGAUUUUCAAUUUCAAAUGAUUUUUAUUUAAACAUAAAAAUUAGCUCGGAUAUUUAGGCAUUAAAAAAAAAGGUCAUUCACAUCCAAACAUCCUUCCAGAAUUUUCUAUUAGAAACAAUCUAGAAUUUCAACUCAAUUUAGGUAUACUAAAAAUUUGAUGUAAAAUAUAUAAUUUGAUGGAUAUUUUAGUAAUUUCAAUAAAUUUAUCAUAGAAGAUUAAAAAAAGAAAAUAAAUUAAAGCUUAGCAACGAGUAGAGUAAAAAGUCUUCGUUUUGUGAAUGAUAUUGUAAACGGUGGAUUUACUGCUUGUAAAAGUAUAGUUGUGGAUUAAAUGUUUAGAUUUCAGGAACCCGAAGGCAUGAUAAGAAAAUAGAAGAGUAAACGAAAAGAAUAAUGACAUUGUAAAAUUUCAUGUAUUAAAAUUAUCUAAAUUAAUUAAACAAUCAUCUUCCGAAUUGGGAGAUGGACCUGCCACAGUCAUUGUCCAGACAAAAGAAACUCGGUGUUGACAAAAAAAAUUUAGUAAAUCGAAUUUCAGGCAAAAUAUCAAUAUCAUUUUUCUAUUUAUAAUAAUGUAUAAUUAGAUAUAAUUACAUAUUAUUUCUUAUUCAAUAAUUACCUAAUAUAGGUCCUCUUUGUGAUUGAAAUGCGAUAAUUUUUAAAUUACAACUAUUUUGAAAAAAAAACUAUAAUUAUAAAAUAAAAAUUAAUAGUAUAUAAUAAAUAUAACUUUUAAAUAAUUUUUAAAAAGAUAAUAGAUUUUUUAUUAUAAAAGUAAAAAAUUAUAUUAAUAUAUCUUUCAAACUACUAGCGGCCAACUUUUAUUAAUCCCAAACAGAAUCAUAAUAUUAUUAAAAAAAUAAUUUUUUAGGAGUAACGAGACAUCUGUGUCUAGAUAUUGAUACAAAGUAUUUGAUCAACACAUUUGUAAGAGAAGACCUAGUAAUGCAAAUUUGUUGGCACUAUAAGAUUAAAAUAUGGAGUAAUGGUUUUUUUGCAAUGCUCAGUUCUAUUUUCUAGGAAGAUAUUUUUAUUGGCUGCACGUUGAUAGAAACUAGGAUGGUUAAUAGCUUGUAAUUGGAGGCAAAUCACGAACAAAAUUAAUUCCAAUAAACCAAGCAUUAAAGUAGUCAACGAAACCAAACAUAAAACAAAUGUCAUUCCAAAUUAAUCUAUUUAAAACAGGGACAAUGAUAUACCGAAAGUCUAAAGUAAUUGAAAUGAAAACUGAAUACCAAACCCAACGACUAAGACCAUUGUUCAAGCCACAUAAGUGGAUUAAAUGGAUGGAAGGGAUCUGUCUCAAAGAAUGGCUCAAUGCUUCCAUUCUCCAUGUUAUAAAUUCCAGUAUCUUUACCUCCUGCUUCAACGUAUUCCUCGGCGGCCAGGUACCAAUAAGAGUCGACAAAAUCAUCAGUGAAAUAAAUGCAAUUGGGUUUACACUCAGAAUUACUUGAUGCGUCAACAGACAGUGAAGAAUUAAAACCCAAAAAGAGGGAUCUGUUACCCAAAUUCUGGAUCUUCGACCAUUUAUUAGUACUUAGAUCGACCUCAAAAACCUGAAACCCCAACGUUCUGAAAGUGUUCUCCUCCGUUAGGUAGCCUAGAUGAGUAGGUGGUACUUGUACUCCCCUCCUUGAAACCACAAAUAAUGUGCCAUCUUCAGACUCAACCAUAUACAAAUACUCCACAACAUCUUCAAUAAAUUCGGCAGGUAAUUCCGCGAUUCUUGUAGCAGUACUGUCAUCAUCUUUGACGGCAAAUAUUUGACCAAAAGCAUUGAUAGCAUAAAAUUGAUUUUGGAAGUAAAUAGCAUCAACAAAAUGUUUAGCAUUAUUAGACGUGUUAAUUUUUCUCCAAACUUGACCGCCUGGCCUAGCGCAGCCCAAAUUCCCGUCUCUUCCGUAAAGAAGCAUGGCUUGUAAUGAAUCGGGGUUGGACGAAGAUAAUACGCAUUUGGUUAAUAUGAAAGUAAUAAAGCAACCCUCUUCACAAUGCCGAUUAUGCUCAUACGGAUCAGAAGCUACCAAGGUUUCGAUGGAAGGCAGUUUAAGUUGAAGGCGUGAAAAAGGAUGCACAAGAGUCAUAUAAUUGGGACUGAUGCAUGAAUCGAUAAAUUUAAUAAGCCAACCCCGUGAAGAAAAGUACCUACCGUUUUCAUACUUUUCAGGGUAAGGAUCUUCAGGUCAAUUUACUCGGAGGAGGCUGCUACUGCUGCCCUUCGAAAGAUCCAAGAAACUAAUGGAACCGUUUUUGGGUGGCAGCAUAAGCAGAGGAUUGCACUCGAUAUGUUUAUCUGAAACUGCAGCCGAUGCCGAUGCAGAUUUCCAGCGCCGCUUGGAGUUGGAGAAACGAAUUGAAUAUUUUUUCGGAGGAAGCGUACGCCAAGGAACUGUGGCCGAUCUGUCUAAAGUGCGAACCCCGGCAAAAGAAACAAAAUCCUGAAGCAAUUUUGCGGACGAGUAGGCCAUUGUUUUAGUAGGCUGUUCUUCUCUUCACGAUGGCAAAUUAGAGCAAAUCUCUGUGGCAUUUAUAUUUGAUUUAGUCUCACCCUCUCAUAAUUGGAGAAGGAAAGCGGUUUUCCUUUUGCAGUCGGACUAUGAAUCUCACGUAUUUCUAGAAACAUUCAACGGCCAAGAUCUCAGUCUUUGGAAUGGACGACUCUUUCGAUUGCCUUGAAAGACUUGCUUGGCUAUUUUUUAAGUCCUUUCAGUUUUCACGUGACUUGCCAGAAAGUGCAAAACUAUUUUUCAUUUUAUUUAUUUUUUUCUUUUCUAAACAAGCUUUUAAUUAUUUAUUUAAUUUUUAUUUCAAGGAAAAAAAAAACACUAAUCACUUACUAAAUUUGCCAUGCUAAGACCCCGAUUGUGGCCAAAAUUUAAUAAAAUGUUUAUUUCAUAAUUUUUGAUAAAAAUUAUAAAAUUUAUUUAUUUUAUAAUUUUUUUUAUUUUAAUAACAAUUUUUAAAAAUAAGUAGAGGAUUGUUUUUCAUAAACAACUUAUUCAAUAAGUCACUAUUCUUUUGAAAAUUUUCUGUUAUAACCUUAAUAUUUUAACAAAAAGAUAACUAUGUCCUAUUUUUUCAUAUACCUAAUGUAUAAGUCAUUAGAUAUCAUAUUACAAGCAUAAUCAAAUUACCCUUACAAUUUUAAAGUUUUGAUCCGGUAAAUUUAUAUUUUUCAUAUUUUACUUUUAUCUUCUAUUAUAAAAUUUAAUAAGACUUACAUAUGAUUACGUAAAUUUUCUUUAAACUAUGAACAAUUUUGCAUGGAAUUUAACCACAACUUUUAAAAUCAAUUUCAUAACUAUUGAUUUUUAACAUUCAAUCAUAUAUAUUUUUUCUACAUACAAAGUGUUUAUUGCAAUAAGUUAAAUAUGAAUGUAAUACAUAUUACUUUUUUAUUUUAUUUGGAUUAUGUCUUGAUAUGAAUUUUUAUCAUAUUUUAUGUAACAUAUUAUGAAGUUCCUUAAAUUUUAUAUAAUUGAUUUUUUUUUCACUUUAUGUAACUUUAUGUAUUUUAAAAAGAAAAAGAAAUGUCUAAAAAUUAUUAAAUAUACUCUAAAAAAUAAAAAUAAUUUAAAAUUACGUUUAUUUUGGUCAUUACCUAAUAAAAUAAUAUUUUAAAAAUUUGCUACCCGUACAUUACUCAAUAACAAUAUAAUUUACCAAACACUAAAUUAUUUUUUUAUUCAACAACUUAUUUUAUCUGCACAACAAAUGCAACUUAUUUGGUUAGCCGCUGCAAUCCCGAACCGGCACUAACUUGGGCUAAAAUGCAAAACGAAAGCUAUGAUCCGUUGAGACCCACGACUUACUUAGAAAGCAAUGUCCUCUUUCAUCGUUAGGAAUCUAACGUGGAGAAAGGAAGUGACUUCCUAAUCAAACUUGAGAUGUUCCAUUUAUUGCAUUCAGACUCGCAGUUGCCUACAGAUACCUGAUGUUUCAUGUGACUUCUCUUAAAAAUUAAGAUAGUUUAUUUAUUUGUCUAAAAGUUACGAUAAUUUUUUUUUCCUCGAAUUCAUGCUCGAACAAAGAAAUCAAAAGAUGAUCAAUGAAAAACAACAUAUACAACAAGUAAGUUAAGUAUAUUUUGAGGAUUUACGUACGUAUAAGGAUUUACAAAAACAUAAUAAAAAUAUUUUGUUAUAGAGAUUUAUAGUAAAUAUUAUGGUUCCAUCUAAUACCUAAUUAUUUAUUUAAAAUCUUUAUAAUAAAUACAAAAUAUUAUUAAAAUAAAUGUAAUAAUUUACACAUUUAAAUUGUUUUAGAUAUUAAAAACAUAUUAAUAUUAUUAGUUUACUAGAAAGAUUAUAUUAUUUAUAUUGAGUUUAUAUUUAUUAAGAAAAUUUAAAGUCUAUUUUUUAAUUACUCUAUCAAAAGAGUAUUAUAGUUAAAAGGAAGUCUUAACAUCAUUUUAAAAAAAAUUAGGGUUCUCUACGACCAUUUUUUCAAAUUUUGAGGGUAUAACUGUUCUUUUCUCGCAUUCAAUUUCUAUAAUAGAACUCCUAGUGACUAUUACUAGAGUAAUAGUAAUGGCUUUAACUUUUUGAACAAUUUGCGUGGAGAGCAAGAUAAGCUAACAUAUAAUAGAAGAAAAGCCUAAAGAUGGAUAUAGGGCUCAAGAUUCCGCUUUUGACACUUAUAGCAUAUUCUAAGUCUUUGUUUGGUAUUGAGGUGCUGUAAGUUAAAAAUUACAGUUACGGUAAAAAAAAUUAACUAUGAAAUAAAAGUUAUUAGUGUAUUGUGAAUAUCAUUUUUAAAUAAAUAUUUUGAUAAAAAUUGUAAGAAAUAUGAUAGAUUUUUUUUUUAUCAUACAACUGCUAAAUAAAAGAAUUUAACUUCUAAACCACAAUUAUAGGUAUUUACUAAAUGCUUUAAUUCUGUAAUUUUUAAGAUAUAGUUGUCCCACCACACUAUUGAAUAAUGCCUAAUUCAUUUGUUAAAAAUUGUAGCAACGUUGAAGGGAGUUGUUUUGAUGUUUGUGGUGGCAGUGUUUUGUGUCAUUGCUUUUGAGUGUUUCAGCAGAAGAAACGGCACCGUUGCCAGCGCCGUCCAUGGGUAAACAAAUAUACUAUUCAAUGGGAUUUCUUGGACUAUCAUUUCACUUCUUUUUUUUCUCUUGUCAGCUAUUGCUUUCUUGAAGCAUCAAAUUGUCCAUUGUUAUACAAAUUUUAUGGUACUGUUAAAUUUAGAAAAAAUACUUUAAGGUGGUGUUUAGUUGGGAGGAGAGUAUGGAGGAGAGGAAAAUAAUUUAAAUUCUCUUUUUAUUUUCAUUGUUUGGUUUGACAAAAUUUAUAAGAAUUUAAUUUCCAUUAGAAUUUAAUAUCCAUCGUAAUAUAGAAUUUGAAUUCCUCACCUAGUAAUGAAGAAUUUAAAUUUCUCUUAUGUUAGAAAUUAAAGUUUUUAAAAUUACUCUUCAACUUUUUAACUUGUUUAAUGCUAUUAAUAAUUAUUAUUUAUAAUUUUAUUUUAUGGAUUUAAUAUUAUAAAUGGACCUUCGCCGGAAAGUCACCGGAUGUAGCCGGACUUUCGCCAAAAAGUCAUUGGACCUCCAUUGGACAUCGCUGGACCUUCACCGCUGGCAACUGGACUGCCAUUUUAUUAUAUAUAUAUAUUAUUAAUAUAAAUAGUUUAAUUUUUAAAGUAAAUGAUAAAUUUGUUUAAAAAAAAUUAUAAUUAAUUUCCUUAUCAAAUUUUAUAUCAAACCAAACAAUAAAAUCUAAUUUCACUACUUUUCUCCAUUCUGUUCUUCUCUCUUUCGCUCCAUUCAACUCUUUUUUUCUCCUCCUGUUUCUUCAAACCAAACUUAGCCUAAAUUCCUCUACUGAAUUGUCCUUAGCCCAUAGAAAUUUUCUUUUUUUCUCCCCCCUCAAGAGAUAGCCCAUAGCAAAGUCGUUCCCGUAAUUGUAUAGAAAAGAACAACAUGGGCCUCAACUCACUCCAGCCGAAUAGACAAACUUAAGAACAAAUGCAAGGAAGCCCGAAACUGUUCAAUUAACCACCUUAGAGAAGAAACUUAUGAGACAAGCUAUAGGUGCCUUGUUGAUGAAGUAAAAUGCCAGGAGCUGGGAAUUUGAACACAAACUGAUCUCUGCAGACGUUGUACAUACAGUACAAAGUACAGUCAAGGCUGAUUUAACGGUUACAUCUGGGGCUACACAAUCAUACCAUUAGAGAUCUAAUCUCAAUUAGUUGGAGAGCACAACAAUAAUGGUGAAAAUUCAUACUCUGUAAAGAAUUCAUCAAUAAAAUGAACAUCUCCAUACAUAGAUCUAUUAUUAUCUCUACUAAAAUAACUUUAACUAAUUGAGUUAAGAAAUAAAUCCAAGUCUACUCAGCCAUGGCUCUGGCUACUGAUAAUUUACUUUAUAAAAUCAUAUGCAUUAAGGAAAUCAAAAGCCCUUUUCUAGUUACUUUCAGAUAAUUCACUUUAUCAAUUCAUAUGCAUUUGAGGAAAUGAAAGCCCUUUUAUUUUUAGGCGACCAUUAAAAGUUCAGCUAAAAAAGAUGAGCUUUGUAUGUGAUCUUAUGUAUGUAUGUUGAAUGAAUCAUGACGUUAUGUCAUUGUAAUGAUGUUAUACUUCUUUAAUGAAAAACAUGCUCUCUUUUGAAAAAAUACUAUUAAAUAUUUAUGAAUCUAAUUUAUCUUUUCGCAUACCUCUUAAAAACAACUAUCCUUAAACAAAAUCAAAUCCACAUUUCUCUACUUUAACCUCUCCUUUAUGCUUUCACAAAUGACGUAACACACAAUAUGACAUAUCUUCAUGGUGGCAUGAAAUCUUUUUUAUUUUUACUUUUUAUUUUUAUUAUGUUGGUUCUUUUUCUUUUUGGUGGUACUGCGAAUGCAAAAACUAAGAGAUCAUCAGCAAUAACUAAGAGACCAUCAACUACAACAAAUCAUUUCACCAAAAAAAAAAAAAAAGAUCUCAAAUCCAAAGGUCUGAAACGUAUUAUUUGAUUGACAAAAUUUGAAUUAGACUUUUUAAAUUUAAAACUAGCUAUUGAUGUAAUUAUUUUUAUUACUAUUCUUUUAUUCAUAGGUGAUAUAUAUAUUGUGAAUUGUGAUAAUUGAAAUAUAAAGGUGAAUGAAAGAGCAUCUAUGUACUUUUAAUUAUUUUUUUAUUUUUUAAAAAAUAAUUCACUAUUAAAAAAAAAACAAAGAUUAUUAGGGUAUAAUGUUGUAAAGUAAAAUGUGGGUACUAACUGAAUAACUACAUUCUUCUAUUUUGACUGAUUUUCGGACUAUAUUAAAAAUAGAAUCAUAAAUUUUUCCAUCAUAUAAUUAAAACAAUGAGGGAAAUUGCAACAAUAUUUCGUAAUUUAAUAUUGGUGGCAAAUUGGUAAUUGAAGUUGGUGGCGUUAAUAACAAUAAAAAUAAUGAGGCUAUCAAGAGGGUUAAUGGAGAUGAGAUCAAUAAUAUUAAAACAAAUGAGGGAUAUUUGCUAGGCUCCCAAUUAAUUAGUUAUUUUUCAUUUCAUUUUUUCAUUAUUAAAAAAAGAUUUGUUCUUUAAUGUAUGUAAUUACAAUCAAUUAAAAAUUGUAAGUAGAACUUUUAUAUUUGAAAAGUAUUUAAUUAUCAGGCUUAAAUAAAUUAAACAAUUAAAAUUUAUUCAUCAUUUUAAAAUUUAAAAAUAUUAUUAGUCAAAAUUUUAAAUAAUAAACUAAAUUCAACCCAACAAAAAAGUAUUUAGGUGCCGUUAUUUGUUUGCCAGAGGCACUUUGACUCUCUUUGAAAAACUAGAUGUUGAUGAUUCUUCUAUUAAAAAAACUAUUCAAAAUACUCAAAUUUUAUUUUCUAACUUGUCCUCUUAGUUAACGUAUCUAAUAAUAAAAUAUCAAAAUUUACAUAAAAAAUUUAUGAAAAUGUUGAUAAUUGUUACUAUAUGUUUUUUUCAAGUUAUUUUGAUACUAGUAACGAUGCUAUAUUAUAUUAACAUACUUUCUUUUCAAUUAGAAUUUUUUAAAAAUAGAUUAAAGCAGUAAUAACCUUUUAGACCCCUAGCGUUUUCAAUCCAUUCAAUAAAUAUAUAAUUUAAUCAUUUUAUAAAAUGAGUCACCAAUUUCAAUUGGAAAAAUAAUAUAAUUGAGUUAGGGACAUAUUUGAAAAUAAAAUAAAAGUUCUAUUGUUAUAUGAAAUUGAUAAAACAGAAGGGUAACUAAGUUAGGGAUAUUUUCUCAAAAAAAAAAAGUUAGGGACAUAUAUGAAAAUAAAAUAGAAAUUCUAUUUCUUUCCAUAAAUAAAAUUAAUCAAAAUUAUAUUAUUUAAAUAAUUUUUUCUGGACUAGCGUCCAGGUGUAGGUCCGCCACUGAGCUGCACUAUGCUGUUCUCGUGCAUAAACUACGGAUUGUAUUUAAUAGUAAGUUAACGUAAAUUGUGGAGAUUGAAUACUUUCAAUAUUUGAAUCCUCUGCGAUUCUUCUCCAUUAUUUUGAGUGAUAUUUGGACAAUACUGAUUGCAGAAUCUGCUGUACCGUACAUCCGCCUUGGCCGUACAGCAGUAUUAUUUUCCUAUAUAAGUACCCAAAUCCAACGAACAAACUGUCACUUAAAAGUCCAAGAACUCAACAACCUCUCUACUCUCUAUAAGUUGCCCAUCAAAUUUUCUUCCGGAACCCAACUUAAUAUUUUAUCGUUUAUAAUCAUUAAAAGAAGUAUUUGGGGGUGAGGAGAGUAUAGUAAGAGACAUGAGCAGCAACGGUGGCAGAGUUUGCAAGUUUGAUUCAGCAUUCAUCAAGUAUGUGCUGCAAGAAUCUUGUGGCUAUAAUAAGGGCAACAAUAAUUCUAUUGCAAGGAGUCUUGCUGGUGGCGUUAGUUAUUUCUCUAUAUAAGUACUCCAAUCCAACGAACAAAGUGUCACUUAAAAGUCCAAGAACUCAACAACCUCUCUACUCUAUAAGUUGCCGAUCAAUUUUCCUUCCAGCACCCAACUGAAUAUUUUAUCGUUUAUAAUCAUUAAAACAAGUAUUUGGGGUGAGGACAGUGUAGUAAGAGACAUGAGCAGCUACGGUGGCAGAGUUUGCAAGUUUGAUUCAGCAUUCACCAAGUAUGUGCUGCAAGAAUCUUGUGGCUAUAAUAAGGGCAACAAUAAUUCUAUUGUAACGAGUCUUGCUGGUGGCGUUAAUAAUAUUAAUAACAACAAUCAGGGUAUCAAGAGGGUUAAUGGAGACCAGAUCAAGAAAAAGAGGAGGCAACAAGAGAAGGCUGAGAUGCUCUUCCACCUAAUUUGCUGGGGACCCAAUUAAUUUAUUAUUUGUAUUUCUUCUUUUUCUUCAUUAUUUUUAAAAACAAAUCAUAUGGGAGAGAAAGAGAUGUAUUGGUUUAUCUUUAUUGUAGGAAUCUUGGUGCUUAUGGAAAUAAAUCAUAUGCUUUCAAUUUAUUGGCUUUCAAUUUCAAAUAAUUUUUAUUUGAACAUAAAAAUUAGCUCAGAUAUUUAGGCAUAAACAUCCUUCCAGAAUUUUCUAUCAGAAAUAAUUUAGAAUUUCAACUCAAUUUAGAUAUAUUAAAAUGUUGAUGUAUAAUACAUAAUUUGAUGGGUAUUUUAGUAAUUUGAAUAAAUUUAUCAUAGAAGAUUAAGAAAAUAAAAUAAAAUCAAACAGUGGAUUUACUAUGCGUAAAAGUAUAAGACACAUGUACUAUUCAUAUAAGGGGAGUGUAUCUUACAUGCAUGUAAGAUAGAGAUUGCCAAAAUAUAAUUGUGGGUUAUAUGUUUAGAUUUCUACAACCCCGAAGGCAUGAUAAGAAAAUAAAAUAGUAAACGAUAAGAACAAUGAAAUUGUAAAAUUUCAUGUAUUAAAAUUAUCUAAAUUAAUUAAACAAUCAUCCUCCGAAUUGGGAGAUGGUCAUGGCACAGUCAUUGUCCAGACAAAAGAAACUCGGUAAAGCGAAUUUCAGGCAAAAUAUCAAUAUUAUUUUUCUAUUUAUAAUAAUUUAUAAUUAGAUAUAACUACAUAUUAUUUCUUAUUUAAUAAUUACCCAAUAAAAGUCUUCUUUAGAAUUGAGAUGCGAUAACCUUUAAGUUACAAUUACUGUGGGAAAAAUAUCUAUAAUUAUAAAAUAAUAAUUUUGAUAAAAUUAUUAAAGGUAUAAUAAAUUUUUCAUUAUAGAAGUGAAAAGUUAUAUUAAUAUACCUUUCAAACUAUUAGCACCCAACUUUUACUAAUCCCAAAUAGAACCAUAAUAUUGUUAAAAAAUAAUUUUUUAGGAGUAAUGAGACAUCUAUGUCUCUUAACAUCAUUUAAAAAAAAAAAUUAGGGUUUUCUAAGACCAUUUUUCAAAUUUUAAGGGUAUAACUGUUCUUUUCUCACAUUCAAAUUCUAUAAUCGAACUCCUAGUGACCAUUACGAGAGUAAUAGUAAUGGCUUUAACUUUUUGAACAAUUUGCGUGGAGAGCAAGAUAAGCUAACAUAUAAUAGAAGAAAAGCCUAAAGAUGGAUAUAGGGCUAAAUAUUCCGCUUUUGACACUAAAAGCGUAUUCUAAGUCUUUAUUUGGUAUUGAGGUGCUGUAAGUUAAAAAUUACAGUUACGGUAAAAAAAGCUGUAACUAUGAAAUAAAAGUUAUUAGUGUAUUGUGAAUAUCAUUUUUAAAUAAAUAUUUUGAUAAAAAUUGUAAGAAAUAUGAUAGAUAUUUUUUUUUUAUCAUACAAGUGCUAAAUAAAAGAAUUGAACUUCUAAACCACAGUUAUAGGUAUUUACUAAAUGCUUUAAUUAUGUAAUUUUUAAGAUAUAGUUGUCCAACCACACUAUUGAACAAUGCCUAAUUUUUACUAAAUGCCUAAUUUUUAUAUCAAACCAAACAACAAAAUCUAAUUUCACUACUUUUUUCCAUUCCGUUUUUCUCCUCUAUUUUUUUCAAACCAAACAUAGCCUAAAUUCCUCUACUGAAUUGUCCUUAGCCCAUAGAAAUUUUCUUUUUUUCUCCCCCCUCAAGAGAUAGCCCAUAGCAAAGUCGUUUGCAUAAUUGUAUAGAAAAGAACAACAUGGGCCUCAACUCACUCCAGCGGAAUAGACAAACUUAAGAACAAAUGCAAGGAAGCCCGAAACUGUUCAAUUAACCACCUUAGAGAAGAAACUUAUGAGACAAGCUAUAGGUGCCUUGUUGAUGAAGUAAAAUGCCAGGAGCUGGGAAUUUGAACACAAACUGAUCUCUGCAGACGUUGUACAUACAGUACAAAGUACAGUCAAGGCUGAUUUAACGGUUACAUCUGGGGCUACACAAUCAUACCAUUAGAGAUCUACUCUCAAUUAGUUGGAGAGCACAACAAUAAUGGUGAAAAUUCAUACUCUGUAAAGAAUUCAUCAAUAAAAUGAACAUCUCCAUACAUAGAUCUAUUAUUAUCUCUACUAAAAUAACUUUAACUAAUUGAGUUAAGAAAUAAAUCCAAGUCUACUCAGCCAUGGCUCUGGCUACUGAUAAUUUACUUUAUAAAAUCAUAUGCAUUAAGGAAAUCAAAAGCCCUUUUCUAGUUACUUUCAGAUAAUUCACUUUAUCAAUUCAUAUGCAUUGAGGAAAUCAAAGCCCUUUUAUUUUUAGGCGACCAUUAAAAGCUCAGCUAAAAAAGAUGAGCUUUGUAUGUGAUCUUAUGUAUGUAUGUUGAAUGAAUCAUGACGUUAUGUCAUUGUAAUGCUGUUAUACUUCUUUAAUGAAAAACAUGCUCUAUUUUAAAAAAAUACUAUUAAAUAUUUAUGAAUCUAAUUUAUCUUUUCGCAUACCUCUUAAAAACAACUAUCCUUAAACAAAAUCAAAUCCACAUUUCUCUACUUUAACCUCUCCUUUAUGCUUUCACAAAUGACGUAACACACAAUAUGACAUAUAUUCAUGGUGGCGUGAAAUCUUUUUAUUUUUACUUUUUAUUUUUAUUAUGUUGGUUCUUUUUCUUUUUGCUGGUACUGCGAAUGCAAAAACUAAGAGAUCAUCCGCAAUAACUAAGAGACCAUCAACUACAACAAAUCAUUUCACCAAAAAAAAAAAAAAAGAUCUCAAAUCCAAAGGUCUGAAACGUAUUAUUUGAUUGACAAAAUUUGAAAUAGACUUUUUAAAUUUAAAACUAGCUAUUGAUGUAAUUAUUUUUAUUACUAUUCUUUUAUGGCUGAAACUACAAUGCGUCGUGGGUUUGGUGCCACAGUCGUUUGUCAGUUAGCAAAGUGAGCGUUGGAUUUAAUCCCACGGCUGCAGAAGAGAGGCAGACAUAAAGGGCAGUUACCUCAGGAAAAGGUAAGAGCCGGUCAGCUGGAGAAAAGAUGGGUUUAAUAAGAAAUAGCAUCCAUGUGUAAUGAACAUGUAGUUUUUUAGGAAGGCUGUUGUAACCAAAGAUUAUAGUGGUUCGGCAAAUUUCUUUGCCUACAUCCACUGUGGAAAACAAAGCAAACUCUUUACUGAUUUCAGAGAACAAGUUACAAAUCUGGAGAAUACAUGUAAAUGAAUCGAUACCCUAAACAACAGAUCAUAUGCCCUUUUAUACUCCACUCGGAUCAAUCAGAAAGAACCUGAAGAAGCCAGUUCACGCUCAUGGGUUUCCAGCCAAACAGACCUCCAGCUGCUUCCCGCGUGAUCUAACGGAAAAAACCACUUCUGGAAUUUGCUUAGGGACACUUGUCAAACGUUCAUGUAAUCUGUUGAUUAAAACGCAGAGUUGGCUUGCCGUUUGAGUUAGUGAAACAUGUGACGCAUCACGUGCAUUACUAAUGAAUCCAGCCGACAUAUCGUUUGUAUCAACCAGCUGCUCUGAACUCAAAUGCUUGACAUGUCGUUUAUCCUCGCUGACAAACAGACGACGUGUCAUACACAUCCCUGAGAUCAGAUUUGAGCUUCAUAAUUCCAACACUCUCCACCUUGAACUCAAAUCAGUUACCCUUUUGCUUAUGCUUUCCACUGUAUCCCUGCAGUUUUAUAGCCUGUAGAUCCCAGCUGAGUUCAUGCAGAACUCCAGCUUGGCUGCUGGUACAGCCUUUGUCAACAUAUCAGCAAGGUUAUCAUCAGUAUGAAUCUUUAACAGCUUCACCACACCUUUAGACACCUCCAGCCUGACAAAGUGCAGUUUGAUGUCAAUAUGCUUUGUCUUUUCGUGAUGCACCUGGUUCUUGCUUAGACAAAUUGCACUUUGACUGUCACAAUGAACAGCCACCUGUCUUUGUUCAAAUCCUAAUUCCGUAACCAUUCCUUUGAGCCAUAUUGCCUUCUUAAAGGCUUCUGCAGUUGCAGUGUACUCUGAUUCUGUUGUUGACAAAGCAGCAACACUUUGCAGUGAAGCUUUCCAGUUUAUGGUGCAGCCACUGAGUGUGAACAAAUAGCCUGUUAGAGAUCUCCUUUUAUCUAGAUCCCCUGCAUAGUCAGCAUCCACAUACCCUUCAACAUCAACUUCUGUACCUCCUUUUAAACCAUAGAUGAGGCUAUAAUCUGCAGUCCCACUGAGAUAUCUUAAGAUCCAUUUUACAGCUCUCCAGUGCUCCUUUCCAGGAUUACCCAUAUACCUGGAAACUACACUUACUGCAUGAGAGAUAUCUGGCCUUGUUAGGACCAUGGCAUACAUUAAGCAUCCCACAGCACUUGAGUAUGGAGUUGUGCUCAUCUCAGCUUUUUCAUCUUCAGUUCUUGGACACUGAUUACAUGACAACCUGAAAUGAGCUGACAGUGGAGUUUGAACUGGUUUUGAGUUCACCAUUUCAAAUCUCUCAAGUACUUUCUUUAUAUAGCAGUGCUGUGAUAGCUUUAGUAUUCCCUUCUUACUAUCUCUUAGCAAUUCUACUCCAAGGAUCUUCUUGGCUGCUCCAAGAUCCUUAAUCUCAAAUGCAUUCUUUAACUGCUUCUUCAGCACAUCUAUAUGAUCCAUAUGUUUACAUGCUAUAAGCAUGUCAUCAACAUAUAGCAAUAGAUAGAUCUUAUCUCCAUCUAUCAAGUUUUUGUGGUACACACAGCAAUCAUAAGAGCACCUUUGAAAGCUGUUCUCAGCCAUAAAUUUAUCAAAUCUCAAGUACCAUUGUCUCGGGGAUUGCUUUAAUCCAUAUAGAGACUUUCUCAAAUGACACACAUAAUCAGCCUUAUCUGAAUCCUCAUAACCUCUUGGUUGUGCCAUUACAAUCAUUUCUUCCAAUUCACCAUGAAGGAAUGCAGUCUUGACAUCCAUAUGUUCCAGGUGCAUGUCAUUUACUGCAACAAGUGCUGCUGUACCGUACAUCCGCCUUGGCCGUACAGCAGUCUAAAGAGGGUGUUGAUUAAAUUAAAAAAAAAACCCUUAACAUAACAAAUCUUAAAUAUUUAGUGUUUAAAGAGCUUGAAGAAGCCAAAAAGCACUAAACAAAAGGUUGCAUAAUUAAAUAUGAGAUUAUGGUAUUAAAAUUAGGCUCUAGUAGCAUUGUUGAGGGAAGAUGAAAGAAUCUCUCUUCCUAUGUUAAUUCUGGUAUGCAUUCUUUUAUCUUAUAGAUCCACUUGCAGCCAACUAUUUUCUUCUUUGCUGGUUUUGGAAUCAGAUCCCAUGUGUGGUUCUUGAUCAAUGAUCUCAUUUCUUCAUCCAUAGCUGCAACCCACUUCUUUGAGUCCUUACUACUGACAGCCUCAGUGUAAGUCUUUGGUUCAUCUUCUUCUAUUCCUUGUGCUGCUGAUAGUGCAAAUGCAAUCAAGUCUGCAUAUGCAUACCUCUUAGGUGGCUUUGACUCUCUUUUCUUUCUAUCUCUCACCAGCUGAUAAUUUCUGAGGUUAUCAUCACCUUCUGAUUCACCUUCUUGUUCAGACAAAUCUAUUCCAGGUGCAUUCUCAGGCCCUGACUUUUUAUCAGCUUCUGUGCUGGAGCUUGGAAGCUCCACCUCAAGAAAAUUCUUCUUGUCACAACCUGACUCUCUCUCAAUGGUUUGAUUCUCAGUAGCUGAGUUUUGAAACAUUUCAUGUUCAUUAAACACCACAUCCCUGCUGAUUAUUGCCCUUGGUGGCUUCAUAUCUGUACACCACAGCUUGUAGCCCUUCACACCAGCAGGAUAUCCUAAGAACACACAUUUGAAGGCCCUGGGCUCUAGCUUCCCUUGUUUGACAUGAGCAUAGGCUGAGCAGCCAAAUAUUCUCAAAUGAGAAUAGUCUGCUGGUUUGCCAGACCAGAGCUCAUAUGGAGUUCUGAAAUUGAUUCCAGAAGAGGAACUCCUGUUUACUAUGUAGCAAGCAAUCUCUAAAGCUUCAGCCCACAGGCUCAUGGGUAGCUUAGAGUGGAUCAGCAUACACCUAACUUUGUCUAUUAGAGUUCUAUUCAUUCUUUCAGCUAAUCCAUUUUGCUAUGGUGUUUGUCUUACUGUUUUGUGUCUAACCAUACCAUGUUUUGUACAUAAAUCAUCAAAGUCCUUAUUACAGAACUCUAACCCAUUAUCUGUCCUCAGCCUUUUUACCUUCCUAUUUUUCUGUGUUUCAACUAAUGUUUUCCAGUUCUUAAACUGUUCAAACACUUUAUCUUUGCUCUUCAAACUAAAUACCCAAACCAUUCUUAAGAGAUCAUCAAUAAGAGAUAAGAAAUACCUAGCCCCACCUAGAGAAGCUGUCUGUGCAGGCCCCCACAGAUCAGCAUGAAUGUAGUCUAGAGUCCCCUUUGAAUUAUGGAUACCAGUACUGAAUUUCACUCUUGAAGAUUUUCCUAGGACACAAUCUUCACAGAACUUCAAAGGCUCUAUCUUAUCUACUCCUAAGACUCCCUGUUUUGAUAGCUCAAUUAAGCCCAUUUCACUCAUGUGGCCUAACCUCAUAUGCCACAGCAUGGUUUUGUUUAGUUUCUGGUUUGACACAGCAACAUCCCCUGUGACAGCUGAUCCCUGUAACACAUACAGACCAUUGCUCAUAUUCCCUUUCAUCACAACCAUUGACCAUUUCAAGACCUUUAAAGUGCCUGACUCAAGUUUGACUAGACAUCCUGUUUUAUCUAGCAUGCCUAGGGAGAUAAGAUUUCUUUUGAGAUCAGGCACAUGUCUGACAUCCCUUAGUUUGUUUAGUUUCUGGUUUGACACAGCAACAUCCCCUGUGACAGCUGAUCCCUGUAACACAUACAGACCAUUGCUCAUAUUCCCUUUCAUCACAACCAUUGACCAUUUCAAGACCUUUAAAGUGCCUGACUCAAGUUUGACUAGGCAUCCUGUUUUAUCUAGCAUGCCUAGGGAGAUAAGAUUUCUUUUGAGAUCAGGCACAUGUCUGACAUCCCUUAGUUUCCUAAUCAUGCCAUCGAACACUCUUAACCUAAUAGAACCUCUGCCAACCACUCUGCAGCUUGAAUCAUUACCCAUUACAACUAUCCCACCAUCACAAGUCUCAUAGUUUGUGAAUAAAAUUUUAUUAGGGCACAUGUGGAAGGAACAACCAGAAUCUAAAACCCAAUUACCUUUUGUUUGAGCAUCAGUUGCUAUUAGAACUCCAGCUGAGUCAUAGCCAUCAGAUUCUUCAAAUUCUGAUGCAACAGCAGCAUCUAUAUUCUUCUCAUUUGCAUUAUUUUUCUUGUUUUUAAAUUCAGGGCAAUCUUUCUUGAAAUGGCCCUCCUUAUGACAGUGAAAGCAUUUCAAGUUCUUUUGCCUGGAUUUUGAUCUCUUCUUCUUGUUCUUACUUAUCUCUCUCUUUUCAGUUCUUCCUCUUGCUGUCAGACCUUCUCCAUCCCUGGUUUCUUUCUUGAUUGCUGCCUUGGAACUCAGAGUUUCCUUUACAUCUCCCAUAGCGAGAGUCUGUCUCCCAUACAUUAAUGUAUCCACUAGAUUCUCAUAGGAACUCGGCAGAGAGCAGAGCAGGAUCAUGGCUUUGUCUUCAUCAUCAAUCUUCACAUUUAUGUCUUCAAGAUCCAAGAUGAUCUUGUUGAAGGCAUCAAUGUGAUCAGUAAUUGAUGAUCCUUCUUCCAUCUGCAAGGUAUAAAGNNNNNNNNNNNNNNNNNNNNNNNNNNNNNNNNNNNNNNNNNNNNNNNNNNNNNNNNNNNNNNNNNNNNNNNNNNNNNNNNNNNNNNNNNNNNNNNNNNNNNNNNNNNNNNNNNNNNNNNNNNNNNNNNNNNNNNNNNNNNNNNNNNNNNNNNNNNNNNNNNNNNNNNNNNNNNNNNNNNNNNNNNNNNNNNNNNNNNNNNNNNNNNNNNNNNNNNNNNNNNNNNNNNNNNNNNNNNNNNNNNNNNNNNNNNNNNNNNNNNNNNNNNNNNNNNNNNNNNNNNNNNNNNNNNNNNNNNAAAAAGCCAAAUCAAAGAAAAUUUAAUCCUGCUGUACCGUACAUCCGCCUUGGCCGUACAGCAGAAUUUGUUGUAACCAAAUUAAUCACCAAGACCAACUUGGAACCCCCAAGACCCACUCUAUGAACCUUGAUCUUGUACUGGAAAUAAUCAAUCAACUAAGAUUUCCCAAGAAAUAUGAAUAAGUACUUGAAACCAUCCACACAAUCAAAGAAAAUCAGAUCACACACUUGAACCAAAGAUUAUAGUGGUUCGGCAAAUUUCUUUGCCUACAUCCACUGUGGAAAACAAAGCAAACUCUUUACUGAUUUCAGAGAACAAGUUACAAAUCUGGAGAAUACAUGUAAAUGAAUCGAUACCCUAAACAACAGAUCAUAUGCCCUUUUAUACUCCACUCGGAUCAAUCAGAAAGAACCUGAAGAAGCCAGUUCACGCUCAUAAGACACAUGUAAUGAACGGCAGCAAACAGCAAAAUACAGAAACAACAAAAAGUAUAUGCACGUAAUGGUUGGAAACAACUUGGUGGAGGCAUGCAAGUAUUUGUUAUACUAAGACAGAGAGGAAAAAUCUGAUGCAGCAUCCAGAAUUUUUGCAAAUAGUGAAUUGAAAUCGUCAACAAAUGGUGGAAAAAGAACAGUAAAUUUUUAUUUUAUUAUUAACAACACAUAAUUUAUCCUUAAUUUAAAUAAAAGGAUAAAUUAUUAAUUGUACAUAAUAUCCUAAUAUUUGGAAAAAAAUUGUUAACAAUUCAUAAUUUGAAGAAGUAUGCAUAUUAUACCAUAAGAAAAAAAUGUUGGAGUUUGGACGAUGAUAUCUAAAAAAAUGAAGGUUGAAUUUUGGAGGAGGUGACGAAGAGAUGGAACAACAUUAUUUAUUGUUUAUUUAGUCAUGGAAUAACAACAUUGCUUGACAUAGAUGAUGUCGUAGUGUAAUAAAAGGGACGACAUGUCAAUAUUUAUCGGACGACAUGACAUUAUUGACCAGGUAAAUGGGAUGACAAGUAUAUUUUUUUAUUAAAGCUUCUUCUAUCUUAGAAGAGUAGAUUAUUGUAAUGAUGUCAACACUUGGAAACGCCAGCUAACCGAUUAGUGGAUAGCAGACACAUAUUGUAAACUUAGGGUAUACAAGUGAUACAUGCAAAAAAUAAUGUAGUGUACGUGAUAUAAGUGUCAUUUAAGGGUAGAUGAGUGAAACAUUUUGAUUGUGAUAUAAGUUGCAAAAAGUUAACACAGUAAGUGCGAAAUAAAAAGAAAAAAAAUUAAGUAAUUUCAAAACGUCCCCAUGUCUUCAAAAACUGUCUUAUUUUGAAUGUUAAUUUAUUUAUUAAAAAAAUAAGAGUCUUUUAGGCACAUAAAUUAUAAUAAAUUAUUGAACAAAGAAUAAUGAAAAAAAAAGUAAAAUGUAAUUAUAAUGCAGUGUUAGGGGUUGGUUAAUGAAGUUAAAGAUGGUGGAAAAGGGUUAUAUAGAAGUAAAAUGUAAUUAUAAUGCAGUGUUUGGUAUGAAUAAGUAAAUGAAUAAUAAUGCAAAUUGGGUAUACGAACUUAUAAUGUGAUAAUAAUGGUAUGUCCGUAAAAAGACCCGUAGGGCAAGAUUAAAGGCUAAAUUGUGCAGUUAUGUUAAUAAUUUUAUUUUGUAAUAAAAUAGGAGGGGCUGCAAUGUUAGUAGGCAAAAAUCAAGUACAAGUUGCGGUUGUAAUAGGUUUUGUAAGUCUUGUGUUGAAUCUAAUGGUUGGAUAAAAAAGAGAAAAUAAUGGCGUAUGAAAUCAGAAUUGCAUGGUAAGUAUACCUCGGUUGUAGUUGGAAAACAUUUCCAUCGGAAGAGAAAAAUUGAAAAUGAGUUAUGCUGUAAAAUGUUAAUGUGCUGAAGAGUGUGCACAUGUGUAAAGCCCAAGAAUCGGUGUUUUGUUGAGGGUCCAACCUUUCCCCUGGGCAAUGCAACAACGUUGGAAUGUGUUGAAAAUUGUGGUCUUUUAACGAAAAAUGUAAUAAAAAUUUGUUCUUAUUUUUUGUUAGAGCCAGGGCGGGUUUGUUGAAAGAUGAGUUUUGACUUGAUUCGCCAGUAAAAUGAAAAAAUAUAUUUAAAAUUUGGCUUCUAUUUUUUAAAAAAUUAAAAAAAAAGUCGUCAUAUCCGCAGUAAAAUAUACUCCACCCGGCAAUAUAUUGAAAUUUAAAUUCUCACCCCAAGAAUUUUAAAUACAAAUUGAAAGAGUUGGGCUGUUGAAAGUAAAAAGAAGCACGUAAAAAAAAAUAUGAAUUAAAAUAUUGAAAUAAGACAUAAGUUCAUUAAUUUGUACAUUAAGCAAACAUAUACCAAUUCCAAACGGCAGUCGAACGUUAUUAUUAUUAUUUCUUGCUGGUGGCGUUAAUAAUAAUAAUAAUAACAAUCAGGGUAUCAAGAGGGUUAAUGGAGACCAGAUCAAGAAAAAGAGGAGGCAACAAGAGAAGGCUGAGAUGCUCUUCCACCUAAUUUGCUGGGGACCCAAUUAAUUAAUUAUUUUUAUUUCUUCUUUUUCUUCAUUAUUUAAAAAAUUAAAAAAUUAAAAAAAAGUCUUAUGGGAGAGAAAGAAAUGUAUUGGUUUAUCUUUAUUCUAGGAAUCUUGGUGCUUAAUGGAAAUAAAUCAUAUGCUUUCAAUUUAUUGGCUUUCAAUUUCAAAUAAUUUUUAUUUGAACAUAAAAAUUAGCUCAGAUAUUUAGGCAUAAACAUCCUUCCAGAAUUUUCUAUCAGAAAUAAUUUAGAAUUUCAACUCAAUUUAGAUAUAUUAAAAUGUUGAUGUAUAAUACAUAAUUUGAUGGGUAUUUUAGUAAUUUGAAUAAAUUUAUCAUAGAAGAUUAAGAAAAUAAAAUAAAAUAAACCUUAGCAAUGAGUAAGGUAAAAAGUUUUGGUUUUGAGUAUGUAAUUGUAAACAGUAGAUUUACCACACGUAAAUGUGUAAUUGUGAAUCACAUGUUCAUGUUUCAGUGAACCCUAAAGAGUAACCGAUGAGAACACUGAUAUUUAGCCCGGAAUUUCAUCUAUUAAAAUUUUUUAAAUCAAUAUUUUUGUUAAAAUUAAACAAUCAUUGUCCGGAUGGGGGAUGGUCAUCUUUCAGCCAUUGUUUAAACAAAAGAAAUUCGGUAAAUCGAAUUUCUGCCAAAUAUAAUUUUUCUAUUUAUACUAAUGUUUAAUUAGAUAUAGCUGCAUAUUAUUUCUUAUUCAAUAAUUGCUCAAUAUUAAAAAAAAAUCCCAUUUUCAUCGAGUAAUCAGACAUCUAUGUCUCUUAGAUAUGCUUAUCAAGCAUUUGAUCAACCAAUUUAUAUGAGGAGACCUAGCAAUAUAAUGCAAAUUUGUUGGCACGAGAAGAUUAAAAUCUAGAUAACAUAUGGUAAAUACAGUAUGUUGGUUCCAAUAUGCUAUUUGUGGUAAUCGUCUUUUCAAUGCUCAGUGCUAUUUUUUAGGGAGAUAUUUUUAUUGGCUGCACAUUAAUAGAAACAAGAAUAUAUAAUCAAUUGGAUUACCUUGUAAUUGAAGGCAAAUAACAAACAAAAGUAAUUCCAAUAAAUCAAAGCAUUAAGUUGUCAAUGAAGACUAAAACAUAAACAAUGUUACUCCAAUGAAGACUAAAACUUGCUGGUGAAAAUUUGAAGUAAUUGAAUUGAAAACUAAUUAAAUACCAAACCCAACGAUUACGAACAUUGUUCAACUCACAUAAGUGGAUUAAAAGCAUGGAAGGGAUUACUCUUUAAAGAACGGCUCGAUGCUUCCAUCUUCCGUGUUAUAUAUUCCAGUAUCUCUAACUCCUGCUUCAACAGAUUCCUCCUUGGUCAGGCACGAAUAGGAGUCAACAAAAUCAUCAGCGAAAUAUAUGCAGUUGGGUUUACACUGAUAAUUCCUCGAUGCAUCAACAGAUAGUGAAGAAUAAAAGCCAAGAAGAGGGAUCUAUAACUCAAGUUCUUGAUAUUCGUCCAUUUAUUAGUACUUAGAUCGACCUCAAAAACCUGAAAUCCCGAAGUUUUGAAAGUGUUCUCUUCAGUUGGGUAGCCCAGAUGAGUAGGUGGUACUUGUACUACCCUCCGUGAAACCACAGAUAAUGUACCAUCAUCAGAUUCAACCACAUACAAGUACUCCACAGCAUCUUCAAUAAAUUCGGUAGGUAAUUUCGUGACUCGUAUAACAGUUCCAUCAUUAUCUUUGAUGGCAAAUAUCCGACCAAAAGUAUUAAUAUCAUAAAAUUGAUUUUGGAUAUAAAUAACAUCAAGAGUGGCCGCACUUUACAACUCCCAAACCAUUCCAUUUACUUGGUAUUUAAGUGCCAGAUAAUAGUUGGAUAUAACAGAUUUGCUGAUCCUUAGAAAGGGCCUUUUGAGUAUUAUCUGGUAUCGGAUGUCCUUAUCUACUACAACAAAGUCCAACAUCAUGGUUCUUCCAAAGGCCUUCAAACUAAUGGUAAGUAGCUCCACUACUCCCAUCGGCAUCAAUCUUCUUCCUCCAAACCCUUUUAAUGAGGUAUUGCUGGGCUCCAUUUUCAGGUCUGCUAUUCCCAUUUCAUCCAAAGUGACUUUGAAAAGAAUCUUGACUGAACUACCCAAAUCAAUCAGGUUCUGGUAUAUUCCUUGCUCGCAACAUUAGCUUUUAUAACCAGUCCGGUCUUCAUGGGGGUGCACCACCUCCUCCUAGCCAUCUUCUAUCCACAUAAUUGGAACUUGCUUGGACUUUACCUGUUUUGCUAGUGGUACAUUGAAGAGAACAUAAUGGCUGGUCGUGACAUACUUUCAAUAAUUCUUGCGAGCCCUGUUUAAGUCCCCCUCUAAUGUUGGACCAUCCUGCAAUGACUCUGGUCAUUGGUCCUCCAGAAUGGUGCCUCCUACAUUCUCCUCGGGCACGUAUGCCUCAUCUAUCAUAGGAAACGAACCGUCAACAUCCAGAUAACUGUUUCUUUGUUAACCAUUUAGAACUCCAAAAUUCUCACCUUUUGAUCCCUUAAACUACAGUAUCCGAUCUAGACCACCAUAAACUACCAGCUAGUAGUUUUCACAAACUUAAUAUCUUCAAAAUAUCCAACCUCGGUAAACAACCAACAAUCAUGCUUCAAUAUAAAUGCUAAUCUCAGCCAAAUUCAGCCCAGUCAUAAUAAAAAGAAUUCAAAUACAAUAGUCCCAUUAGUUACACAACCAAACCCAUGAUUCGAUGAAGCAUAUCCUCGGAUUUUAAGCUAAUUCUCAGCAAAAUUCUCCGCAAAUUCACCCCUAAGCAAUAAUUCCUGAACAUAGCUACACGCACUUAACUAAAACCAUGAAGCAUCCUCAAGAACAAAAGCAUUAAUCAAUUUAACUCAAACCUAUCAUUCUCACUGUAACCAAACAUCAAUGCUACAAAUCAUCAUCAGCUGUCCAAAGCAAAAAUAAACGAAAAUCAGGAACCAUUCUAACAAAAAAAUUGGUAUUUAACCCAAAUAACUAAAAUCUUACUAAGUUAAUUGGAAUAUUGAAUGCAAAAGCAGUAAAUAAUAGUUGAAACAAAUGAACUAAAAGGGGAGAAAGCAAAGCUAAAUUUUGGAACUUAUCUAAUGAGAAAUGAAUUUACUUGGAAUUUUACCUAAAAUAUUAAUAUUCAACGAACUUAGUAGGAAUAUCUAAUAUAGAACUAGUGGAUUUAGAAGUGGAAACAAAUAAACAUAUUAGUGACAAGUAUAACUGAAAUUAAGGACAUAUAAAAUUAACUUAGAACGUCAACCUAAUGUGUUAAUAUUUAGAGUGAUGAUACAGUCACAAACUUUUAUACAAACUUAUAUUGUACAAACUAAUGUGGUAUUAAUUCAUUGGUUGAAUAAAAAUAUAAAAUAAUAUAAAUAAAUCAUGUAAACCAAGAGAUAUUUAAUUCAACCAAUGAAUUAACGCCACAUCAGUUUGUACAAAAUAAGUUUAUACAAGAGUUUGUGGCUAUAUCAUUACUCUAAUAUUUAACCAAAAGAGUUGGAACAUGAUUACGUAUAUUACUUUUUUUAACUCUCAUUUAAAUUAAAAAUAUUUUUAUAUUAAUUGUUUAUAAAUUUCCUCAUUUUUUUAUUUUAUUUUAUUUUUUUACAUUAAAAAUAAUUUUUAAAAUUAUUAAAUGAACAACCAGUAAAAUAUCAAUUAUUCAAGUUGUAAAAGUAGGCUAUAUGUGAUACAACAAUGCACUCUACAAUGACUUAUAUAGUCAUUACUACACUUGGUGUCACCAGCCAUUUGCCAUUUGUCAUUUGUCACUGGUCACCAUCACCCUUUGAGUUAUUUUUUGGAGAAAAAAAAAAGCGUCCCUCCAUAAACCUACAAUCUAAAUUAGUAAUGAUUUCACUUUCCCAAAAAACAAAUACAACCUCAUUUUUUUUUUUAAAUUAGAAAAAUUAUCUUUGUAUCACUUCUCUUUAAUUAUAUGUAUAUCCAACCACUACAAAAGUUUGAUAUAUUCUCUGCACCACUUUCAUAUUUAAACUUGUAUCAAUCAAUUAAUUCGACACUAGUAAAGUUAGAAUCCCUUAAAUAAUUUAAAUAAAAUGAUUUCUUUACAUGUAAAUAAAUUUAAAGUCUAUUUUAUCCUACAAAAUUUGGAAAAAUAAAAAAUAUAAUUAGAAGAAUACCCUAAAUAUAAUAAAACAAAUAAAUCUUUAAAUCCAAGAUGUUCAUUUUCGUAAUUAUAAUUUUUAAAUGAUAAUUUUCAGUAUAAUUUAAAAAUUAUAGUUACAAAAUUAACAUCUUGGAUUUUGAGAUUUAUUUGUUUUAUUAAAUUUAAGGAUAUUCUUGUAAUUAUAUUUUUUAUUUUUCAAAAUUUUUUAGGAUAAAAUAAUUUUUUUUAUUCAUUUCGGAGCAAACGGUCAUCUUAUUUAAAGUAUUUAAUGGAUUCUAAAUUUGUUAAUGUAAAAGUGAUUGAUUGAUAUAAGUUUAGAAAUAAAGGUGGUGUAAAAAAAUAUGUCAAAACUUUAUAAUGGUUAAAUGUACAUGUAAUAAAAGAAAAGAUGCUGAGAUAAUUUUCCAAAAAAUUAAUUCGACCUUUUUAACAGCUCUCUAUUAUUUCUCUAUAUAAGUACCCAAACCCAACGAACAAAGCGUCACUUAAAGUCUCAAGAGCUCAACAAUCUCUCUGCUCUAUAAGUUGCUGAUCAAUUUUCUUCCAGAACCCAACUUAAUAUAUAUAUUUUUUGGCAUCAUUAAAAAAGAGUACUUGGGGUGAGGAGAGUGCAGUAAGAGACAUGAGCAGCAACGGUGGCAGAGUUUGCAAGUUUGAUUUAGCAUUCAACAAGCUUAUGCUGCGACAAUAUUGUGGCUGCAAUAAGGGCAACAAUAAUUCUAUUGUAAGGAGUCUUGGCGGUGGCGAUAAUAAUAAUAAUAAUAACAAUGAGGCUAUCAAGGGGGUUAAUGGAGACGAGAUCAUGAAGAAAAAGAGGAGGCAAGAAGAAAAGGCUGAGACUGUCUUCCACCUAAUUUGCUGGGGACCCAAGUAAUUAAUUAUUUUUAUUUCUUCUUUUCUUCGUUAUUUAGAAAAAAAAAUCAUAUGGGAGACAAAGAGAUGUAUUGAUUUAUUUUUAUUUUAGGAAUUUUGGUGCUUAUGGAAAUAAAUCAUAUACUUUCAAUUUAUUUGCUUUCAAUUUCAAAUGAGCUCAGAUAUUUAGCUAGGCAAUAAAAAAUGAACAAAAACAAAAAAAAGUCAUUCACAUCCAAGCAUCCUUCCAGAAUUUUCUGUUAGAAACAAUUUAGAUUUCAACUCGAUACAUAUAUAUUAAAAUUUUGAUUUAUAAUACAUAAGUUGAUGGAUAUUUUAGUGAUUUCAAUAAAUUUAUCAUACAAGAAUAAGAAAAAAAAAAAGACAAAAUAAAGGCCAGCAACAAGUAUAGCAAAAUUUAGUUUUGUAUAUGAUAUUUUAAACAGUAGAUUUACAACACAAAAAUGUGUAACUGUGGAUCACAUGUUCAGAUUUCACUGCAUCCCGCAAACAUGAUAAGAAAAUAAAAUGGUAACUGAUAAGAACAAUGAUAUUUGGCCCGACGUUUUAUCUAUCAAAAUUAUGCAAAUUAAUGUUUUCCCCGUUAAAAUUAAACAAUCAUCGUCCGGAUUGGGAGAUGGCCAUUGGCCAUUGGCACAUCCAUUGUCCAGAAAAAAAAAAAGGUUCGGUACUACAAGUUUUAUGCUGUGUUUUUCCAAUGGCCAUAGGUUGUUGCUGGUAGGGGUGGGCAAUUUCGGAUUCGGAUGAAUCCGAUCGGAUUUCGGAUAAUUCGGAUUGAAAAAAAAUUCAUCUGAAUUCAAUCCGAAUUUUCAUCCGAUCCGAAUUAUUCGGAUCGGAUUCGGAUUGGAUCGGAUGAGUUUGGAUUUCAGAUUAAUUUUUGGAUUUGGAUUAUAUUUUGAAUUCGGAUUAAUUCGGAUUGAAAUCGGAUUUGGACCUUUUUGACAAUUCUCACAAAAAUUUAUGAAAUCUGUGAUUAAUGAAAACUUACUAACCAUUAAAAGAAAUAGAAAAUGAAAACAAAUUGAGAAAUGACAAUGGUGUUAGCUGUUAGCUGUUAGCUGUUAGCUGCAUGUGGUUUGGCGUUCGGAUUCGCCUUGGUUUGGCUCGGAUUCGACUUGAUUCCAGUCGAUUGGUGUCAGCUGCGGUUGAUUUUGAAGACGAACGAGGCUGUGCUGACAGUGGCGUGGUCGUUGGACUCGCGGGUUGACGGUGGGUUAAUGGGUUCAAGACGGAUGACAAGAUGAGGUUGGUUUUGCUUUUGCUCAGCGAAGUAACUAACUAACUGGGUUUUGUUCACUAUUCCCAACCCAUGACAGUUCCCUGCAGCUGUCGAUUAACUGGGUUUGACGUUCAGAUUCGUCUUAGUUCGGCUCGGAUUUGGCUAGAUUCUAGUCGAUCGGUGUCGGUCGCGGCUGAGUUUAAAGAUGGACGAGGUUGUGCUAACAGUGGCAUGGUCGUUGGACUGUCGCCGGUGGGUUAAUGGGUUCAAGACGGAUGACGACGGGAUGAGGCUGGUUUUGCUUUUUGCUCGGUUGCUUGCUCUAUCGUUUGUUGUUUAUAUGGUUGGCUGUAAGCCUGUGACUGACAGACUUGAGUCAGACGAACUUGUGAAAUAAGUUUAGUUGUUUGCUUGUUUUCGCAUUUAGUUUUUUUUUUUUAAACAGUGCAGAUCCGAUCGGAUGAUUCGGAUUGAUCCGAAUCCGAUCCGAUUGGAAACAAAUCCGAUCGGAUCGCACAUAUUUCAUCCAAUCGGAUUUGCCUUCAAAUCCGAUUUGGGAACAUACAAUAGUGGCUAUAACAAUUAGGCCUGUAAUUAAACUAGCCUAAUUAUUUAAUUCUAAAUCUACUCCACUAAAAGAUUGGAACUGACUUCCAUAAUUGUAUGCUUGAAUAAUAAUUCGUCCCAAGCCACAUUGAUUUCUUUACUGCAUAAUCCUUUGUACCACAUCGUUAAUUAAAUUGAUAUCUCAACUGUCCAAUCAAUUUAAUAACAUCUUAUUCCUUGAUCCUUAUUGGUUUUCUCUAAUGAUCAUUUUCAACAUACUAAAUAUGUUGACAUACUCUGGCCAGAGAAUUCUAUGAUCAAGUGCCGAAAACCUAUCAAGAGAUGUGUUGUACAAAUUCUAUAUUGUUAAUCCAUAACUCCAUUACUCAUAAUUGCUCCCACCAAGAUACCGGGUAAUCUUGCCACAAUUGUGUGUGGUGCCCAUUGGUAACUCAAAUGGAAUAACAAUUACAGUCAUGAAAUCAUAAUUAACUCAAGAUUAAGAUUACAGUAAAAUAAAUGCCUAUGAGAUUUAAUAAGUUUGACAGUUAUUACAAAGUUAAUUAAAUCUCAUAUGUGAUCCUGUUUAAUGUAGUCGUACUACAUCAAUAAAUUCAUACAUGAUUAAGACAAAUCAUUCAAUGAAUUUAUUACAGUCUAUACCUAAAUAAAGUGCCCAACUUUAUUUAUCAACUGUGAACUAAAUUUAUUUAAUCAUAAGAUAACUUGUAUUUAUGUCUUCUGUGAAUCCACAUGGUGAUCACAUAAAUACAUAUAAUAUGAUUAAAUGGACUUUAAUACAAAUAUAAAUGCAAUUAAGAUAUUUGAAUAAAAUACCUCAUUUAUUUUAUUAAUCAGAAAAAUUGUUUAUUACAAUUAAAUAAAUACAUAUGCUUUUAAAGAGCAUAUUAUCCCAACAGGUUUGACGUUCAUAUUCGUCUUGGUUCGGCUCGGAUUUGGCUAGAUUCCAGUCGAUCGGUGUCGGCCGCGGCUGAGUUUGAAGACGGAUGAGGCUGUGCUGAUAGUGGCGUGGUCGUUGGACUGUUGCCGGUGGGUUAAUGGGUUCAAGAAGAAUGACGACGGGAUGAGGCUGGUUUUACUUUUUGCUCGGCUGCUUGCUUUAUCGUUUGUUGUUUAUGUGGUUGGUUGUAAGCCUGUGACUGACAGACUUGAGUCAGACGAACUUGUGAAAUAGGUUUAGUUGUUUGCUUGUUUUCGCGUUUAGUUUUUUUUUUUUUUAAACAAUGCAGAUCCGAUUGGAUGAUUCGGAUUGAUCCGAAUCCGAUCUGAUCCAAAACAAAUCCGAUCGGAUCGCACAUAUUUCAUCCAAUCGGAUUUGCCUUCAAAUCCGAAUCCGAUUCGAAUUAAUUUGGAUCGGAUCGGAUCUAUGUGAAUCUGAUCCGAUGCCCACCCCUAGUUGCCGGUAGUAGCUAAUACCUAUGUUAGAAAUACACAUUUUCCAUUCAGCCACCAUAAAAGCGUAAUUGACCAUAAUAAAUACUUAAAUAUAGAUUGAAAAUUAAUAUGGACUUGCGUACUGAUAUUUAUCACCAUUUUAAGCCGUUAAAAAAAAGUAUUUUUGAUUUUCCUCUAGCGGUUGUACUUGCAAUAUAAAUUUCAACUAACUAAUUACCGUUAAAAAUAUACUAUUUUUUAGGGACAAACACAAUUGAAAGAAAUAAAUUACAAUUUAAAAUACAUUAAUUCUAAUUGAUUAUGCAAUUGAAAAUAGGUUAUGUUAGUUGGAACAAAUAAUUAUAUUUCUAAUUGAAUUUUAUUAGUAUUUCCUAGAAGAUGACUGUUAAAAUUCUUUUUAUUCUACUUCAUAUUUAAAAAAUAUAUAUAUGGUUGAAAUUGAUUUUAUUAAUAGCCUCUAGGGGAAGAAAAUCGGUGAAUCAAUGGAUAAAUAUUCUUUCAUGUAUAAUUUCAACAAAUACAUGUGCAACUUAAGCAAAAUACUAAUAAUACACUAAAAGGUACACUAGACUCCUACAGUGACUUGGUAAUCAAUUAAUCAAUGGACAAAUAUUCUUUUAUAAAUAAUUUCAAGAAAUACAUGUGCAGCUUAAACAAAAUAUAAAUAACACACUAAAAGCUAUAAGAUGCUAGUACAAUGAUUUAGUGUUACUAAAAGAUUAAAUUAAUAUAGAUUAAUCAAUGAAUCCUUGACAAAUACUUAUAUAAAAAAUAUAAUACACCAAAAAUUAGACGGCACACUAUAAUAAUAUUUUGGUGUUGAUAAAAGAUAGAAUUAAUGUGGAUUGAGCAACUAAAUCUUUGUUAGAGUUGAAUAUCAUUUUGUUGCUUUCCUAGGCUCUUGAUUCUCUACACAACAAUAUAAAAAAAUUAAGGUACAAUUAAAUUAGAGUAGAAAAGCCUGCAUACUAAACAAGAAAUAAAUGUAUCCUAAUUAAUGUCUCUUUCACUUGUUUUAAAAUAAAAUUUCAAUUAAAAUAUAAUAAAUUAAAAACAUGAACAACAACAACAACAAUAAUAAUAAUUCUUACCUACAUGCCACAAUUAAUCAAAUAAUCUUCACCGAUUUAACCUAACAGAAAAAGCUUCAAACCAGGCUCGUAAAAGUGUGGGCAGCAAUACUUGAUGCCAAACUUGAGAAAUUAAAGGCAAUAGAAAAAAAUUAAUAAAUAUUUGGAAAUAUCUCCCCAAAUUCUAUAAAGCUUAAUUCAAAGAAAUUAAGAAAAUGGCCCUAAAAUAGAGUUAAAAGUUUUGGACAGAUGGAUAAUACAAAAGAAGAGUAGAUGAAUUCAUCCAUUGUGCUUAGUAUAUGUGGCUUCUAUUCAUUUAUUUAUUUAUUCUAUUAAUGGAUAUGAUUCGAUGGUUGAUUGAGAGAUUUCUUAGAGAGAUGAAGAACGUGGGUUAAGGUAAACAUAUCAUCUGAACUAAAAACUUUAGUUCAAAUUAAAAAAAAAUCAAUUAAUUUAUUUAUUCUAAGUUAGUUAUCUCAUAUUGAUAAAUACAAAAAAUUAUCAGCAUAUUCAAUUAAUUUUGCAAAACAAAACUUCUUAUCAUAUUCAUGCAAAUUCAAACUUUGUUAUAAUUAAACAAUUAUAUAUAAUACUUAUUAUGCAACUACUAGAUUGUUUAAUUACUCUCUAGCCUAAAUUGAUUGAUAAAACAUCUUUAACAUAGAUUUUAAAUUUAAAUGACAAAUUAAUAAGAUAAACAAAAGAUAAGAUAGAUAUUGACUCACAAACUAUGAGGCUAUAUUGUUUUUAAUAAUUCAUAGAUAAGCAAUGUUUCAAAACAUAAAUAAAUUAUUGUAAUAGUUCUUAUUAUAUAUGGAAAUUAAUUGUAUGACUGUUCUUAGACUAUUAGACUAAUUUAAUAAACAAUAUUUCAACUACAAUGAAAUGUUAAUUACUUAUUAUCUAACGUUUUUUAAAAUAUGCAAUAAAUGUUAAGGAGUUUUUUUUUUCAUGUUCCACAAUUAAGAGUAUAAUACAAGUAUGAAAACUAUUAAACUCUGUUUAUUAAAAUUGUCACUAUAUAAUUAUAUUAAUUUGAAACUUAGCUAGUCGCCAAAUUGAUUCGACAAUAAUUAUGAUCAAUCAUAGACAUUAUUUCUUUAAAUGCUUAACUAUAAAAUACUAAUUAGUUCGAUAAUCAAUCUUUAAAUUGAUUCAAUAAUAAUGAUUGAUACAAUUGAGACUAUAAUAUUAACGUCAGUUUCAAGUUCAUUUAUAAGAUUGAAUUGGAUCAUAAAUUUUAUAGAUCAAUUUUCUUGAAUUAAAAUACUAUUUCGAAGUUGAUUGAUGUUUAAUUAUAAGACAUCGUACAUUAUAUCUAUGUUGUAAUCUGUUGGGUCCAUCUUAUUUAGGUAGCCUAAGCCCAAGUUUCAUUAAUUUGGGUGUUUAAGCAAUUAAAGAAAACAAGUGGGCCUAAAUGAAAUUAGCCAAUCGAAAACAUUAUAUAGCUGCGGCUUACAUUGAGAAAAAGAAGAAAGAGAUGAGAGAGUGAAAGAACAGUGGCGUGAUGAUUGAAUUUGAGGGCAAGGAUUUUAAUAUUUGAUUAGACGAUAGAAGGCGAAUUUAACUCUGUUUUCUCUCAAAUUUAGAGGGUAAGUUCUUGGCAUCGUCCUUUGUAAUGCUACUGAUCUUAAUUUUUUUUAUUCUCUCAUUAGCUGUUAUUUGAGAUACCCACUUGUUAAAAAGAUAAAUAUUAAGCUGUUAUUGUAAGCUAAAAUUAUUGAGAUUCUUGAUGUUAUAAGUCUCUAGUGUUAUUUAGAGAAGUAUUUAUGUUGUAAUCUCAUUAAUAUAAUAGAAGAUUAUAUCGGAAUACAGUCUCAUGAUUUUUUCCAAUUUGGGUUUUUUACGUAAAAAAUUAUGUCUCUUGUGGAUGAUUUAUUGUUAUGAAUCGUGUUAAUUUAUUUUCUACUUAUUAAUUUGUGGCACACAUUCUAUUUUAAUCAUAUAAAGAGGAAAAUAUAUUGUUUUCAUUUAAUUUACAGUAGCUUGUGUGAGUUCCUUUCCCAAUAUAAUCAAUGAAUGGUAUCUUAUAAGUUAAAUAAGAUAAUUCAAAUCUAUUGUUACAUCUAGUAAAACCUUUAGGAUAAAAAAGAUCAAUCUUUAAUAAUUAUAUAAUAUAUAUUUUAUUGUAAAUUACAUCAUGAUCAAGUGGUAGGCACUUUCAAUUUUUUUUUAAUAAUAUGUGCAUUGUAGAAGUUAAAUUUAUUUGAAAUUAAGUACAUUAAUUAAUUAUUUAUUUAGUUAUCUAGUUCGUGUUUCAUAAAAAAAUAGUGAACUAAGGAAAAAAAAAUUUACGAUUACUUUUCUUCUAGAUGAUAUCUAAUUAUAUACAAUAUUUUCUUACCCUUACAGCUUUGCUUUGACCAGCCUUGCAAGUUAUACUACUGAAAAAUAUUAUCAGUGCCUAUGUUGUCUAUUAAAAUUUUAUAUCCUUUGAAUAAUUUUUUAGAUAUAGUUAAAAAUAUUGUUCUAUUUUUACAAAAAAUUAGAAUAAUUGAAAAUAUUAUUUUAUUUUUGAAUAUAUUCUUUAAACGGUCGAAAUUAAUUAUAAAUCUCCAAUGGUUAGUUACAGUGCCUAUAAAUACCAAUUGUACUAAAAUUUCCUGCUAAAAUGAAUUUAUUAUUUGACCACUUUUGAAGUUAUUUUCAACGUUGUUCUUUUCAUUAGAAAAGCUGUAUACCUAUUUUAGUUUUUUGGACGUCUUGAGUUCCACGGUUGAACAUUGCCCUUUUACCAACCAUAUUUAACUAUUGUUGAAAAAGUUUAGUCGAAAAUGACUACUUUUAUUUAAAUCGAAUUUAGGGCCAAAUAUCAUUUUUCGAUUUAUAAUAGUGUACAAUUAUAUAUAACUACAUAUGAUUUCUUAUUCAAUAAUUACCUAGUAUAAUAUUGUAAAAAAAAAACAAACAAACAAACGUACACCCCUAAUUGCUCGUAGACAGUACUUUGCUCUAUUAGCUGCAUGGUUUUAUCCCUUGGAAAGCUUUCUCUUUGGCAAGCAAAAACUAGAGGUGGCUUGAGGUUUAUAUCUAAUUUGUUUAAUCUUGCGUCAUAGGUAGCUAUUAGCUAGGAAGGUUGCUAGGUUGUUCUUGUUUGAUGGAGCAUUCUAUUGAUGAUUGGAUCUCAACUGAUUUGUGUUGGGUGAAAGGUAGGAUAGGUUUUUGUGUAGGUGAAAUGAAGCAGGUCUAGUUUGAACAUUCUGUCGCCAGUAGAGUGUUGGCCUCACAGUGUUGUUCCAGCUUAUUGAUGCUCUAUCAUGAUACCUAAGCAACAUGUUUUCCUUUUGCGUUUUCCUUUCCUAUCUCCUCAUUUCCUUUAACUGCUCCCAUUUGACUCUAGCAGCUUCUUAUACUUUAAUCUAUAUAUCUAUCUUUGCCUGAUCGUAGGCUAUUGAGUAGUAGUCCAUUGCUAGUGCCCUCAGAUUAUACAACAAUCUUCCAUCUUCACUCAUUUUAAUGUCCUCAAACUUAUGGAUGAUUGAAAGUACCAAACUCCAAGACGGGUCUAUCAUACCUUCUCAAUAAGUCUCUAAAGGUUUCCUCUUCAUCCUAUUUAAAACUUAUAAGUUCCAUUAUAUCAUCUUCCGGGGUCAUGGCACCUAAAAAUUAUUUAGCAAAAUCUUUACACAACUGAUCAAAGAUUUUGAUACUUCCCUAAGUUAGUUUUCUGUAUCGUGACGUGCUCACCCUUCUUAUGUCAACGGGAAUGCUCUGCAUCUCUGCAACAAUGUUAAGCCUUAUACUUCAGUCAUCUAGUUAAACCACUCUAUAUGCAUCAAUGGGUCAUGUGUUAUAAAAUAACAAAGAUUCGAGAAGUGAAGAUCCCUUGGAAUCAUAGUGUUUAUGAUUUCUGUUGAUAACGUAAACUCAUUAUCUGGCACUAUCCUUCAACCUCCGUUCUUCCUCAACCUUGCAUCUCCUGGAUGAUUCUUGCUAGCCUUCGCACCUCAACUUCUAAUUCCCCAGCGUGACUUGGAUUUUGCCCUAUUAUUUUCUCGUGGUCAUGGUCUGUAUCUGAUAAACAUUAUCUCAAUUUUCUUUUUCAAUAUUCUUCUCCCUUUAUACCUGUGCGCGAGGUUUAAGCUGAUUUGAAGUGGAUCAUGUAAUCUUAAUGGCGUUGGUACACAUUUCCUAGCCUUCUUCAUACAUAUCUCCUGUUACUUGAUUUAGGUACAUCUGUACUUCUAGCAGAAUUCCUUUCAUCGAGCCUCAUUUGUCCUUCUCUUAGUUCCUGCAAUAACAUAACUAGGUUGUACAUUUGUUUUUCUAUCUGCUCUACUUUUCAUUGACAGCUCUAUCUCUAGCCUCGUGGGUCUCUUGCUGUAAAAUGGCAUUUUCAUCGAUACUGGGUCUCUCACUUUCCAUUUCAUCAUCCCUAAUAUUUAUCCUUACUGAUGUGCUCAUAAUUUAUCUAUUAUUUUAAUGCUUUCAUAACUUAAUUUUAUGUUAAAUUAUAUUUUAUUAUAUUAAUUUUUAUCUUAAAUUUUAUAUUUUGUCAUUGUAGGAAUAUUGGGAAUAUUCAUAAAAAAAGAAGCUUAAAGAGGAAACAAGUUGGAGUAUAAUGGAAAUAAUGUGGAAACAAGAGAGAAAGAAAUAAAAAGCCAAAUCAAAGAAAAUUUAAUCUAAGUAUCUGCUGUACGGCCAAGGAAUAAAGGAAGAGAAGAAAAUGUCAAUUGGCUUUUAAUUUCAAGCUAGUUACGUGGAGCCCAUUUGACAAUUUAAAUGGCAAGCUUACAAUAUAUUAAAGGAAGCAAAUAUUUUGGCAUUGUUUGAAAAGGUUCAAUUCUGAUUGGCUUAGGAAUGAAACAGGCAGCUGUGCUUUUGCUUUUAAUUCUUUUCAUAAGAGGAUUUUACAAGCCACAACAUUAAAAAAGGGGAAAGCCAAGCAGAAGCAAAAGAAGACAAGAAGGCAGCCGCACAACAACUGAAAAUUGGAGAGAAAACCGAGAGCAAGAAAAGAACAAGAGAAGCCGCUGUAAAUCCGGGAGCAACAAUUUGGAGAAGCCAAUUGCAGAGAUUGGAGAGAGAUAGCUUCUUGAGCUUUUCUUUCUCUCUUCUCUAUUAUUUUACUUGAAUGUUUCCCAUUAAAUUCAUGGAUUCUUUUUAUAUUCUCAUGAACUAAUUUAUUUUACUAGGGCUACGAUGUAGCCUAACUAUGAAGAUUUAAUUUUAUAAAUUUAUGUUAUUUUUAAUUUAUUAUUCCAUGGUUGAGUGUUCAUUAUUGUGCUUAAUGCUUUUAAAUAUCUUGCCAAUAUUUGAAUUUUGAGGAUAUAAUAUAUAUAAUGAGACCGAGAGGAUAUUUAUGUAUUUUUACUCUGUGUACUGGAUGCCAUAAAUUGAACGAAAGACAGAGAUGUGCCAACGUGAUUCGUGCAGUUUUUCUAAGAAUUUCCAUGGAACUUAAUGAAUCUUUGCAUAUUUAAAUUAGAUUGGUUAUGAUGAAAUCGGAUUGGUUAUGGUGAAAUCGGAUUGGUUAUAGUGAAAUCGGAUGUCCUAGUGUUUUAAUCUCUUGGUAAUUUUCUACUACUGUCUGCAUCUUUGUUUAAUUUUUAAUUAUUUUAUUUUAUUUUAUUUUAAUCUAAAUUCGCUUAUUCGAUUGUUCAAAUAAAUUAGAGUUAGAAUAAUUUCGGUAACUAAUAGGAUAUACAAUCUCUAUGGGACGAUACUCUACUCUUCAUUAUAUUACUUGUGUCGACUAGUACACUUGCUAAUUUACGCAACAAGUUUUUGGCGCCGUUGCCGGGGAUUGUUUGGAUUAGUAUCGUUACCAACUAACCUUAGUUUAAUUUGAAUUUUAUUUUUAUUGUUUUAUUUUUAUUUUAUUUUAUUUUUCUUGUUUAAUUUUAUGUGACGUUCAAGAAGUUUUGAUUUAUUGCCUUUUGAUCCAGAGAUUGAACGUACGUGUAGAAGGCUUAAUAAAGAAAGGAGAGAAGCUUUACAAGAGCAACAACUAAUCAUGGCUGACGAAGCAUUACAUGGAAAUGAGGAUGCAAAACCCUUAAGAGAUUAUGCUGUACCUACAGUUAAUAGAGCUCGUUCAAGCAUUGCACGCCCUGCUGUUCAAGCCAAUAAUUUUGAAAUUAAGCCAGCCAUAAUCCAGAUGAUUCAGACAUCAGUACAAUUUGCUGGGAUGCCAAAUGAUGAUCCAAAUGCUCAUAUUGCAAAUUUCUUAGAAAUUUGUGACACAUUUAAGCAAAAUGGUGUUUCAGACAAUGCUAUCAGGCUAAGGCUUUUUCCGUUCUCACUGAGGGAUAAAGCAAAAGAGUGGUUGAACUCACUCCCUACUGGAACAAUCACUACUUGGGAUGGUUUAGCACAGAAGUUUUUAGCAAAGUACUUUCCUCUAGCAAAAACAGCCAAGUUGAGGAAUGACAUUACAACUUUUGCUCAGUUCGAGAUGGAAUCAUUAUAUGAAGCAUGGGAGAGAUACAAAGACCUAUUAAGAAAAUGCCCACAUCAUGGUCUACCAGUUUGGCUUCAGGUGCAGACAUUUUACAAUGGUUUAGGAUCCAAUACCAGAACAAUGAUUGAUGCUGCAGCAGGAGGAACGUUAAUGGGAAAAACACCAGAAGCAGCUUAUGAAUUAUUGGAGGAGAUGGCAUCCAACAAUUACCAGUGGACUUCAGAUCGAUCAAUGCCAAGGAAAAUUGUAGGAGCUCAUAAUGUUGAUGUUGUCACUGCUUUAUCUGCACAGAUGACUGCUUUAUCUAAUAAGUUGGAGCACCUAAAUGUUAGUGCUAUUCAAACUCAAGUGUGUGAAUUAUGCGGAGGGAACCAUACCAGUGUCAACUGCCAAGUUGGAAGUCCUGUUGCGUCGUCAUCUGCUGAACAAGCUCAUUAUGUGGCAAACUUCCAGAGGCAACAAAAUAACCCAUAUUCUAAUACCUACAAUUCUGGCUGGAGAAACCACCCGAAUUUGUCAUGGAACAACACUCANNNNNNNNNNNNNNNNNNNNNNNNNNNNNNNNNNNNNNNNNNNNNNNNNNNNNNNNNNNNNNNNNNNNNNNNNNNNNNNNNNNNNNNNNNNNNNNNNNNNNNNNNNNNNNNNNNNNNNNNNNNNNNNNNNNNNNNNNNNNNNNNNNNNNNNNNNNNNNNNNNNNNNNNNNNNNNNNNNNNNNNNNNNNNNNNNNNNNNNNNNNNNNNNNNNNNNNNNNNNNNNNNNNNNNNNNNNNNNNNNNNNNNNNNNNNNNNNNNNNNNNNNNNNNNNNNNNNNNNNNNNNNNNNNNNNNNNNNNNNNNNNNNNNNNNNNNNNNNNNNNNNNNNNNNNNNNNNNNNNNNNNNNNNNNNNNNNNNNNNNNNNNNNNNNNNNNNNNNNNNNNNNNNNNNNNNNNNNNNNNNNNNNNNNNNNNNNNNNNNNNNNNNNNNNNNNNNNNNNNNNNNNNNNNNNNNNNNNNNNNNNNNNNNNNNNNNNNNNNNNNNNNNNNNNNNNNNNNNNNNNNNNNNNNNNNNNNNNNNNNNNNNNNNNNNNNNNNNNNNNNNNNNNNNNNNNNNNNNNNNNNNNNNNNNNNNNNNNNNNNNNNNNNNNNNNNNNNNNNNNNNNNNNNNNNNNNNNNNNNNNNNNNNNNNNNNNNNNNNNNNNNNNNNNNNNNNNUUUGAUCCAGAGAUUGAACGUACGUGUAGAAGGCUUAAUAAAGAAAGGAGAGAAGCUUUACAAGAGCAACAACUAAUCAUGGCUGACGAAGCAUUACAUGGAAAUGAGGAUGCAAAACCCUUAAGAGAUUAUGCUGUACCUACAGUUAAUAGAGCUCGUUCAAGCAUUGCACGCCCUGCUGUUCAAGCCAAUAAUUUUGAAAUUAAGCCAGCCAUAAUCCAGAUGAUUCAGACAUCAGUACAAUUUGCUGGGAUGCCAAAUGAUGAUCCAAAUGCUCAUAUUGCAAAUUUCUUAGAAAUUUGUGACACAUUUAAGCAAAAUCUGCUGUACCGUACAUCCAUAAUUUAUCUAUUAUUUUAAUGCUUUCAUAACUUAAUUUUAUGUUAAAUUAUAUUUUAUUAUAUUAAUUUUUAUCUUAAAUUUUAUAUUUUGUCAUUGUAGGAAUAUUGGGAAUAUUCAUGAGAAAAGAAGCUUAAAGAGGAAACAAGUUGGAGUAUAAUGGAAAUAAUGUGGAAACAAGAGAGAAAGAAAUAAAAAGCCAAAUCAAAGAAAAUUUAAUCUAAGUAUCAGGCAGUCACGUGAAGAAUAAAGGAAGAGAAGAAAAUGUCAAUUGGCUUUUAAUUUCAAGCUAGUUACGUGGAGCCCAUUUGACAAUUUAAAUGGCAAGCUUACAAUAUAUUAAAGGAAGCAAAUAUUUUGGCAUUGUUUGAAAAGGCUAUUCACGUGGAUGGGCUUUGGUUUCAAUUCUUAUUGGCUUAGGAAUGAAAUAGGCGGCUGGACUUUUGCUUUUAAUUCUUGUCAUAAAAGGAUUUUACAAGCCACAACAUUAUAAAAGGGGAAAGCCAAGCGGAAGCAAAGGAGAGAAGGAGGCAGCCGCACAUCAACUGAAAAUUGGGGAGAAAACCGAGAGCAAGAAAAUUUUAUAAAUUUAUGUUAUUUUUAAUUUAUUAUUCCAUGGUUGAGUGUUCAUUAUUGUGCUUAAUGCUUUUAAAUAUCUUGCCAAUAUUUGAAUUUUGAGGAUAUAAUAUAUAUAAUGAGACCGAGAGGAUAUUUAUGUAUUUUUACUCUGUGUACUGGAUGCCAUAAAUUGAACGAAAGACAGAGAUGUGCCAACGUGAUUCGUGCAGUCUUAAUUACUCUGUGUACUGGAUGCCAUAAAUUGAACGAAAGACAGAGAUGUGCCAACGUGAUUCGUGCAGUUUUUCUAAGAAUUUCCAUGGAACUUAAUGAAUCUUUGCAUAUUUAAAUUAGAUUGGUUAUGAUGAAAUCGGAUUGGUUAUGGUGAAAUCGGAUUGGUUAUAGUGAAAUCGGAUGUCCUAGUGUUUUAAUCUCUUGGUAAUUUUCUACUACUGUCUGCAUCUUUGUUUAAUUUUUAAUUAUUUUAUUUUAUUUUAUUUUAAUCUAAAUUCGCUUAUUCGAUUGUUCAAAUAAAUUAGAGUUAGAAUAAUUUCGGUAACUAAUAGGAUAUACAAUCUCUAUGGGACGAUACUCUACUCUUCAUUAUAUUACUUGUGCCGACUAGUACACUUGCUAAUUUACGCAACACUUACUUUACUCUUCCUUUAAUUUCCUUUUCUCCUAAUUCCACAUAGGCAUAGUUGCUUUGGUACAAUGGCCUUUUGUAUCGUCAUAACAAUUGGUGCCAAAAUUUGGUCCGAGUUGCUAUGUGGGGAUUUCAAUGUGAAUAUUUGAAUUUAUUUGUAUGGGGAGAUGGUUUUGUCUUUAUCCAGUAGUCCAAGCAAAAACUGGUAACCACGAGUUGCAACUUAGCUAGCACCUGCAACCACAAAAAAAGUCAAUGGCGCCGGAAGUUUUUCCAACGUUAACCUUUCAACACAUAAUUCGGUAUUAGGGGUUCAUUGGAAAAAUAUAGUUUUUUUUUUGUAAUAUAAAUGAAGAAGAAAACAAGAAAAAUCCCUGUGAUUAAGUUACAUUAAUAAAGAUGAAGAAGGAGUGUUCAUAUGAUAAGAUUAGCCUAGAUAAGAUAGAGUAGAGAGUUUUUUUUUUUUGAAAUGAAAGUAUAACUUUCAAUCAUUCAACUCAGUGAAUAGAUACAAAAGAUGGGUUGGAAGAUUGUCCUCCCAAAUUACACAAUCAGUGUAGUCUAAAACUAGCUUAGCAAGUGUGUGAGCAAAACCAUUACAAGUUCUUGGUGAGUGCUGUAUCUUGACAUGCUUUAGCCUUUUCAUCGUAUCUUGAACCUCAGAAACAAUCCAAAAAAUCUCAGCUUUUGUGCUUUUUCUAGCUGAAACUAAAUCUGUGACUUCCUUUGAAUCUGUCUCAACAAUCAAAGGUAGACACCCUGCACUUUCAGCUACUUCCAGCCCGAAUCUUGUUGCUUCGGCUUCUGCAUAAUCCACUCUGUCAAGCCAUUUUGAUGGCUUUAUGGCUGCUGUGAUGAACUUGCCCUCUGAAUUUCUAAUUACAAUGCCCAACCCCACUCUCUGAUUUUCUAGCUUUAUAGCAGCAUCAACAUUCACCUUGAACCAACCUGCAGGGGGGCACUUCCAAUGCUUAUGGGAUACCAAAUCUUGAUUUGAAAAUGCUUGUAAUUGUGGCAUUUGGAUUCUUUUAUAGGACUGAACUAUUGCUUCAGCUCCAGCUACAGAUAGUUGGAAAUCUUCCUUUUUGUUCUGGAAAAUAAAAAGAUUUCUCGAGUGCCAUAUACUCCAACACACAGCAACUAUCAGCUCCAUUUCAGUCUUGCUUCUUCGAUCAGCCAAAGCCAACAACAAGCUUAGGACAUCCUUACACUUCAGGGCUUUCACUUCCUCUUCAAAGGUUGUAAGCUUCCAAAUUUUUCGCGAGGCUUUACAGUCAAACAACGAGUGAAAGAUAGUCUCUCUAUGACUCCUGCAUCUCUGACACCAGGGGGUUUGUAAAAUCCUUCGCUUCCAUAAAUUCUCUGAUGUGGGCAGCAAGUCAUUUGUUGCCCUCCACAUAAAAAUCUUCACUUUCUCCGGAAUUUGCAGAUACCAAAUUGAGUUCCAUGAAUUAUUGUCUUCCUUUGAGCUGCUAGGCCUGUUUGGGAACUUCAUUUGUAAAGCUAGUUGAUAACCACUCUUGACUGAGUAAUUACCCUUCUUGUCAUAAUGCCACAAAACUUGGUCUGGACUUAAUUGUCUUGGCAGAGGGAUUUUUAGAAUUUGUGCAGCAUCUUCUUGAUGGAAAUGUUGUCUUAUUACAUCAUCUCUCCAGCAUUGGUCUUCAUCAAUCAAAACUGACACGGUUGUAUCCAGGGGAAGGCUUGGAGGCGAUAUUGGUUUGAAUGUUUCUGGUCUUGGUAACCAGCCACUUUGGUACACUUUCACCAGCUUUCCAUCUCCAAUUCUCCAUCUAAGGCCCUUUCGAAUAACCUCUCUUCCCCACAAUAUGCUCCUCCAUAUAUAAGAGGGGUUUGAACCAAUUUGUGCUUCCAUAAAACAUGAAUGCCUGAAAUAUUUUUCCUUCAUCACCCUAGCUACAAGCGAUUCUGGUGCUUGGAUGAUCCUCCAGCUCUGCUUUGCUACUAGCGCUUGGUUAAAACUGGAUAAAUCUCGGAAGCCCAAUCCCCCUCUCUUUUUAGCUUGACACAAUCUUUCCCAUUUGGACCAGUGAAUAGAUCUUUUCUCCCUUUUUUUUCCCCACCAAAAACCAGCAAUGGCCUUCUGCAUAUCCUCACAUAGUCCUAGGGGGAGCUUAAAAACGCUCAUGGCAUAGGCAGGCACUGCUUGAGCUACUGCUUUUAUAAGAAUCUCCUUCCCUCCACUUGAGAAAAAAUUUGCUUGCCAAUUGGAGAUUUUGUUUAUAAUUCUGAGCUUGAUUUCGUUAAAGAAGCUGGUUUUUUUCCUCCCCACCAUUGAGGGAAGUCCUAGAUACUUUUCAUGUCUUGAGACCACUUGAAGCUGAAAAAUAUCCUUAAUUGUCGUUAUCUGCCCUUGCUUGGCAUUUUCACUGAAGAACAUGGAGGACUUUUCAAAAUUGAAGAUUUGCCCUGAGGCAGCAGCAUAGCAAUCAAAAAGCUGCUUCAGAUUCGUACAAUCCUCUUUAGUGGCUCUUGUGAAAACCAAGCUAUCAUCUGCAAAUAGAAGGUGAGUAAUAGACAAGUUCCCGCUGAAUUUUAAACCAUGAAUCAGCUGAUUUGAUUCAGCUUGGUGCAAAAGAUUUGUGAAAACCUCAGCACAGAUGAUGAACAAAUAUGGCGAGAGAGGGCAGCCUUGUCUUAAGCCUCUUUGAGGCUGGAUAAGGCCUUUUGCUACCCCAUUGAUUAGCACAGAGAAAGAUGUUGUAGAUAUACAUCUCAUGACCAGCUCUACCCAUUUGUGAGAGAAACCCAACCUUACCAAAGUGCAUCUUAAGAAUUCCCACUCCACCCUAUCAUAUGCUUUGCUAUUGUCUAAUUUCAAAGCCACUAGACCAUGCUUUUUAUUCUUGCUAUGCCUAAUCUUAUGAAGACACUCAUACCCAACAAUUAUAUUAUCGGUUAUGAGCCUAUUUGGUACAAAGGCACUUUGAGUUGGUGAAAUUACAGAAUCAAGGAUUAACUUCAGCCUAUUCGCUAUAGUUUUUGCAAUGAUCCUAUAGAUAACAUUACAAAGACUGAUCGGUCUAUACUCCAUCACUGCCUUAGGCAUUGCAAUUUUGGGAAUUAAGCAAAUGAAGGUAUGGUUCAGAGGAGCUAUAUUACCUCCAUCAUUGAGGAUGUGCAGACAUGUGGCUAUCACUCCUUCGCUGACUGAUGCCCAAUGCUUCUGGAAAAAAACCGCUGGGAGGCCAUCUGGGCCAGGGGCUUUCGUUGGAUGCAUCUGACUCAGAGCUUCUAGAAUUUCUGCUUCUGUGAAAGCCUGGUCCAGAUGGGAAUUCAUUUCUGCUGUGACUUUGCGAGGCAUGUUUCUGAGGGCUAGCUCCAGGUGCUGUUGGGAGGGAUUUGUUGAUGUGAAGAGGUUAUGGUAAUAUUCGCAGAACAUUCUCUCGAUAUCCUCUGCUUCCUCAGACCAUCUGUAUUUUCAUCAAAAAUUCCACUGAUCCAAUUUUUCCUUUUCCGAGCUGAAGCUUUGGAAUGGAAAAACUUGGUGUUUUUAUCCCCUUCUUGUAGCCAAACUGCUCUAGACCUCUGUCUCCAAUAGAUUUCUUCAUCCAAGAGCAAAUCAUCUAUUUGUCUUUCCAAGAGCUUUACUUGAUCGCCACUACUAUAAUGAUUGUUGUUGUCCUUAUAGGUUUUCAGUUCAGCCAAUAACUUCUUUAGCUUCUUCUCUCUCCCUCCAAAGGCUUGUUUACUCCAGAGUUUCAGCUCAGCCAAAGACUCCUUAGCUGCUUUUUUAAAAACAGAGACAGGGUCUGUAUCUUUCCACAUUCUCUUGCACUAUGAAGACAUGUGGAGUCCAUAUGAGAAAUGUUUGACGCCCAACUUUGGCAAACCUUUCAUGACAAAACUUUUCAAAAGCUCUUUUAUACGUGGAUGCCAAAUAAUUCAAUUAAUAAAACUUAUAACAUUAUAAGAAAAUUUAGUAGCCAAUAAGGCUGUUGGUAUUAAAGUGUUGUAUUUUUUGAUCUACAAUUGCUAUAAAAAAAUAUAAUUAUAAAAUAAAAAUUAAUAGUAUGAAUAAAUAUGACUCUUAAAUUUUAAUUUUGACAAAAACAGUAAAAAUGUUAUACGUUCUUUCAUCGUACUAGUAGUAAAUUAAAUCAAUUUAACUUUUAAAACAUAAUAAUUAAUAUUUAUCAAAUAUUUUAUUAUUGUAACUUUUAAAUUACAGUUCUCCACUAUCAAUACCAAGCGGAGAUUAAGUAGUGGUUAAUUAAAUAAUAAUAAAAAAAUAUGUUAGCUAAAAAGAGUAAUAGAACGUUUGUCUAAUAAGACUAAAAUUACCAGCUGUUAAUUGGUUGUUAGUUAAUAAUAAUUUAAUAUCCUAUUGCACAAGACAAAAUAACCACUAAAGACAAAAUCCAGCCUUGUUCUAGCCUUGAUAAUUUUAUUAUGUUUGCCAACGUUACGCAAUUAAAUUUCAUUUCAUUAUAUUAAGAGACAAAGAAAUGUUGAUAAAACCAAGGACUUAUAUGAUUAUAUAUAAUCAAUCAAGAUUCAAGAAUCAUGGGAAAGAGAAGAAAAAAAAAAAAAUUAGUCGAAUUGAUAAAAACAUGGAGAGAUUAAGGGUUUCUCUUUACUUAAUGAUUGUCUUGUCUAUCUUUCAUACUAAUUUUGAUGGUGCUAAUGCUACAAAAUUAAAGAGUGACAAGCUUUGCAGCCAGUGCUCCAAUUGUGAGUCAAAACAGUGCCCUGCUAGUGAAGCUUAUCCCCACAUGACGGCAUUCGACAACACGCUCAUCGCCGGUGCCUUGCAGUCGGAUUUUGUGGACUCCGAUGAUCGGGGAGUUUACUCGGUUCCCGAUAUCAAAGGUGGUGAAUCUGAGGAAUAUAAUGCUUAUUUUGGCUGGAAAUCCACUUCUGGUUCUACUUCUGGGUACCACAGGUAAGAUGCAAUGUUACAACAUUGUGCACAUAUUUUUAAUUUCUAACUAAAUUGACCAAUUUAUUGAAAUAAAAAACAAUGUAAAUGUGACCUGCAUUAUUCUUCAAAUAGCAAUUUUGGAUGCAUUUUUUAAAUUAAAAAAAAUGGGGGGGGGGGGUGUGUGUUGGAAUCUGAAUCGUUGCUAGAGACAAAACGACUUUGAAGGUGAGUUUGACGCCCAACUUUUUUUUUUUUUUUGAAAUGAAAGUAUUACUUUCAAUCAUUCAACUAUGUGAAUAGAUACAAAAGAUGGGUUGGAAGAUUGUCCUCCCAAAUUACACAAUCAGUGUAGUCUAAAACUAGCUUAGCAAGUGUGUGAGCAAAACCAUUACAAGUUCUUGGUGAGUGCUGUAUCUUGACAUGCUUUAGCCUUUUCAUCGUAUCUUGAACCUCAGAAACAAUCCAAAAAAUCUCAGCUUUUGUGCUUUUUCUAGCUGAAACUAAAUCUGUGACUUCCUUUGAAUCUGUCUCAACAAUCAAGGGUAGACACCCUGCACUUGCAGCAACUUCCAGCCCGAAUCUUGUUGCUUCGGCUUCUGCAUAAUCCACUCUGUCAAGCCAUUUUGAUGGCUUUAUGGCUGCUGUGAUGAACUUGCCCUCUGAAUUUCUAAUUACAAUGCCCAACCCCACUCUCUGAUUUUCUAGCUUUAUAGCAGCAUCAACAUUCACCUUGAACCAACCUGCAGGGGGGCACUUCCAAUGCUUAUGGGAUACCAAAUCUUGAUCUGAAAAUGCUUGUAAUUGUGGCAUUUGGAUUCUUUUAUAGGACUGAACUAUUGCUUCAGCUCCAGCUACAGAUAGUUGGAAAUCUUCCUUUUUGUUCUGGAAAAUAAAAAGAUUUCUCGAGUGCCAUAUACUCCAACACACAGCAACUAUCAGCUCCAUUUCAGUCUUGCUUCUUCGAUCAGCCAAAGCCAACAACAAGCUUAGGACAUCCUUACACUUCAGGGCUUUCACUUCCUCUUCAAAGGUUGUAAGCUUCCAAAUUUUUCGUGAGGCUUUACAGUCAAACAACGAGUGAAAGAUAGAGUAGAGAGUUAGAUAAAAUGGAUAAGAUUAAAAAAGCCCCCUUCCAUUUGGACUCAUUUGGAGUUUUAUAAAGGUUAAGACCCUCUUCCCUUAACGAUAGCACUUAAUCCCUGAUUUUUUGAAGAGGGUAAGGAGAGUAAUUUUAAUUGAGUCCAUUCUUAGUUUAACUGUCUCCUUGCUAAAUCCUUCUCAUCGGCUUGCAUCUGGCAGUGAUAUAUGGCGAGGCGAGCAUAGUCAAGUUUCAAGUAAAGCGUGAUUGAGGUCGCCUAUUUGAUCACCCAAAUAUUGUUUUUUUAUUUUUCAGUAAUUUUUUAAUUGUGCAGGUUACUUUGUUUUCUAGUCUCUUACAGUUUGUAUCUUGAACAAGUUUGCGUCUUUUUCUUUAUUUUUUAUUUUUUUUUGCUAAAUCAGUAAAGUUUGCAUUUUUAUGGUUUAUCAUGAACUAACCUUGUAUGAAACUUUUUCUUUUUGUUUAAAACAUAACUUUUGUCACUUUACUCUUUUUUCUUUCACUUUUUAUUUUUUCUUUUUUAUGUGCAAUAUUUGUCUAAAGUUUUCUACCGCAUUUAUUUUAUUUAUACUGUAAAGAUAUUAUACAAAAUUUGCACCAUGCUAUUUUGAUAAACUCGUCCUUGUUUAUUUAAAAAUGAAAGAAAGAAAGAAGGUAAAUGAAAGAAAGAAAGAAGGUAAAUGAAAAUAUUAAUUAAUGCUCUCAUAGAAUUUAAAAAUGAACAUUUUUAUAUUUUAUAUAUUUUUUGUUUUGUGAUUAUUAAUUGUCCCAAUUUUGUAUUUUUCCAAUUAGUUUGUAUUUCAUAAAUUUUCAUUUUUUUAUAUUUUGUGCUGGACCAGUAAAGUUUGCUUCUUCUUUAGUUUAUCACGAAGUAAGCUUAUGUAUGAUUUUUCUUUUUUUUUUUUUUGCUAGAAAACAUAAAGUUUGUAACUUUGUUCUACAUUCUUUUACAUUUUAUUCUUUUUUAAGUUAUUUGUGAAAUACUUGUCUGAAGUCUUGUAUCUUAAUUAGAACUUUUUUUUUAAAGAAAAAAAAUUGUAUCAUACUUUUGCUUUUUUUGAAAAUGAAACAGAGAAAAACAGUAAAUGAAAAUAUUAAAACAAUCUUUGAUCUUAUUAUAUCGGAUUUACGCUAUAGCAAAUUGAAUGUUUAGAAAAGUACUCAUGGAAUAUGUUUGGGAAAGGUGGGAGCUACAAAGACACGAAGCAUAAUCUCAAGUGUAGCUUUGAAGGAAUCGGUGCUAUAAUCCUCCAAACAGAACUCUAAAUCUUGUCGACCUGUGAUAGGGAUUUUAUCUCAUCCAGGUGAUGCUGCUAUGAAUAGAUUGAAUCAAGCGGAAAAUGAGUCCAAUAUUCCAGCUUCUUAUGUUAAACUUGUUGAAAUGGGUGGAGCAUGAGUGAUUUCUCUAAUUUAUAAUGAACUAGAAAUAUUAUUUUUAAGGUUAAAGAAAUAACUUAGUAAAUAAUUAAGUGAUUUUUUCAUGAGUAGGUGGCCUGCUAAGUGACUUCCUAGCCUCCAUGCACCUAUGACAAAGUUUGACGUCAGUCUCAGUCGCUUUAGUUUUUAGCACUUACAAUGACAAAAACCAUCAAUAAUCUUAUUUUGGUUUAAAAGAUAGUAGAGUUUUUAGUCAUAUUAUAAGUAACUCAUGCAAAAUCUUUAACUCAAAACCUUAUUUUGGAUCAUAAAUACUAUUUGUUAAAAAUGAGAAUAAUUUACAUAUUAAGCAUGUUAGAUUUGUUUUGCUUGCUACUUUUACAAGUGAACGUUUAUUCUUAAACAUUGUCUUACAUGUUCACAUAUUACCAAAAACUUAUCUUGAUUUAUUUCUUCUCCUAAACUUAUCUAAUUAAUCUAAUGAGAAUUGAACCCUUUUACUUUUUUGCUUCAAUUGCAAGAAACUUAAACUGAACUUGACUAUUAUUUGAAGAUGUUGACUUUAAACAAAUCAAACAUAGAAGCUUUAAAAAACUCGAGAUGUUCAUGCUCUAAGAUACAAUUAUCUAGGUGUAACAGAAUUGUAUUCUUUCAGUUUUUCAAAUUCUUGACAACAAGUGCACAAUUUAAACAUAUAAUGCUAAAUGUAACAUAUAAAUGAUUUAAUUGUAUAAAUAUAAUACUAUCAUUCUCCCUUUGAACUCUGAUUUUUGUGAUUAAUAAUCAGGUGCUUGUCUCAACUAUCAAAGCUUACAAUUAUCCAAUUACUGCCUUCCAGUGGCAUCCAAAGGUUUGCUUUACUGCUUUGGUUAUUUGAUGAUGUAUGCAAUAUUGAAAUAAUUUGAAUAGAAACAUGUUGAAAAUGAAGUAUAUAUAACCAAUCAUUUUGUAGAAAAAUGCUUUUGAGUGGGGCAACAAAAUGAAUUCUACAGUUAGGGGAUGUUGUUUGAGUGACUCUAACAUGUUGCAAAGUUUCUUAUCAGGCAAGUUCUUUUAAACCAAAAUAAGAUUAUUGAUGGUUUUUGUCAUUGUAAGUGCUAAAAACUAAAGCGACUGAGACUGACGUCAAACUUUGUCAUAGGUGCAUGGAGGCUAGGAAGUCACUUAGCAGGCCACCUACUUAAAGAAAAAAUACUUAAUUAUUUACUAAGUUAUUUCUUUAAACUUAGAAAUAAUAUCAGGUUCAUUAUAAAUUAGAAGAGUCACCAUACUUUGCCCAUUGAAUAGAAACAUGUUGAAAAUGAAGUAUAUAUAACCAAUCAUUUUGUAGAAAAAUGCUUUUGAGUGGGGCAACAAAAUGAAUUCUACAGUUAGGGGAUGUUGUUUGAGUGACUCUAACAUGUUGCAAAGUUUCUUAUCAGGCAAGUUUUUUUAAACCAAAAUAAGAUUAUUGAUGGUUUUUGUCAUUGUAAGUGCUAAAAACUAAAGCGACUGAGACUGACGUCAAACUUUGUCAUAGGUGCAUGGAGGCUAGGAAGUCACUUAGCAGGCCACCUACUUAAAGAAAAAAUACUUAAUUAUUUACUAAGUUAUUUCUUUAAACUUAGAAAUAAUAUCAGGUUCAUUAUAAAUUAGAAGAGUCACCAUACUUUGCCCAUUGAAUAGAAACAUGUUGAAAAUGAAGUAUAUAUAACCAAUCAUUUUGUAGAAAAAUACUUUUGAGUGGGGCAACAAAAUGAAUUCUACAGUUAGGGGAUGUUGUUUGAGUGACUCUAACAUGUUGCAAAGUUUCUUAUCAGGCAAGUUUUUUUAAACCAAAAUAAGAUUAUUGAUGGUUUUUGUCAUUGUAAGUGCUAAAAACUAAAGCGACUGAGACUGACGUCAAACUUUGUCAUAGGUGCAUGGAGGCUAGGAAGUCACUUAGCAGGCCACCUACUUAAAGAAAAAAUACUUAAUUAUUUACUAAGUUAUUUCUUUAAACUUAGAAAUAAUAUCAGGUUAAUUAUAAAUUAGAAGAGUCACCGUACUCUGCUCAUUUCAACAAGUUUAACAUAAGAAGCUGGAGUGGUAGAUUUUCGGCCUGAUUCAAUCUAUUCAUAGCACCAUCACAUUGGAGUUCUGUUCGGAGAGUACAAUAUCAGCUCCUUCAAAGUUGCCCUUGAGAUUAGCCUUCAAGUCUUUCUAGCUCCCACCUUUCCCAAGCACAUUCCAUGCGUACUUUUCAAAGCAUUCAGCUUGUUAUAGUGUAAACCUUAUAUAAUAAGAUCAAAGAUUGCAUUAAUAUUUUCUUUUACUGUUUUUCUUUCUUUCAUUUCUCAAAAAGCAAAAGAUAGAUAUUAUUAAAAAAAAGGCAUGAAACAAAAUGUUAUCCUUUCAGAAUAAAUAAUCCAACUAAGAUACAAGACUUCAACCAAAUAUUGCAGAAAUAAAUAAAAAAAUCAAAUUGAAAGAAUACAAAACAAAGUUACAAACUUCAUGUUUUUGGCAAAAGAAAACAUAUCAUGCAUAAGCUCACUUUAUGAUAAACUAAAAAAAGAAGCAAACUUUACUGAUCUAGCAUAAAAUAAAAAAAAUAAAAUACAAAAAAUACAAAAUUAUCAAAUACAAACUAAUUGAAAAGAUAAAAAUUUGGACAGUUAAUAAUCACACAAAAAUAAAUAACUAAAAGCAUUUGUUUUUAAACUGGUGAGAGAAAAAAAGAUUGUAUUAAUAUUUUCAUUUACCUUCUUUCUUUCUUUCAUUUUUCAAUAAGCAAGGAUGCGUAUAUUUAAAUAGCAAGGUAGAAGUUUAAGAUAAUAUCUUUACAUUAUAAAGAAAAUAAAUGAGGUAGAAAACUUCAGAUAAAUAUUACAAGUGAAAAAAAAAGCAAACGAACAAAAAUUAUAUUUUUUUAACAAAAAGUUUCAUGCAAGUUUAGUUCAUGCUAAACCAUAAAAAUGCAUACUUUAUUGAUGUGGAAAAAAAAAGAGAGAAUUUGUUCAAGAUACAAGAGAUUAGAAAACAAACCAAUUUGUACAAUUAGAAAUAAAAUAAAUGAGGUAGAAAACUUCGGACAAAUACUACACAAAAAAAAAAUGUAAGGUUAGUUCAUGACAAACCAUAAAAACAAAUAAAAUAUUAAAAACAAAUAUUAGAGAUACGAAUAUUAAAAAAACAAAUAUUAAAAAAAAGAAGCAAACUUGUUUAGAGAUACGAACUAUAAAAUAUUAGAAAAAAACACAUAAAAAUGUAGGUCUUUGUUAGUUGACGAACCAUCAAAGUUCUAAUAGGCGUUGGUCAUCAUCAUCUUUACACUGGGUAAUUCUAAUGUCAUUGCAAACUUGUAAGGUGUGGGUUUUAUAUUUGUUGCAGAGAAAAGCAAAGAAUGUAAGAAAAUGUAGAUUUUAUAUGUGAAGAUAUGUGUAUAUGGACUUAAAUGAAGAAACUGGAAAAGUAGAGAGCUGUUGUGCAGAUUGACUUCAGUUGAUGGGGUCUAUUUGAUAUCUUCCGCUGACGUGGCAUGAAUUCGUUAUAAUCUGUUAUAACGAAGCCCAGCACACUGAUAUAAAACAGAGGCUGACGAAUGGUGCCACAUACAGAGCCAAUAUCAUCUUCAUUUGUUCAUCAUUUUGCAUAGAAUCUGUUUUAUUGUGAUCUGUGCAUAAUCUUCUGUAAAUCACUUGUGAUUGGGUUAGUUCUUGAUCAAUAAUAAUGAGUAAAUUUUCUAAGUUUGCUGGUCUGUGUCUUUGUUUUGUUUUCUGGUUUAGCUCCUUUGUUCUGGUUUUUCUUGAUUCGAUUGUGUUUUUGGUAUUUCUACUCACCAAGAUUCGUGAGUCUUGAUAUGGUUUAGGCUUAAAACCUUAACAUUAUAUAAUAAAGAAAAACAAAGGAUAAGUAAGGUUCUGGUUUUGUUGUUGUAAAGAAAAAGAUAGUAAAGAGGGAACUGGCUACUCCUACACAUACUUACAUUGCAAGGUGGUCAUUACCUUUUUGUUUUUUUACAACAUUAGGAAAAAAAAUUUGAGUUGUCUUUUUACCAUUAACAAAUCAUAAAAAGUAUAUGCCGGUGAUUUUGUUAAAUUAUAUAACCAUUAUAUAUGAAUAAAAAUAUGAAGUCUAUAAGUACUGAUUAUCUAAAAUUUAUUAAAUAAACAUAAAUUGUUCUAUUGUAUUCCUACUCUAAUAUUAUGAUAUAUCUAUCUCAUUCUAAUAUUUUCAUGAGAUAUUUCACAUUUAUGGGAGAGACUAUCUAUCCUACCCAAUUGCGAGGGGAAUAAAGGCCUAGCUUAGAGUUGGAGCUAGAACCUAUGGUACCCUAAAUUUGAGGGUACAAUAUGUAGAAUGAUUGAAUGUGUUGACUUAGUUUUUAUACCAUAAUCUUAAUUAGAAUUGGAUGAAUGAUAACUCAUUUCAAAGCUUUUGACAAUAUGAAUUAAACUUUGGCGAAAUUCUAUCAAUUAGGGAUUAAAAUUUCAUAUUUGAGUAAUUUUUCUAUUUUUGAAAGUUUUUGAUCGGUAGAUGUAAGUGGAAGUCCUUUGACUAUUAGUGAGUUUUAAAAUCUAAUCAAAUAUUGAUUAAUAUGGGUAGAUGUGAAGGGACGUCUCUCAAAUACUAAUGAGAAUCAAAUCUAGUCAGUACUUCAUAAGAUUAAUGUGGGUAGAUGUGAAUGAAGUAGACGUGACGUCCCUCAAAUAUUAAUCUUGGGUAGAGUAGACAUCAUAAGAUUAACAUGGAUAGAUAGGAGUAAACGUCUCUUGAAUAUUAGUCGUGAGUGGAGUAGACGUCAUAAGAUUAAUGUCGGUAGACGUGGACAUCCCUUAAAUAUUAGUAAGAGUAAAAAUCUUUUAGAAUAUCAGUGAGGGUUAAAAUUUGUACAAUGCUUUAUAAUAUUAAUGUGUGUAAAUAUGAGUGAAAGAGAUAUCUCUAGAAUAUUAGUGAGUGUUAAAAUCUAGGUAGUGCUUGAUAAGAUUAAUGUGGAUAGAUGUGAGUAAGUAGACAUUUUGAGUAGAGUAGAUAUCCUAAGAUUAACAUGGAUAGAUUUGAGUGAACAUCCCUCGAAUAAUGGAUAGAUUUGAGUGAACAUCCCUCGAAUAUUAGUGAAGGUUAAAAUUUAGGCAGUACUUCAUAAGAUUAAUAUAAACAAGUCUUAGUAGAUCAUGUAAACUAGUCCCAGUAGAUGUCCCUUGAAUCAUGUACGUUAUGUAAUAGUUUAAUUGUAAAAAUAGUAGUAAUUUGAUGCAAUACCAAUAAUUGUGUGUUAUAUAUAUGCUAUGAUGAUUUGCAAAAUUAUUUUCGUCAUUUCUCCAAGAUAAGUUUAAAAGGUGCAGUAUAGAUUUUAUUGCAAUAAGGCAGCACUUUAGAAUGUAUAAAGUGAUAUGACUACAAAUAUAUUUUCAAUGGGAAGCUUUAGCUUUGGUUUACACCAAAUAUCUCUAUAAGUAAAAAUAUAUAUUUGUUCAUAUUGCUUUGUGGUCUAUGCAUAUCCUCUCUCUUCAAUGCUGAUGAAAAUGACAUGACUUCUAAGUUUUUUUCAAUGUAUUUGAAAAGACCCUUGGUCUUAUACCAAUUGUUUGCAAAUGUUUAUAUACGUUUGUUUAUAUUACUCUUUAGUCUAUGCUUAUUUGUUUUUUCUUACUACUAUCAGACAAUCUAAUAGCCUACUUAUCUAAAAUUAGAAGAUCAAUAAGAUGAUAGUUUUUGUUUGCGUAUGAAUAUAAACAAAUUGAUUAUCUUUUUAAUAUAUAUGUGUGAUGCCUUAUUGAAGAAGAAAAAAUCAGAAGAGAUAUACAAUCAUAUAUAAAUAACGAAAAUCAAAAGAGAUAUACAAUCCUAUAUAAAUAAUGAAAAUUAAGGCAAGUGAAAUUGGUUAAAUUCCAACUGCCUUCUUGAGUGGUCAUUUUACUGACUAAGGUGGCUCAUCUUCCACUACAACAAAAAAAGAUAUAUGGUAGCAUCCAAAAAAUGCUAUCAAAGGUGAUUGGUAGCAUUUUAGGCAAUGAUAAGUUUGCCCAUGUAACUAAAAGUUUUACCAUUUAGUAGCAUCUAUUGAAUGCUAACAAUUUGAAUAUAUAGCAUUUAAAAAUGGCUACUGAAUAUUAUUUUGUAGCUUCAUGCAAAUGCUAUCAUCGUACAAUUUGUGGCAUUUAUGAAAUGCUACUAAAUUUUAUAUAUAACCUUAAAAAAAUGCUACAAGAGCCAUUUCGCAAUGAUACCACUUGCCUUCUAUAGCACUCUGAUAAUGCAAUUUUAAUAAUAAUUACAACAUUUUGGUAAUGCUAUGAUUAGUAAAAAAUUAAAUAAAAUAUAUGUAAUGUAGCCGUUAGUAAAUGCUAUGAAUAAUUUUAAAUCUUUCGAUUGUAGCAUUUGAAAAACGCUAUGAAUAUUAGCAAAUAAACGUUUUUUUGUUCAAUGUUAUCAGUUUAUAUUGAUAAAUUCGCAUUGAAUUGUUAAUUCACUAAAUAUAACUUUAAAUAUCAAAUGCUGAACAAUUUGACAUCUAUCAUUCUUGAAGAGAAGAAAAUAUUCACCAUAUAUUUAAUCGCAAUAACUAUGUAUAAGCAUUCAAAGUCACAUGAUCAUAUACCUUCAAGUACACAAAAAGAUUUAAACAAAAAAUUAUGUCCAUGUCAUACUUGCAUUACCCCCCUUCCCCUUGAAUUAAACCAAAUAAAGAUGCUAUUACAUCCACAACUUACCUUCUACUCUUUACAAAAUAUAUUUGAUCUUUGCAACCUACAUCAUGAAUUGAACACAAAAACAUAGUUACAUCUUGACAUUAAAAAAAUAAAUAAUAAAGCUUUAAAAAAUGACAAGUAAAAUAAUGACCUUUAAUAAAUACAAAUAAAAAUAUCAAUAUUGAAAAUCUAAAGUAAUGAAUAUCUAUAUUUGCAUCAAAAGAGGUAAAGAUUUAUUUUCAUUUAUCAGGAGAUAAAACAAUAACAUAAUGAUAAGAAAUAAAAACCAAAGCAAUAAGAAGAAUACAAGAAAAACAUAAAUCACAACCCACCAAGAUCAACAUUUCCAACACACAUGGCCAUGGUGAAGCCUUGGCAUAUGACUCCUCGUGAAAAUGAAUAAAACAAUUAUUUCUCAAAAUAAUUGCUCAAAUUAAAUUAAUGAAAAAAAAUCUAAAAAGCCAAGCUUCACUUAACCAAAAUAAUAAUAAUAAUAAUAAUAAUAAUAAUAACGACAACAACAAAAACCUUCUCAAAGUAGCAAAAUGCAAAAUUACUUUCCUGUAGUUGAAAACCAGAUCAAAUUUGCGAUCACUAUUAAAAUAUAUAAAGUCAUUGUAAAAAGGAAAAUGAUUUGAAAAAAAUUAACCAAAUAGAUGAAUUGGAAAAGCUAGUUGGCAAGAAACAUGACAACUCUAUUAGCAAGCCAUGCAAUUGUACUCCCAUCAGAUUUUUCAAUUGUAGACAUAUAAGGCAUUGCUAGAUCCAUGCAAACUCUUAUGGUAUUAGAACUAAGAGGAAUGUGAUGAACAAGUGCAUUUAGAUCACUUGAUAACCAACACCCUUCAGCCACAACUACAUGAGUCUUUAAAUCAAGCAUUUUACACUUAGUAACUCUUGGGAAUACCUUCACACUAUUCAAUUGCAAUACAAGGACAAUUUAAAAAUAAGAACAAAUUAUCAUUAGUGAUAAUCCUUCAAUAUUUUAUUUUUCAUGCUUUAAUUAAAUUUAAAAUGUAAAUAGUAUUCGUACCAUUAGAGAAGUCAAGGGUAUUUUUGGAGGAUUCUCACAUGCUUGGCUUUCAAGAAAAUGACUUUAAAAUGAAAAAUAAAAAUUCAAUAACUAGAUAUUGUAACAAUUAUAUAAAAGUGAAUAAACUAUAAUGCAUACUUGCCCCUUUUUUUGUAACCCUUCAACUAGAUUUCGCAUAUCGGACAAUUCUUUCUCCAUUUCAUCAUGUUAUUUUUUCAUUUGAGCUUUUUUUUUUUAAUUUCCUCAUGUUCCUAUGUCAACAUAGCUACUAUGCUAUCAUCUCAUGAUAGUAUGGCCAACUUUACAAUAAUGACUUCUUUGCCAAUAGCUCUUAGAUAAGAAUUGUCAGGCCAAAGUACUCGUAAGAGAAUAUCAUCUCUCAAAUUAGUUGAAGGAUGUCAUGAUAAAUCUUUCUGAAAUUCUUUUAAUUUAUCAUAGUCUUCAAGAAAAAGAUGAUAGAAACAAGCAUAAAAAUUGAAUGAGUGGAUGUUCUUACAAUAGUCUUUACAGCAUGAGCGUUAAUGGGUUGACAUCUCUUUUUUUGUAUGUGCUUCCAUCCAUACAUCGACUCUAAGCCUUUCAGUUUUUCCAUGAUUUUUUUAAUAAAAUAGAAAAUAAUUUAACAAAUGAUUGUUUAGCUAAAUUUUUAUUAUGGAAAUAUAUAUUUAUUUUAUCAUAUCUUUUGUCGUUCUAACAACUCCUCUAUCUCCUGUUGUUUGUGGGAUUUGUUUAUGGAUGAUCUUUCUAAAUAUUUCACAUCUUUCCUGCAUAAUUAAAUAUGCUUUGUUCAGUUACAUAGAUACAGCUACAAUUACAUAUUCUAAUAUAGUAAUACACUUAGCUUAAAAUUUUCACUGUUUUUUUCUUUCACAAAACUUUUCCACUCAUUUAUUGAUAAGAUAUUAUUAGGACUUAACUUCAUUCUUUCUUGCUCAUUUUUUCCAAGUUACACAAACAAAUAUAUAAAACACAAAAAAAAUAUGAGUUAGUUUAAGAACACUACCCAUGAAAUUUGUAAUGCAAAAAUUUUAAUAAUUGUUAAAGAGAUGUUGGCCCCUAUUGUUAAAGAGAUGUUGGCCCCAUGCAAAAAUUUUAAUAAUUGUUAAAGAGAUGUUGGCCCCUAAACAAGUUUUGAAAAAUGUUAAAAUGAAAUAAACAAUGCUAAAAAAUUGUAUUAAUUGUACCUUUGUUCUUUGACUUUAAGUUUCUUUACUAAACUUGCUUCAGUGUUGAUAUACACACUGCUAUUAGUCUAUUGAGUAGAAGCUAAUAAUUCCUCCAUCAAAUGCUAACACUAUACCAAGCAAACAAUAACUUUGAGAUUCUACAAUAAAAAUUGUGUUAAUACUAACAAUUACAAAAUAUAUCAAAACCCAAGAUCAAUUUGACCGGAAGGGAAAGAAAUCAUAAGCACCUAAGGUAUAAUAAUAGCUGAUAAGCUAAAAAAAAUACAGAUAGAUGCAACUAAUAGCAAAUAUUGCUAGAAUGCUAAGGAUUGAGAGAUUCAAAAAAAUAAAUUAUAAAACUAUCAAUAAUCCACAAAUAAUUAAGAAGAUAACACAAUUUUUCCUUUUAAAUAUUGAAUCAUCAAACCCAAAUAUAAAUAGUAAAUAAAUCAUUUUAAUCAUUAAUCGCUCAUAUGGAUGGAAGAAAGAGCAUCCAAAUUGGGGGUAUAUAUUUGUUUCAGCCAGUGGUAUGGUAGCGAAAUUGAAGUUGCAUGGGUGAGAAUCCUUACCAAAUCAAUCAGAUCACUUCUAAAUUACCGAAUAACCAGCCUAAUCUUUCUCAAGUCAGCGAAUAUAUGUGAAUGGCCAGGGAAUUGUCGUCCCUUUUUUUUUUCUUUUUGAGAUUUAGUUCGAAUUAGAGUUGGAGAGUACAUAGUAGUUAAAGAAACUGGGUUGAGAAAUGAGUGAUAGGGUGUUUGCGGAUCAGAUUUUAUAAAUUGGCUAUCACUACAUAUCUAAUCCACAAUUUUGCGCAUUAUAAAUUUUUAAUUCAAUCUAAUUUACAUAUUAGUGAAAUUCAAUCUAAAUCUACCCUUACGUCUAUAGAUCGGAUGCGGAUUUGACCCAAUCCAUAUCCAAUUCACCAUUUUGCAGAUUGGUUUGCUAGCUAAAAAUUUUUAAUUUUGUCAUAUCCAUGAACUAACUAAAUAAAAAUAUUAAUAUAAAAUGAUUUUCCUACCAAUCAAAUUCAAGAUUAAAUAGGAUUUAAAUAAAUAAAUUACUUAAAUAAUGGUAGAAAAGACAUUCAAAGUUUCAAAAUAUAACACGCCAAAAAGAAAAAAAAUCUCAUAUGUUUAGAACAGUACACAAAAAUUAACUGCUUAGAAAGCCAUACUUUUAUUUAAUUAUUUUUAUUUUAUAUAAUUAUCAGAUAAAAUAUAAUUUGGUGUUAAUGUGACUAUAUUCUGACUUAUUUAUUUAUUAGUAAGUACUAAUGCCAUAUUUACAAGUUUAAUUUUUUAUUAAAUAAUUUUUUUUUGUGGAUUUACUUCUGUAAAUUUAUAUCCAAUCCACCGAUUGCGGAUUCUUAAAUUUUCAUUCCAAUUCAAUCCACCAAUCCACGAAUCGGAUUUUUAUGGAGAAGAUUUUUAUGAAUUAGACAAAUUGAACAGAUCGGAUUGGAUUCUAAACACCCCUAGAGAAUAAGAAUCGAGAAUAGACAAUAGAGGAGAAUUCUCUAGAAAGCUAUAGCGAGAAGUGAAAUAAAAUGCGCACCUUCUGUUUUUUUUUUUUUUUUACCUUUUCUUUUCUUUUCUUUUAAGGUACCACCUUCUUCUUAAAUUACCCCGCUUUGUAGGUAAUCGUCUUCUACUAAAACUAUCCAUUUUGUAUAUCUUUAUUUUAAUUUUUACUUCAUUUUUUACAUUUUAAAAAUGUUUUUAUCUUUUCAUUAUUUUAUAAUAUUUUUAAAAUGCUACCACAUUUUCUCACAAAAAAACAAUGCUAUUAUACUGCUAUCUUGUAGCAUUUUUAAAAUAUUAUAUUUAUUAAUUAAUAUUCUAUAAUGUAAUUUUAUAAUGCUACCAAUAGACAUUGAUUGUCUGACAUUUCAAUCCUUUUAUCUUGUAGCAUUUUUCAAAUGCUAAUUUAUUUUAUCAAUCAAAAUGCUUCUAAUAGAAUGCUAUCAAUGCUAUUUUAAAAUAUUAUUAUGUUUAUUACUAUUCUGUUACAUUUUUCAAAUGCUAUUUUAUGUAAUCUUAUAUUGUAGCAUUUCCUAAAUGCUAUAUAAUUCAAUAUUAUAUGUAGCAUAUACAAAAAUGCUACUAGUAAUUAUCGAAUGUCAUUAAAAAUGAAAUGUAAUGGCUGUCAUAUUACAAAGGUAGCAUCAUUUUAUAAAACGUUAUAAUAAAUUGAUAUUUGGUAGCAUUUAUAAAAUAAAUGCUACUAAAGGCCACAAUUGUUGUAGUGUUCUCUAAAAAUACGAGGUAUAUAAUUGAUGUAUAUAAGUAAAAUGUUGGAUCAAAUGUUGCCAAUGGCAUCUUACCACCCUAUAUUUAUAAAUAAGUGCUUAUAUCCCAGAAUAUAUGUAUACAAGACCAACCAUCUAUUAUAAAUAUACCUUUAUUAUAAAAUCUUAUCAUAUAUGCAUUCAAUUUAAAUUAAAUAAUCUUAAAACUUUUAAAAAAUAUAUAAAAAAAUCCUGUCAACUAUAAAAGGCAUUUAUUAUAUAUCUUUUUUUAAUGUGUAAAUAGUAAUUCCUCCCUUACGCUAAAAAAAAAAAAACAAAAGUCAAAAACAAAAUUUUUGUUUUUGUUUGUAAACAACUUCAAAUAUAUAUAUAUAUAUAUAUAUAGAUACCUUCUUUGCUCGAUUCUUGUUUUUGGGCAAAAUUUUAUUGUACCUUAAUUGAACCAGAACUAUUUAUAGAAAAGAUGAAAAAUAGACUGGUCAGUUAGCUUCUGACUUGUGACAAUUGCAAUAAACCACGCAUUGGUCAAGUCAUCAAGCAAACCAAAACCUAAGAUAACUUUACUGAAAAUUUGGAGUAAAAUCAAAAGGGAAACUAAAGAUUAUGAAGAACUUUUUUAUGAUGCGGAAGCCGCGGGGUUGAGUAGCUUUCAAAAUUACGGUGACUUCAAUGUGUGGAGAAUAUAAAUGUGUCAGUAAAGUAACUAAUAAAAGCAAAGAGAUAUAGCAGAAUAACUGAGCUGGCUUGGAUUUAAACGCAAAAAUUGGAAGAUAAUUUUAGUAAGAAAUGGGAAGAGUUAAAACAAAUAGAAAAACAUAUGGAAAUGUACAAAGAUUGUGAGCGACUCUCAAAAUCCAAUAUUCCAAUGCAUCCCAGGACACACUUUCUCAUGAACUUACUUGUAAAUGCUCUUUAACUCAAAAUUUGGGAUGCUUUAUUCUGUCGAAAGAAGCUCUAUUUAUAGCCUUUGCUUAGGGCUUCAGCAAUUACCAUAUAAAAUCCACUGAAAUGGCCGCCAUUUCGUCGUGUAAAUCUUGACAGAAGGAACACAUGCCAUAUUUGACAUCACGUGGAAAUCGCUAGCUACUUCAACUUCAUGCAUUAAAACCAUGCACUCUUUGUCAAAGUAAUUGAGCAUGCACCAAAAAUGCAUGCACUUGUUUCCCACCAGCUAUAUAGAAGACGUCAAUAUUUCAACAUGUUGAACACCCAUAAAUGAAUUUAAAAUGAUUGCAGGGAUUUAUUUCAAAGAAUGGCUCAAUGCUUCCGUCUUCCAAAUUAUAAAUUCAUACAUUUUUACCUUCUCUUCAAUGUGUUUCUUGUGAAUGUCAUCCAAGACCAAGUACCAAAAACAGUCCACAAGAUCGUUGGUGAAAUAUAUAUACGUAACUAGGUUUACAGUUGAAUAUAUUUUAUGCAUCAAUUACUAGACAAAGAGAGAUCGGUUUACCCAAACUCUUGAUCAUAUAUUGUCCAUGCAUUACUACUUUUGUCGACCUCAAAAACAUGAAAUCCCAAAAUUCAAUAAGUGGUCUCUACGCUAACUUCUUCUUUAUUAUCGGGCAGUAAUUGCACUCCUCUUCGUGAAACCACAAAUAGUGCCCCAUCAUCAUCAUCUGAUUCUACCAUAUACCAAAUCUUCCACAAUUCCUUGAAAAUAUUUGACGUGAAGUAUGCAUUAAUAGCAUAAAACUGAUUCUGGUAGUAGCUGGUAUAAACAAAACAUUGUGUUAAGUAAAAUGACUCAAAAUGAGUUCUAUUGUACAGAGAAUAAAAAUAAGAACAAUACCGUUACAUCACAAGAAAUGCGAUGUAACGGUAACCCAGCAUAUAUAAUUUUAUUCCUCAUAACAUUCUCUAUUUAUGCAAGGAUAUUGUACGCACUAGGUUUACAGCUGUGAUAUCAGAAGAUCUAUUGCUAAGAUUGCUUGUUAAAUACAGACAUAUGGAUAAAGAAACGUUAUGUACUUUUGGCUCUAUUCUCUGCAUAAUCUGCAUUAUUCAUCUUGUCUCUUCAUCUACAGCCGUUUGAUGUGAACUAGCUUCUGGAUCAUUCAUUCCAUUUUUCCUUUUUCACCAGGCUUCUGUGAUCUGUCAAUAGCAAGCUCAACCCAUAAACUCAAACACCUUAAGUUUAAUUAACUUGUUAUUAGAUGUGAUAAACUUUCCCAAAAUUUGAUCACCUGACGGAUAUAUCACGGGCCAAAUUCGCAUCCCUUCCGAAAAUAAGCAUAACUUGCAAUUGCUAUGAUUUAAUGACGAUUAAUUAGUCACUACAUUAAUUCAACUGCCAAAAUCGGACACCCAAUUUCAUUAGUAAUCCUGAAAUAAUAUGAAAUUUUACUUAACGUUCGUGCGAUUUUGAUAAAUAGAAUAACGACCAUGGCUAUGACCAUGUGGCACAAUUCUGAGGAUUGCUUGGGACACAAGUUUCUAACUAAAGCGAAACGUUUUACAGUAUACUAAAGUGGUCAUAUGACAAUGUAACAUAAUUCGCAAAAGAACGAGAAAAUUUCUCAUAGGUAGUCAUGUCUUUAGAACUAUUAUUAUAUGAUUUCUUACCACCGACAAGGCUCCUUAUAAUAGAAAUGUUGAUGCCCUUAUUAAAGCCACAAUAUUCUCGCAAAAAUGGACUUGUUUAAUGCUAGCUCAAACUUGCAAAAUCUACUACUGUUACUGCUCGUUUUAAGUUGGCUAGUAAGAAAAUUGGUCAGCAACUUAAUUACUGUGAGUAGAUGUUGUUAUUGAGACUUUUUUUUUUUUAAUUGUUGUUGGUUUUGGUGACCUUGGUCCAUGCAUAUUUUAUUUAUUUAUAUAGAGGAACAAUAAUGUAUUAAAAAGCAAUUUAAAAUUUGGAAUUAAAAAAACUGAGGCUCGGGGGUUCUGAUUGUUUCUUGAAAAAGUGAACAGUUUUGUGAAAUCCAAAGUUACUGAUGGCUGUAUGAUUAUAAAGAUAAAUAUUAAAUCUAUACAUAUUGUUAUGAUCGUAUAAUCAUUGUCAGUGAUUCUAAGGUGGAGUAACUGCAAUAUAAUCAGACAUAUAUAUAUAGGGUAAAAUAAAGUGAGUUCUCUAUUUUACCCUUAUAUUAAUAUUAAUUUUCUAUUUUGAUGUUUAAUAAAAUUAAAUUAAAAAAUAUAACCCUAAUUCGCAUUUCUUGUUCCAUUUUGCAUCCCACAAACUCAAAUUCAACACCUACAUCUUAACAUUGUUCAGCAUCUCUAUUAUCAGAACUGUUGGCAACUGUCACCCGUGAUAUAGAGAUAUGGUGACGGUGUUUGAAUCUAAUUACCUUUUGCCAACGAGCUGCAGGCGAGUGACAGCGACCUUCAUUGCUACAAGUGACGGUGUUUGAAAAGUAUGGCCUUUCUCAUCUCUUUCAUCUGUUUUAGUUUUGUUACUUUGAUUGUUUUUGAUGAUAUUGCUGACUUGAAGAGGGCUAUUGAGUUAUUCAAUUCGUACCAGCAUUUACUUUACAAUAUUAGAAACUAAAAAUCUUUGUUUUUUUUUUUUUUUAAUCAUGGAUUAAUUUUUAACAAAAUAAUUAAAAGUACAUAGACGCUCUUCCAUCCACCUUUAUAUUUCAGUUAUCACAAUUCACAAGACAUCACCAUUGAAUAUAAGAAUAAUAAUAAAAGUAACUACAUCAGUAACUAGUUUCCAGAGACAAACCUAAAAAGUCUAGUUCAAAUUUUAUCAAUUACAUUUUUACGUUUCAGAGCUUUGAAAUUUUAAUUCAUCUAUAUAUUUUUUUGUUUGUUUCAAAUUCCUUUGUGAAAAUGAUUUGUUGUUGUUGAUGGUCUCUUAGUUAUUGCAUUCGCAUGCAGUGCCAGUAAAAAGAAAGAGAGCCGAGGUAGUAAUAAAAGUUAAAGGUAAAAAUAAAAAAAGAUUUCAUGCCAACAUGAAGAUAUUAUUGCACAAAAAAAAAAAUUCCAAAUCAUUACAAUCAAAAUGGAUGAUUUUAUGUCAUUUGUGAAAGAUAUCUGUAAAAGAAAGAGGUUAAAGUAGAGAAAUGUGGAUUUGAUUUUAUUUAAGGAUAAUUUUUUUUUUAGUUGUAUGAGAAAAAGUAAAUUAGGUUCUUAAAUAUUUAAUAAUAUUUUUCUAAAAAGAACAUAUUUUUCAUUAAAGAAACAUAACAUAUAUACAUAACAAAAUAACAGUGACAUAAUGCCAUGUUACAUUCAACAUAUAUACAGAAGAUUAGAUACAAAGCUCAUCUCUUUCAGCAGAUUUUUUAAUGGUCCUCUAAAAAUAACUAGAAAAGGGCUUUUGAUUUGCUUAAUGCAUAUGAUAGGACAAAGUGAAUUAUUAUCAGUCAGAGUUGCAGCUAAGUAGAUUUGGGUUUAUUUCUUAACUCAAUGGGUUAAAGUUUUUUUAGUAGAGAUAAUAAUAGACCUUUGUAUGAAUAUGUUCAUUUUAUUUAUAAAUUCUUUACAAAGUAUGAAUUUGUAAUAACACCAUUGUUGUGCUGUCCAAGUAAUCUAGAGUAGAUUUCUAACGGUAUGAUUGUUUAGCCCUAAAUGUGUGCAGAGAUCAGCUUGUGUUCAAAUGCCCAGCCCCUGGCAUUUCCUUCAUCAACAAGGCACCCAUAGCUUGUCAAGUUUCUUUUGUAACGUUGGUAAUUGAACAGUUUUGGGUCUCCUUCCAUUCUUUCUUAAGCUUGUCUUUUGGGCUAGAGUGAGUCAAGACCCAUGUGGUCAUUUUCUACACUACUAUGUCUAUGUGUAACUAAUUUUGUAUGGGCUACCUCUUAAAAAAAAAAAAAAUCUAUGGGCUAAGGACGAUCGAAUUUAGCAGUACAAUAAAAAUUGUAUAAGAAUUACCCAUCAAAUUUAAUGCUUCAAGAAAGCACUAGCUGACAAGAAAAAAAAGGACGUGAAAUGAUGGCCCAAAAACUCCAUUUAAAUGGUAUAUCCCUUUGCCCAUGGAUGGCGCUGGCAACGGUGCCGUUUCUAUCAAAGCAAUGACGCGAAACACAGCCACCACAAACUUCAAAACAACUCCCUUCAACUUUUUAAUAAAUGAAUUAGGCACUAUUCCGUAGUGUGGUUGGACACCAGUGUUACGAUAUUAAAGCAGGGACGGAUCUAAAAAAAUUAUUUAUUGGAGUUAAAUUGGAUAAUAGUAAAAUUUUAAAUUAAAAUUUUAAAUAUAUAAAAUAUUUGUUAAUAUAUUUAUAAUUGUUCUCAAUACAUUUUUAUAUUUUAAAAAUAUUAUGUAAUAAACUCAUUAUCAAUAUUAUUAAAUGUAUCAUUUCUCAUAUAAACAACCAAAUUGUCAUUCAUACAUUUGGUUCCAAAGAGAUUCUUUACAAAUUUACAAAUUUUAUUAUUGAAAAGUUACCUCUACUAUUACUAUGGAAACAAGAAGAAUUAAUACUAUUUUUAGGAAUAGAAAAAUAUUUUGGAUGAUGGGUUAUCAUUAUUUUUAAUUAAAGUAUAGGCUUUUAUGAUUCUUAAAGUUUAAAUUUUAUGGAUUUAUAAAUUUAUUGAGACUAUUCUAAUAGAUUUAAUGGGGGCUAAUUAAAAUUCCAAAAUAUUUUUUUAUUCUUAUAAUUUUUUUAGCCAGCAUAGCUACAGCCCCCACUGGUCACACGUUGCCUCCACCGUUGUAUUGAAGUAUUUGAUAAACACAUACAACCAACUAAUUUUUUUUUUUAUGUAACACUUGUAUUAUAAAAAAAAUCAUAUUUUUAUCAUAAUAUUUAUUUAAAAAUUAUAUUCACAAUACACUAAUAAUUUUUAUUUUAUAAUCACAAUUUUUUUCUCUACCGCAAUGAUAAUUUUUAAGUUCCAGUGUCUAAACACCAAACAAAAACACUUUAAAUGUGCUUUAAAGAGUCGAUUCUAGUGGACUAGUAUUAAGCAAAAGUCUACACCAAUGGAUUUGUUCUGUAUGGCGGGUCAACCCUACUACACUAGUACCAAUAAGCUGGAUGAGGGAAGAGUCUCCAUGCCUAUAUGUCCAAGUGCCAAGCUAUCCGCCCCAACUCUUAUAAAAUAAAAUAAAGGCAAGCUGCCCUGACAACUGCUCAGCUUGCUCUCCCCGCAAAUUAUUCAUAAAUUUAAGGCCAUUAUUAUUACUCUAGUUACACUAUCCACGAGUUUUUAAUAAAUAAUAAUUCAAUAUAAAUAACAUAAUCCUUCUAAUAAACUAAUAAUAUUAAUAUAUUUUUAAUAUCCAAAAUAGUUUAAAUAUGUAAAUUAUUGUAUAUUUUAAUAAUAUAUUUAUAUUUAUUAUAGAAAUUUUAAAUAAGUCUUUCUGCUGUACCAUAUAAUAAUAAUAAUAAUUUUCUAAUUAGGGAUAAGAUAAAAGAUGAAAAAAAAUACACGUUAUAAUGUAGUGUAUUUUAUUAUGUAGUCUAUUAAAUCUAUAUUUUUAUGUCUUCAGUAUAUAUUCUUUAAGUAAAUGAAGAAGUUUAUGUUUAUUUUUAGUAAAACAACAAUAUUAAUUGAUUGUUUAUUUAUUUAUUUUGACCAUAUUAAAGUCAGGAAUAAGGUAAAAGAAAAACACUGCAGUGGCUUGUGAAAUCUAUGUUCUUUUUUUUUUUUUAAAUUUUGUCCCAAGUAUAUUUUAUACAUUAUUUAGGGUUUUUAUUAUUUAUUCAUUAAGUUAUCCUUAAAUUUUAAAUUUCAGUAGAAAGUUAGAUGUUAUUUAAUUAUGUUUGAGAGUUUUAUUUUAAAAUGAUUGUAUCUCCUUAAUUGAAAAUUCUUUUUUUUUCUCAAUAAAUCUGCUGUACGGCCAAGGCGGAUGUACGGUACAGCAGCCCUACCCAUUUCCCCAUUUUAAUUUUUAAUUUUAUUUUUAUUUUUAAAAUUACUAAUAAAUAAAUAACAAAAUUAUAAAUAUUGUUAAAAAUAAUAAAUAUCAAAAUAGUUGUAUGUUGGGAAAGUGGUCACCCUUUGCCGGGAAUUAGUUGAAGAGUAUUAAUUGAAGUUUUCAUCAACUGUUUAUUGCUUUGAUUAUACUGGUAGUAGUUCUUCUACUAGAUCUACAGGGGAUUCUUAUAAGAAAGCAACCAAAUGGAUGAUAGGUUUUGAUGAUUAUGUAAACAAUGGAGAUUGUGCAGUUGUUGCAGAUGAAUUAGAUUCCUAUUUGGAUGAGAAAGUUAUAUCUCGGAUGGAAGAUUUUAAUAUUUUGAGUUGGUGGAAGACAAAUGCUAAUAGGUAUCCUACAUUAGCUCGAAUUGCUAGAGAUAUUUUGGCAAUUCCAAUUACAACAGUUGCUUCUGAAUCAGCUUUUAACACUAGUGGUAGAGUUGUGAGCUCAUACCAUAACAAACUUCAUCCAAGCACAUUGGAGGCCUUAAUGUGCUGUCAAAGUUGGUUACGAGCUUACAAUAGCGGUAUGAGUUUAUUUUAAUAUGAUUAAUUUAAAAUCGAAAAUAAAAAAAUGUAUUAGACUAUUAGUUAUUCGGGGACCGGGGACCCUCGGGGAUCCCCUGUUAUUAUUCGGGGAGGGGAUGGGGAUUCUUUCAAGCAAUUCUGACGGGGAUGGGGAGGGGACGGGGACAUAUGCAAAAUAUCGGGGAUGGGUAUGGGGAGAUUGGUCCCCUCCCCUCCCCUCCCCAUUGCCAUCCCUAGGUAUUUGGCUGGGCAUGUACUUCAUAAAAUAUAAAUGUAAUAAUGUAAGUCUCAGGUAUAUACCUGAUUAUAAAUAUCAGUGCAAUAAUAUGUUAUCAUUUGUAAAUAUCUGUGUGUAAUACAGUAACCUGAUGCUUAAUCAGUUAAAAAAAAAAAAAAAACUUUGCUGCCGAGAGAGUCUUUCAAGGCCACAAAAAAAAAAAAAAAAUGAAAAGUAGUUUUGUACUUACGAGUAGCCGAGCAAGUCUUUCAAGGCAAUUGCAACAGUCAGCCAUUCUAACUUCCAAGACUGAGAUCUUGGCCUUUAAAUGUUUUCCACGAAUAAUACAACAUUCGUAGUCCGCUGCAAAAGAAAAAUUCCAUUCCAAGACUGAAGAUCCUUACCCUGAAAAGUAUGCAAGCGGCAGGUACUUUUCUUCACGGGGUUGGCUUCUUAGAAUUAUCGAUUCAUGCACGAGUCCCAAUUAUACGACUCUUGUGCAUCCUUUUUCACGCGUUCAACUUAAACUGCCUUGCAUCGAAACCUUGGUAGCUUCGUAUCCGUAUGAGCGUGAUUGGCAUUGUGAAGAGGGUUGCUUUAUUACUUUCAUAUUAGGAAAAUGUUUGGUGAAGAGAAGCACGAGAGAAAAAUAAGAGAAAUAAAGAAGAAAAUAAGAAAGAGAGUGAGUGGGUAGAGAGAGAAAAGACAAAAUUCUCUCGUCUUUCUCUCAUGCUUCUCUACACCUAACACUACUCUUCAUAUUAACCAAAUAUGUGUUGGGUUUUGGUCAAAUAAAAAUAAAAAUUUAAUUGUGAAAAGUCACAACGAAUCACUUAUGAAAAAUCACAAUGUUUGGUGAUAUAUAAGAAGAAGGGAGAUGGUUUUCAAAAACUAAUCUAAUUCUUUUAAAAAAUAAAAUAAAAUUUGUUACCUAUUUUAUUUACAACAAUUCUUAUCCUUGUCAAUUUCCUACAACACCAGAAAAUUUAUCAAAUAUAAAGUGUUCAUAUUUUACUAGUGAAUUCUUCACUUUUACUUGACGCAGAUUCACUUUUACGGAAGGGACGGGAAUUUGGGCUGUGCUUGGGCAGGCGAUCAAGUUUGGAGAAAAAUCAACACAUCUAAUAAUGCUAAACAUUUUGUUGAUGCCAUUUGCUUUCAAAAUCAAUUUUAUGCUAUCGAUGGUUUUGGUCUAAUAUUUGCCGUCAAAGAUGAUGACGGUACUACUACACGAGUCGCAGAAUUACCUACCGAAUUUAUUAAGAUGUUGUGGAGUACUUGUAUGUGGUUGAAUCUGAAGAUGGCACAUUAUUUGUGGUUUCACGGAGGGGAGUACAAGUAUCACCUACUCAUCUGGGCUACCUAACUGAAGAGAACACUUACACAACUUUGGGGUUUCAGGUUUUUGAGUCAAUUUAGUUACUAACAAAUGGACGAAGAUCAAGAAUUUGGGUAAUAAAUCCCUCUUUUUGGGGUUUAGUUCUUCACUAUCUGUUGAUGCAUCAAGUAAUUCUUACUGUAAACCCAACUGCAUAUAUUUCACUGAUGAUUUUGUUGACUCUUAUUGGUUGGUACCUGGCCUAGAAGGAAUACGUUGAGCCAUUGUUUGAGAGUUAAGAUACUGGAAUUUAUAUCAUGGAAGGUGGAAGCAUUGAGCCAUUCUUUGAGAGUAGUCCCUUUCAUCCAUUUAACCCACUUAUGUGGCUUGAACAAUGCUCUUAGUAGCCAAUCAGGUUUAGUCUUUUGUGUUCCUUUCAAUCAAUUAAAAUAUUUUCAAUUCUCAGUUUUAGUCUUCAGUGUCUCCUUUUUAAAUCAUUUUGGAACAACAUUUGCUCAUGUUUGGUUUAUUGGAAUAACUUUUGUUUACGAUGGAGCCUGGCAUACCUUGCAGAAGCCUAGCUAAUUGACCAUCUAGUUUCUAUCAGUAUGUGGCUAGCUAAUAAAAUUAUUUCUUAUUUCUGUUCAGUACUGCACAGUUUUUGCAAAAUGAAAAUACAGUCUUAUUUUUUUUUUCUUUUGACAAUGCUUCUGAAAUUAUAUGAACUAGUUCGAAAGAUUCCGAUGACAAAAGUUUUAAGUUCAAAGGAUCAUUACUUGGCAAACUUCCCAGACAUAUAUCAAGAGACAUCAGAUGUUGCAAAUUAGGUUAAAUCUUGCUUAGCAUCAGACAAGCUAAAAAAUUGUUAUUGCUUCCCAAUUGAUCAAGGGCCCCUUUGAAAUUGAAGCAUUAAAGUGUUGGGUAAAUACUAACUACUGAAGUUUGGAAGUUAAGUUGACUUGAUUUUAUAUUUAUAUAAUGAAAAAACUAUUAUUUUUGUACUAAUUCUGUCAAAAUUAUUAUUUAAAAAUUGUAUUUACUACAAAUUUUUAACUUUUAUUUCAUAAUUACAGUUUCUUUCUUCAGCAGUUGUAACUUAAAAACUACAAUACUUCAAUAUCAAAUAAGAUCUAAAAUUGUUCGAUUUUAGCCUUGAAAACUAAUACAUAUCUAAUAAAUAAAUAAAUUAGUCAAUAGUUGUUGGGUAAGGUUGUGGGGGAUAAUUUAAUACAUGAAUCCCUUUCACUAAUUCUUUUGAAACGAACUUUUUAAAUGCAGUACUUGUGUGCAGCUGCGUUGGUGCUAUCAGUUAUUGCAACAUCCGACGCCAUCAGCAAAGAACUUCAUCAAGGUCUGGUGAUAAAUUCAUGAAAUUAUUAUGGCGAGUUUAUAUUUUGUCGAAAAGUUCUGGUCUGAACAUGCACGGUAGGUAGCCCGAGUAAAAAUUGUCCCACAAAUGUUGCCUUUUUAGUGUUUAAAUAAUUAAACCAAUAAUGGUAGAAUUCGAAAGUUCUUUAAUUAUGGGGUGCAAUUGAUUGAGUGACUACCAAAGAAAAUUAUUGUACAUUUAAUGUAGGAACUUUGGGUUUGAAACAUGGAAGUAAAAAUUGCUGGCAAUAUAACUUUUCUUUACGAACGACAAGCAAAAUUCUCCCAUGUUCUGUUAUUCAUUUUUGCACCAAACCCUAGUGCAGGUUGGUGUAAGUUACAAUAAAUUGUAACUCAGAAAAACCCUCUUUAUUUAGGUAUCAUGAUUUCUAUUUUCAAAUACCAUGUGUUCAAGUCUUUCUGCAUUUUUUUUUCAUUAAUGUACGUGCGAUGAUGAUGAUGAUAAUAAUCAUCAUAAAGUCUUCUCGUACUUUUGUGGUGUAGAUCUGGCCAUUUUAAAGAUCAUAAGUUUAGAGCGGACUAUAUCAGCAAGAGCAUAAAAUUAAGUAUUUGAAUUUAAUAUCGAUGUGAUUUUUUUUUGUGUAGAUUUUUUAAAGAGAUAUGAUUUAGUAAUUAUUAGAUAAAAAUACGUAAACAAUUAAAUCUUAAUACAAAGACAUAAGAUUAUGAAAAAGAUAAGUAUGAAAAGAUAUAAAAUUCAAAAUUUAAUAAUUAAUUAUAAGACACAAUUUACUUUUAUCAAAUUUUUAGUCGUAUUAAUACUCUUUUAUGAUUUAUAUAUGAUGAGAACCAUCAAGAGAAUAUUAUUAAAAUUUCAAGUGAUUUUUUUUCACAUUCAUGAAGAUCUAAUCAUAAGAGAUAGAGCCAAAAAAAUAUAAACGUAUAAUUUUCAAAAUUUUAUUUUGAGAUCCGCAUCUAAAUCUUGUGAAGCAAAAAAUCACUUCGUGAUUAAUUAAUAUUCAAUAAAUAAAUAAAAGGGAGAAUCAAAUCUUGUUCAUAUAUACUCUCUUUAAUGAUCAUUGAUCAACGCCUAGGAAUAAGAAAGAAGUACGAAUUUAGGGAUCAUAUCAUAUUUGUGUUGACAUGGGGGAGGAUAGACAAUGUCAUAAUACACCUAAUUAAUCACCAACUUGCCAACUAACCAAAACCAACAAACCCAGCCGACAAUUGUAAAUGCCGUACGAAUAACAUUAACCGCCACCUAAUCGCCUCGCUUCAUAAUUAAAACCAUUCUCCUCAAGUGAAGAUUGCCGUCGCCAUUCACCACGCGCGAGGGACAAACGUGCACACCACGCCACGCUUUCGCGUAUCGGGAUACUUCGAAGUUAGCCGUCAGCGAUUGGCUGUUACUCUUUCUGCUAUAUUCAGUUGUACCUUCCGACUGAAACGUCGACCUUAUUGGAAAAUUAAAAGGUAAAUAAUUUUCCAUUUUUAAUCCGACAGAAAUAAUUUCUUUUGGCAAUGACAUUUGGAUGUUAUCAGAUAAUAAAAUAUGAGCUUCUUAAAAGAACAAAAAGCAGAAUAUAUACUGAAGUGUUUGUCACACGUUUUCAUUAACUGUAAUGCAUGUAUUUAUAUACAUCAUUUGUAACUAAUAAAGAGAAAAUAAAUCAACAAAGUGUUGGCUCCACUAGCAAUGGAGUCCCCUUAAGUGGCUUGAUUGGGUUUGCUCCUCAGUUCGAGUUGCAGGAAAGUCGCCUUUGUUGGGAGAACCUAUGCCUCUCGGUUCGAGCGGGAACUUUUAGUCUGGGUUGUGGUACGGGCUUAAAGGUGCCUCCCACAGUUGGGACCCUCCCCAAGAUACCUCGUGGUCAAAAUAAAAAAAAAUAAAGAGAAAAUAAAGGAAACUAUACAUAAGAGUAUCAAAGAGAAUAAUGGAAGAGAUUGUUGUCCGUAACUUGUGGAGAGUAUCAUGGAGCUUGAGAUUAUCUGAUACUUCUGAGAUAAAUACGAAUCAAUUAAAAUGUGAAAUAUUAUAUUAUUUUAUUUAUUUUUUGUAGCUCAAUUGCUUAUUAAAAUUUUAAAUAAAUUAUCGAUUGCGAUGUAAUUAUAUAAUCGAAGGAAAAGUACCGGUAGUUAUUAUUAUUUUUUCAAAUAAAAUUGAGGGGUGAAUUGGAAACUCAAUGAUUUUGGCCGUAUAUAUUAAAAUGAUUUAUCGAAAUAAAUUUAAAUAACUUAUUAAUAAGUUACAGCAUUUAAACUUUUUUUUAAAAAA
rnacentral:lncRNA from 1 species